rnacentral:lncRNA from 1 species
GUGACUGGAACUUUCACCUCUCAUUUGUCCACACCAAGCCUCCAGCAGUUGGUCAGGUACAAUUCCGUUGUUGUUGUUGUCGUUGUUGUUGUUUUUUACCUGGUCCUGGUUUCCACGGCGGUCUCUGCUCAGGGAGAUUGCGAUUCUUGGUGGCCACCUGCCUGUGUCUCCAGUUGUGGAGGCAGUAGUUGGACCUCAGUUCCUGUGGUGGGGCUGGGAAGGGUUAUUGAUAUUUCAGUUUGUUCAGCUUUUGCUUGUGGUUGGAAUGAAGUAGUGUCUUUCAAGAUUCUUACACGCUGGACCACAAACCUGAAGCUCUUCUUUUUUUUUUUAAGUUAGAUUUUUUUUUUUAAUAUUUAUUUUUUAGUUGUAGUUGGACACAAUACCUUUAUUGUAUUUAUUUUAUUUGGUGCUGAGGAUCAAACCCAGGGCCUUGCACUUGCUAGGAGAGUGCUCUACUGCUGAGCCACAACCCCAGCCCCCUGAAGCUCUUCUUAUUAACCUUUUGACCUUUGACAAAUUAACAAUUAACUCAAUUGUUCUCAACCUCAGUUUCCUCAUGUGUGAAUGAGGAUUAUAAUUCUGUUGUGGCACGGCUGCGUGAGGAUUAAAUCCAUGAUGCGUGCACCUCUCAUGCUGUUGGUGCUUGCUGAACGGGAGCUCUGGUAGGGUGCCUCUGGGUGGGCAGGGCUGUGGGGCUGCGGCCUGUCUCUUCUCUCUACUCAGUGCCCAUGUUAUUGUCAUGCUCCACCGUAUCCAAUACUCUCGCUAUUUCCUGGGUUACUGGAGGGUAGGAGACCGAGAAUGGCCCCCCAAGCCUCUCAUUGAAGCAUCAACUUUUGCCAAACCAGAGCCAUGAGUGGAUCAUCCUACAGUGGGCAGGAAGGCUUGAGCUCCCACCCUUUGGACCAAACCUUCAGGUUCACCCUGAAUCUGAAUAGCAGAGCAACAAAGAGUGACAUGACAGCAGCAAACCAAGGAAUACUUUAUGGAUCAUGGCAAAUACUCUAAAGUUCCCCAUUGGUAUUUAAGCCACAUCCCAAGGCUCAUAGAAAAAUCACUGUCAGGCCCAUUAUCUUUGACUACAAAGGACAACAAAAUAUAAUAUUGUCUGCAGCUCACUCCAACAUUCUUGUCCGGUUGUAACAUUUCAGUUUUUUAUUCUUCUCACUGCUUGACAAUAUUAUGAUUUCUUCCUACAGGGGAUGAAAGUACAAGCCCUGCCUAUUUCCCUGCUUGGCUAUUAUUUGAGUUUCUAUUAUAAGCCUCUAGAAGACUGCAGACAUAUAACCCCUUUUUUAAAAGGCUAUACACGUGGUAUUCAGUCUCCAUUCAUCUUUCGUCCACUCUGGUCAGGGAGGGUGCUGAGGCCAGACUGUAAGAUCUUAGUAAUCUUGGGAAUUAGGUUGUGGUUUCAGACCUCAUGAUCGCAGAGUCAAAUCCUGCAGACUUGGCAAAGCUGUCCCUGCCAAGUGCCCCUAUUAUCCGAAUUAAAAACGAGGUGCCUGAUUCCAAGCUGCAGACUCAUUCCAAAACUCCUAGGCAUUCUGGCAUCGUUUAACUCUUGGGUCAUCGGAGUUGAAAAAUGCAGUUUUUUGUGUUUUCCUUUUAACACCUAAUGAUAAGACUCUCUGUCAUUUUGGAAAAGCACUGUCAAUUUUACAAUAUUUUGUAUUUUGAAAAUUAACAAAACAAACCCCCAAACUGACUAUUUUCUCCCUAAACAAUCUAGGAGCAAGCAGGCAAGAGCUAAUGUUUAUAUGUGUGUUACUAUAACAUGAAUUUUAAGUUAAAGUAUCUUUCAAGGUAAAAAUGCAUUUUGAUUGUGAGUUUUUUCCUGUGGACUGUUUUGUACUUCGCCUUGGUUUUUUGGUUGGCUUUGCAACGUUAAUGGCCACCGUUAAUGGCCACCGUUAAUGGCCACCGAAGGAGGUGUGAUUUGGGGCUUCCAUAGGGGGCAUGGGUUAAUAAAGGCUGGAGACACUGUGUGGGUUUCUGUUUUAGUAUGAAUUCACCGCUCAUUUAAAGUGAUUUUUACUCAUCUAUGUCUUCUUCCAAAGAGAAGCCAAGGUGCAGGCAGGUUCAUUAGAGAAAAAAACAGUACAUUGAAAAACUCUUUUUUUAAUAUAUUGAUUUGGCCAAAUUUUGGGGUUUGGAGGGAACUGGCAGUGGGCUGUGGUGCUUGGAGAGCCCAGUGUACUCUGCUGUAGUGCUGGGGACACAGGCGCGGCCCCCCCCACUGGGUUUGUUUGAAGUAGUCACUGAGUGGGUGAGGGGUGGCCUGGCUGGUGCUGCAGCACGGUGCUCCUAAGUGGCAGUGACAGCUCAUUCAGCUGCAGUAUGACCUUCGGGAGAAUGUCUGCCACUCGCCCACUUGGGAGAAUCCCAGACUUUCAGGCAAACAGACUCCUCGCCUAUAAAAUGAGGGAUUUGGAUGAGAUGAUUUGCAAGGUCUCUUUCUGUUCUGAAAUGCUAUGAUUCUAUGAAAUUAAGCCCAUUUGAUCUAAAAUUGGAACUGAAAACCUUCUGGGUGUGUGCAUGGUGAGGAAUGGAUUGCACUGCAGAUAAGACAAAACCUUCCCUUCAGUUUUAUUUAGUUCUUUCCCCCUUUUAAAGGUUCUAUCCCCCCCCCCACCCCGCCCCAAGUCAGUGCCUCCUCUGUUCUGAGUAGGUUCAGAAAAAUGUAAGCCACACUCCUUUCCUUGGGUGCUUUAGCAUUUCCUGAAGGGAGUGACUAACCUGUGGAGUGAUCACAGCACAGAGUCACCUAGACCCGUGCGGAACAGAGCUGAGAGGAGGCCUGAGGUUUCGCCCUGUUCAGGGGCUGAGCCCGACUCCUUUGCUUACUGCAGCCUCACCCCGCGCUUCCCAGGUCUUCUCAGCCUUGCCCCGCUCCUGGGGAAGUCUGCACACUCUGUUCUGCAUGUUCUUCGUGGACACAGCAAGCCCUUGUGGAGGCCAUUUUGAUGGUGACUGAAUUUUUUCCCUUUGGACAGUGAGACCUCACUGGGUGAGUCAGCCAUCUGCGGCUUUCUUUCUCUCCAAGACAAGCCAUGUGUCUCUGUCAACGCUCAGUCACUCAGAGGGCACCAGCUGCUCCUGGGUGCAUUGUGGGGCUUGCAGAGGGAAGUGAGGUUUGCUCUGAGGGAUCUGAGGAUCCUCCAAUCUGGUGGCUCCCCAAUGUUGGCUGCAAUUAGGAUUCCCCGGGGAGCUUUUAAAAAAUACUAAGGCUUUGGCCUCCACCCCCCUCACCCAGAUUCUCGCUUAAUUGGUCUGGGAAGGAGAGGCCCAGGCACCAGAGUUGGUUUACAAGUUCCCCAGGUGAUUCUAGUAUGCAGCCAGAGUUAGAGUCACCAACUAAUCUAGCAGGCCCAGAGAAACCCAGCAGCUUGCUCAAAAGCGACAGGCUGUGUUGCCUCCAGAUGUACACCAGAGGUGUUACAAGAGGAGCUGCAAAGAAUGCUCUGGGUGGACGGUUCCAGUUGCUCUGAUUCUGUGAUGAACUGAAUUAAUCUGGGCUACAUAAGUUAGUCAUAGCUACCACCCAGAUGCUAGAGAAGUGGAGGCUCCUCUCUGGCUGAUAGGAGACUGGUGAUGAGGCUCCUGAGGCCGUGUAUCACAGGGACCCUCCAUGUCAUGGAGACCACAGCACGGCAUGGAGUCCUCGAUGGGCCAUGGACAAGAAGGUUGAAAAUGACCCAUAAUGCAGGCCACCAAGGGGAGUCGCCUGUCUUUGUUGUUGCCUGGAGGCCUUUGUUACAGAGCCUGUUGUCUUUCUGUGCUCUGCUCUGGGUGUCCCCAUCCUGUCAGAAUGCGGGACUUCUCCUUCCAAGAGAGGCUUUCCUGAGUGUGUUCGUGAAGGAGGUGCCAUGUUUAUGCAGGAGAUAUGCCCAGGAGUGCUUUUUUCACUAGGUGCUCAAAAUCAGGCCAGGAAAAAGGAGUGAACAAGCAACCCUUGCUACCAGUCUGCUGUUCCCAGACAGAUGCAUCGUGGAAGAACGAGCUGUCACUGCCACUUAGGACAACUGAAGCUCCACACAGAGCCUUUGUAGCACAGUCAGUGAUGCUUGAAAACCCGACUCCAAGUGAUGUGGACAAGCAGAGGAUAAAGCCUCCUGGGAGUCCAGGGGUCAGAGGAGAGGUCACUCCCAGAGUUCUGCCCCUUUGGAGUGAAGGGGACAUCAAGAGGUGGCUCUGUCUUGAAGUCAGGAGGAUAUGUGGCUGAGCUUCUGUCACUCUCAGCUUUAGCAGCUCCCAAGUCCUCUGGCUGUUUUGUGGAGGGACUGUGGCAGCCCCUGAGGAAGGCAGUGUCCUGAAAGAGAACUGUGGUCACUGGUUAGCGCCAUCAAUAUUUCAGGCCACCUGAGGGAUGCUGAGCCUUGGAAAAGAUGUGUAAGAGGUUGUGUCUUGGGUAGGGGCGUUCACUCAAGAGACGUUUAUCAAGUUCUUAUGUUAGAUUCUGCUACCUUUGGGGAGAGGGCAGAGGGUGUUUUAGACACAGGAAAUAAAACCCCAAAGCAGUGAGCUGGACGGAGGAAGAUAAUAGAAUGCAUUUCUUUUUUCUUCUCUGCUUGUGGAAAUAAUUAUUGGGAAAGAAAGCCCUGUCUAAGAAUUUAAUCUGGGCCAAAGAACAUGUAAACUACAAUUUCGUAGUUGGGUUUUCUCUGUGGAGAGAAGUGGUUAGGGACAGGUGAGUGCCGUUGCUGAAGGACAGUUCUAGGAUAGCGUAGGCCUGUUUUCACAGAGCUUGCCGCCUGGAGGGAGACACAGGACACACAGAUUGCACACGGCUCGCACACACACUCGCACACUCAGUACGGGUGCCCGCAGGUUCCAGGAAGGAGAGUAAGGGGGGAGGCUGGAGGAUGUCUAGGUAGGUGGCUGGGAAGGCUCUCUGAGGAUGUGACAUCUGGACAGAGGCUGAAGGAGGUGAGGGAUUUGGCCACACGGAGUCUGAGGGAGCACGUGAGGCAGGGGAAUGGCAAUAAUGAGGACCCUGAAGGGGGAAGGACAGCCAUAUGGCUCCUACUCCACGAGCAAGAGAAGACUGUGGUGCCCCACUGUCACCUUUGGCUGGGAGCUCAAGGAGGAGUCGGUAAAAGUGGCAUCUGGACCAGCCUUGGAGGAGUCACAGGGUUUCAGAAGGCCAGGUUCUAAGCACCGAGGGAAGACCGAGGCCCUGAUGUUCCCAAGGCCUUACGCUUGGGAGCUGGUCAAUAAUAUUUGUGGAUAAGUGGACAGUUGGGGAGGAGGGAGGCACGACAGGCCCAGGGAAGGCUGUGAGUAAAGGUGUCGGACUGGGAAUGCGCGGCCCGGUGUGUUUGGAAUGUCGGUGAGAAAAAUGGUGUGAAAAUGUCAGGCUGUGAAUAGGUUGAGGUAAUGAUAAAAAAAAAAAAAGGGCAAAACUACUAAAUGCUGAAGUUUGGGCUUCGUUUUGUAGUUAAGGAGGAACCGGGUGGUUUUUGUGGGUGGAACUGCACACAUCAACAGAACAUAUGCUCAGGAGAAUCGGCUGGGGGCUGGGGGAGCGCCAUAGAGACAUGGUUGGCACAGAUUUUGAGACUGAUUAGAUGGAGGGGGAGAGAGGUGGGGUCCAGGGUAUCUGAUGUUCAAUUGACCAGGAAGAUGGUGGGAUUACUGACAGGGAGACAGGAAAAUGACAUGGAAUGAUUUUGCGAUGACAGUAGUGCACCAGGUGUCUAAUGCUAGCUAACGGAAGAGCAGGGUGAUGCUCAGAGAGAGAGGGAGGUUGGAUCUCUGUCUAGGGGAAACAUGGGUAUUUGGAACUCAAGAACAGGGUGUUUUAGGAAAUGAGAUGAGAAUCUCACAUUUGGGUUGAGAAAGAAAAGGAACCCAGAAGGAGGGCCAGAGGAAUGCAGAGGAGCAGAAGUGCCCAGGGCCAGGGAUGCCAGGAAUGGAAGUGUCAGGGGGAAGGUGGCCAGGAGAGUCAGGUGCUGUGACUUCACAGGAGUCCUGGUGACUUCUGGGAGGUGUGUUCGUUGUGGACUGGACCUUUCUCCAGCAGGGCCAGCCGACUCUCACUCAUGGGGCUCUCGGUCUAUGAACUAGAAGAAAGUUAGGAGCUGGUUGCGGGGCCACAGCUCUCAGGCGAGACAGUUCAAGUCAGAUUUCUGCUUGUCAGACUAAGUGGGCACACAUCUGUUCUGUCCUAGAAACACCAGCGGUCUCUGUGGGUCAGCCAUUCUGAUUGCUGCCUUGCUCGGCUGCCCAUUUCAGUGACUGUGCCAACCAUGUCUUUGUGAUGAAGAACCCCUGCCACCCGGCACUCCUGUCCUGAAGAAUUUGAUAGUCCAGUCCCGUGGCAGAAGUUCCCACUGUUCUCCUGGCCUGCAGAGGAGAGCCACCAUAAAGAUGUUCCAGAAGCCAGGUCUGUCCUCAUCCUCUCAUUUCUCACAGGCCUGGAGGCACAGGUAGGCAGGCAGUGGCUGAACAGGUCUGUGUAACGGGUUUACUCUACAGUUUGGAUCCCCCUAAGCUGCUGGCUAUCUUAAGGUUCUCCAAUGAGGCCUGGCAUUGCAGCUUCAGUAGUGUAGGCCUCUUUGCUUCUAUGUUUCUGGAAGCCAACUUCACAACCUCGGAGGAUUACUGCCAGCUGCUUGAGUGGCCACACUGACUCUUGUCUCUGCUCAGUGAACUCACAUCAACAAAUUGGCCCAAUCCCAUGUGCCACUUCCAUCCUGAUCCAGCCCUUAGGGUUCAUUCUCACAUGUUUCCAAGAUACCAUUGAUGAAAGUUCAUAGCAUCUUUCCCUUCUUCAGUGUGUGUGGCACCUCCGCACGCUCUGGAUCAGCUCCUGAGGUCUGCCAGAACUAGAGUCUGGCCACCGGUCAAGAAGCAAGGGAAGGACAUGUUUUAGUUAACUUUUCCUCAGUGUCAUAAAAAUACCUGUCAAGAAAGAUUGAGAGGAGGGAAAGUUGGUUUUGACUCAUGGUUUCAGAGGUUUAGUCCAUGGUAGUCUGACUCCAUGGCUGUGGGCCUGAGGUGAGGGUUAUAUCACGCAGAAGAAUGUGGUACAAGGAGACAGCUCAGGACGUGGCUACGAGAAGCAGAGAGAGAGCUCUGCUUACCAGGGACAAAACCUAAACCCCAAAGGCACAUUCCCAGUGACCCACCUCCUCCAGCCACACCCUACCUACCUACAGUUACCACCCAGUUAAACCAUAUUGGUGGAUUCAUCCACUGAUGAUGUCACACCUCUCAUGAUCUAAUCAUUUCACCUCUGAAAAUUCUUGCAUUGUCUCACACAAGAGCUCUUGGGGGCACCUCACAUCUAAACCAUACCAGGCCAUGAGUAGGCCUGGGGGAGAAUCAGCAGCCCCCUGCAAGGAGCUGCCUAGCAGAGACCAGUCCAGGUUCUUGAGUCACAGGAUGAGUUCAGAAAGAGGAAACAGACCAGGAGGAAGGGAUGCUUCCACUGACAAUCAGAGUUGUUGGGAACUAGCUUAAGUUUUCAGAGUCCCCAUCAAUGCCCUGAUUUUAACAGUGAAGAUCCUUCAGGCCCGUGAAUUCAGUGUGCUUGUGACUCAGCAAUCUUUAGAAUUGGACGUAGGGCUUGGCUACCAGAGAGUUGUAGAAGCUUUGUGGUCCUCCUCGACUGGGAGCUAGAACCCCAAACACAUCAUUUUCUAUUGCUAAGUUCUUUAGUACUCUCAAAGCAACUGACUCCGUUAUGUUGUUUUGAUUGAACGUAUUAUAGCAGCAACUAUAUUAUAGUUUUUUUUAUCAACUGUAUUAUAGCAGUGGUCACUCAAAACCUUGUCUUUAGAUACUUGAUUAUAAGCAACAAUUUAGUGAAUAUUUUGCCAUCAAAUGUCACAGGCUACCAGUGUCCUCUUUGCCACUUUUGACAAAUGCAGUGAUAUUAAUGCUUUCAAAUCUCAUCCGAUCCAAUUCUAGAUGAACCAGUUCCAAUUCAAAGAAACCAUUUUUAAAGUUCUAUUCUCCAUUGUGUUAAGAGAAAUAGCCCAACUCAGAGGGUCAAGGGUUGUGUCUCAUAUAUGGAAGCUGGAGAGGAAAAAGGAAAAGAAAGGUGGAGGGAGCUAAUAGAAAUCAAAGGGAGAUCAGCAGAGUAGAGGAGAGGGAUCCGGCGAGGAACGAGGAAAAGGAAAGGGGAGUACUGGGGAAUGGUACUGCCACAUUAUAUCGUCAUGUUGUGUGCAUGUGUAAAUAUGGAACAACAAAUCCUACCACUCGGUACGACUAGAUUGCACCAGUAAAAGUAUGGGGGAAAAAUGAAGGUCUGUUCUCCUAAAACUACUGCCAGUGUCAAUGUGGGCCUCAGGUAGGGUUUGGUCAGGGAAGCGGGGCCACUGUGAGGGACAUGCAUAUGGCAUUUUUUUAUGGUAAUUGGACCAUAUACCAUUGUGGAAGCUGGUGCAAGUUCCGUGGAAGACUGUUGCCUCUGUUUGGUGGGAGGCUGGAUGUCUUCCAGGGCCAGAAGUUGGGGAGAAAAGCUAGACACCAAGCAGGGGAACUUGAGGACAAACUGGAACCUCUGAAGAGAAACUACACCCACAAGGACAAAUUUACUUCUGUGUGUCUCUUGCCACCUCCAACCUCGAUGACCUAAGUGACCUACAGGAGUAGCUGGUGUCCUUUGCUGUGGAGCUGCACAAUGCUGGCCCAGGACCAGAGAAGCUGGGGGAGGAAAUCCAGCAGAAGGAGGAGCCUGUGCUCCAGUGGGGCCUCAGGCCAACACCCUGCGCCAGAAGAUCGGCACAAGCGUGACCUGCUGUGUGCUGCUGGGCCCUCCCGACCUUCAGAGCCCCAGCCUCACAGGUCUCUUGCCCUUCUCUGGUGGCCGCCCUCAAGCAGACCAUGCAGUCCGAGAAGUUCCACUUAGCUAUGCUGUCAUUUGACCAAAUGCCGGUAGGACAGAGGUUCCUGAGGUGGGAGCUCUGCAGCCUGCGUGAGAGCCCUGGGGGCCCAGGGUUCAGCCGGUGUGGACAGCUGGAGGGAGGUGCUUCCCAAACUUGCCGGUCGGACUGAUUCCACGUGUUGUCCCAGACCUAGAGUCAAUAUCUAGGGGAAAGUGCCUGGGAAUCGCUGACUAACCAGGACCUCAGGCGACUCCUGUGACUCAGCACAUUUCUCAAACUCCUGGGAGGAGCUUGGGCCAAAGGAAGCUUUAAAGUUUUAAUUCACUUAUUUAUUACGUUCAUUAAGAUUGGGAGGGUAGCUGGCUUUACAAACAGAGGGGAAAAGGCUAAGAGUAGGGCAGGCAUUGCCGGAGACAGGAGGGCAUGUGGGGGGGAGGACUGAUGUCUCUUGCUAAAACGAGAGAAACCUAGGGGGGAGAGAGAGAGAAGCACUGGUGGCAGAGGGAGGAGGUGGAGGCCACUUCUGCAGGACCAGCUCCAGCAAAAUGGGGCAGAACGGAGGCCCAGGUGGGGUGUGGAGCUGGAUCCAGACCAGAGGGACCCUCUGAAGUCAUCCAGAGAAGGUGAAGAUGCAUCAGUGGGGAGCUGGGUGGCUAGGAGAGCAGGUGGACCUGCAGUUUCUCGAAUUCCACCAGGGGCAGGAACUGCUUCCAGAAUCUUUUAAAUAUCAAAGACUUACUAAACAGCCUGAAUGUUGGGUCUCAGUAGAGUAACAAGACAUUGAUUUCAUAGCCUUAACUUACACAUCUCAUUUUCUAACUAAGACCGUAAUUUUGCAAGGCGUGGUGGUGCACAUCUCUAAUCCCAGCCACAUGGGGCGGCUGAGGCAGGAAGAUCUCAAGUUCAAAGCCAGCCUCAGCAACUUAAUGAGGUCCUAAGCAAUUUAGUCUCAAUAUAAAAAAAUAAAAAGCACUGAGAUGUGGCUCCGUGGUUAAGCACCAAACCCAACCCAACCAAAAACGAACAAAAAGAACUAAUUUCUGUAUUCUUUAUUCUCCCGCAUCUGCUAAAUAAAAAAGAAUAGACAAUUGGAGAUCUUUGUCAUCUUGACAGGGUUGAUGAAUUUACCCUUGCUGGGUUUAAUGUUUAGGUUUAGGAGCUUAUUAUUAUUAUUAUUUUAUUAGUUGUUGAUGGACCUUUAUUUUUAUUUAUAUGUGGUGCAGAGAAUUGAACCCAGUGCCUCACACAGCUAGGCAAGCGCUCUACCAUUGGGCUACAACCCCAGUCCCAGUUUAGGACCUUAUUAAGUCUCUUUGGCUGUAGUUGGGAGUGGGAGAUGGAAUCAGAUCUCACUGCCUCAGGACCUGGAGACCCCAGGUGUCUGGAAUGGGGUAGCUGUGUGCCAGGGGGAUGCUAUCAGAAGUCAACAGGAGGAUGCCUGUCAACACAGCAUGGUGCCUGGUGUUUAGCCAGUCCUAAUGGUUAUAGCCUUGGUGUCAGAUUAUGUGAAGGUGACCAGUGAGAUUUGAGAAAUAGUUCAGUGUGGACCAGGUUGAAAGGGCAUCCAUUUGGGUCUAGUGAAGGUUUCCUGGUGGAUUUGGUUUCUUUUAUCUGACCUUCCAAUACCCAGCCCUGUCCUUGGGCAGGUUUCCAUCUUAAUACACCCAUCCCUCUCUCUCUUCCUUAUUUGGCCCUGGUUUCUGUCCCUUUGUUUCUAGCAGGGGCAGAAGCUCUCCCCAGGAGAGCUCCUCUCCUCUGCCUGGGCCUCUGCCUUCUCCCCGUGCUUCGCUUCCUCUCCUACUCCUGUUCAGGCCUGUUCCAUGUUUAGACUUUCCACAGCAUGGCAGCCCUGCGCCAGGAGCUCAAGGCAGAGAGCAGAAACCUGAGCAGGGGAUCCGGGAGGUCUGAGGGCCUGGAGGACAUGAUGGCCUGGGGAAGGGGUGGACCUCCUGGCCACUGUGCAGCUGCUGGGUGCCCAACGCUGCGUUGCUCUCUUUGACAGGCAAACCAAAGGGACAACAGAGGAGGAGGUGGAGAGGGAUGAGGGGUGACCAUGUGAGCUUGUCUGUUUCCCAAAGUCAGUGCCGAUGCCUGGCUGCUCACAGGUAUGCAGCCACAUGGAAAUCCCCACCCGACUCACCUGCACGAUGGGGAGGACAGCGUUUGAUUAGUCUGGAAUGAAUUUGGAUUUGCUGGUUUGUCUUGGUGAUGAGUCUUUUAUUGUUUUCUUUCUUGUGGAGGACAGGGCGGCUGUGAGGAAUACUUUAUGCACAGUAAAGCUGUCUACCCUCUGUGUUGAAUUGAAGAAGAAAAACGGAGAAACCUAGCCUUGUUCCCUUCUCCCAGAGGCCGGGGACAUCCAUGUGUGUAGUGCUUUUGAUUAGAUCUGCUGUUUGCCCAUGGCAGUCAUCCAUAAAAACACGCCUUUCCUAUAUACAUCCUUCACCCUCUGCACACGAAGCCCUCCGCUCUCCCUCCCUCUCUUUCUCUCUCUUUUUCAUCAAAGCCAAACAGAGUGGUGGUUUUCUUCAGUAAAAACCCCUCUUCUUUUUGGCUCCAUGCCUGGCUCUUCCCAAGGUGCUUGGAAAGAAAGGAAAAAUUCAGAAUCAUUUCCUUUUGUUCUUGACUGAUUCAUGGGUGGAGGGAGGAAAGGGUGGUUUUCAGUUUGAAACACAGUGCGAUGUUCAAGCAGCUUUAACAAAUGGUGCCCACUAAUCCGCUUCGGUGGGUUGUCCACCAGUUGCGAGCCCUUCCCUCCCCUUUUCUUUUCCUCUCCGUUGCUGAAAGCCCAGCAGCCAGCACGAUGCUCGGCACACAGUGGGCGUCUGGUAAUAGGAGAAAACAGAAUGGUGUGCGCUCAAUCCCACGUGGCACAGGCACACCUUCACACGAAGCUUAAGAGCUUGUCAAGACCCACGUAAAUUAAAAACAACAUUUGCACCAGCGUCUCUACUUCCAGAGCUUCAUUUCAUGGCGUGCCAUGGCAUAGAUCAGUCUUAACUUUCUCAACCCAACGAGAGUUAAGUAGGAGCAGAAAAAUCAAACCGAGGCUCUCUUAAUUAUAGCAUUGGUUUGAAAGCAAUUAUUGAACUGUGGGAUCUCAUUAUUUGUCUUUCUGUCCAUCCAUAUAUCCAUGUGUCUAAGAUAGUCAAGAGGUCACAAAGGAAUUCAGCUGGAAAUAUGGUUCCUCUAAAGUCACUGAUAAGAAUCGGAAUUGGCGUGAAUCUCUGUGGCUGGGUCCACUUCCAGGACCAAAUAAAAGCAAGCCAGCAGUCCUGGGAGGAACACCCUUCAGCAUAAUGGUUUUGCUAACGUCAUCAUGUGAAAAAAUGGAUUUACUUUUACAAGUAUAUUUUGCAAAACCAAGAAAAGAAAAGAAAGGGGGGGGGGGGAGAAAAGCUAAGAAAGGAGAGUCUUACACAUUUCCUAAAAGGAAAAUUCAUUCUCUUUUCCCCACCAGUGCUGACUUGCUGCCUUAAAGGAGAAGCCUGUUAAAAGAACAUAUUUGUGUGUGGAGCAAGGUCAUGCACUUAUUGGUUUUCUGCUGCACAGCAUAAAUAUACCAGACAAGGAGAAUCCGUUUGCUUUUACUGCAGCCUGUACUGUGCGCAAAGGCUGUGGCACAUAUAUAUUUCUAACGCCGGCCAUGCCAAAGUGCAGAGGAGCCCAGUCAGGGGUUUCCGAAUCAGAGGAGGCUAGCCAAGGUUUGUUGGAAGAAAUAAACAUGUUACCUGGAAGCACACUCCAGUCUUUCCAUCUUUACGUCGGGAAUGUGGUUCAGAAGUGGGUGGGACCAGCCUGCAGGGUCCAAGUCUCUUGAAGCUGGUAACAGGCAGAUGACUUCCCAAAACGUUCUCGAAUUCUCCCUUCUCUUUGGCACUCAUCUGUCCAACUGUUGCAGCCUGACUAAUAUUAUUAAUCCCUAUGCUUCUCCUCCUUCCUUGACCAAAGUGGCAACACUUCACUUAUUCAGCAUGGUCCAGGAUGAACCGUUCUACAUAACUGCAUUUUCCAGCCGGCGAAUUUCACUUUGCUGAGCACCAGAAUGUGCUUUGUUUUUGUCAUUUUGAAUAGCAAUCCUCCUAAAAUGUUUUAAAUGUUUACAUUCUUAAAGAUCUUGCCCAAACACGAUGUAACUUCAUCUCAGUGAUUGGGGGGCGUUUUCCAUACACCAUCUGUGCUGUAAACAGGGCCGCCCUCGCAGGCCACUGCAUGAUUGGGGCUGCCUGGCUGUGCUGAAUGGCUUCAGGGGCUGCUCGUUCUGAGUCAGGGCUCAGCCUCAACUUCUGUAUCUGUAGGGAGGUGGUAGUGCCUACUUUAUCAGCUGCCGUUAGAAGCAAGUGAAGCUGCGUGCAUGGUGCGUAGCACAUAGAAGUGUUCAAUGUGUCUUAGCUCCUUUUUUUGUGUUUUGAGACAGAGUCUUGCUGUGUUGCCCAGGCUGGUCUCCAACUCUUGGGCACAAGCAGUUCUCUAGCCUGGGCCUCCUGAGAAGCUGAGACUACAGGUGCACAUCUCCACACCCAGCUCCAUGUCCUUUAAGCGAGGAAUGACAUUAGAUGUAAUCACAUGACCAAAAUGCAAAAGUGACAUUGGUAUACAUGCAUAGAAUACUGUCAAGAUUGGUAUGACUGUUCUCUAGAGCACAGUUUGAUAUGGUUUAUUCAUUUCUUGUCAGUGUUCUUCUGGCUGAUCAGAGAAGGGUGCAAAGCCCUAGAAGCAUCAUAUUGGGUCAGUUUGUCUCUUCUCCUUUCUUCCCUUGAAACUUGCCCCCAGUGCUUGUCCACUGUCUUCUGCUAGCUCAGGAGGAUCUAUCUAUAGUUCCUCAGGAAAUUUUCCUUUCUCUUUUAUCCAACUUGCUCCUGACUCAUUUUUAUACUAGGUGUUCCUUCAGCCCCAUGUGCUCAAUGUGUUUUGUGACCAUUUCUGUUGAUGGACAGGGAGCUUAGGUGUGAAUGGGGACUGUGGACUUGUCAAGGCAUCUAAAUGCCCAUUCAGACCAGCUUCCUUUGACAUGUUAGUCUGGGGUGCAUAGAAAGGAAGAGAUGAUGAUAGACUGGCAAUUCUAAUGUGCACAGGGGGGAGCAAGUGUGGGGAACACACUGGCUCCAGGGACAGGCUUUCUCCAUCCACGCGUGGAGACUGUCCCAGAGAAGAGAUAGUUGUUGGUACUGAGGAUGAGUUGGUGGACAGGGCCUUGAAGGGGUUGCACCUCCACCUGGUGGGGAGCCCUGCCUAUCCCUGGACUUCCUGCAGCACCCUUCUCUCCUGCCCCACCUCCCUGGCACUCUUGGAAGUUUCUGCCUCCUUCCUUUCACCAUGGUCUGUUCCUUGAUCCUGAGCCAUUUCCUAGACUGUCAAUUCAGCUUGACGUGUUACUGGUUAAAACUCACCAUCCAGAAGUGAAGCUCAGCUUCUUCCCAUUUAACUGGAUGCUAGAGGUAGCCAUCCCUGGAGCCUCUUUACAUACCAUCCACUCUGCCAAUGCAGAUGUCCAUCUCUGUGUUUCCAACAUGCUCUUCCUCGCCCCAGGGGUCCUCCUGCUGAUUUAUUUUUCCUUUGCUGGGAGAUGUCCCUUGGCCUUUGGUGGACCAGAGGUGGUGAUGAACAGGAGGAUCCCAGGGUGGAAUUCUCCUGCACCUCUCCUGUUCAAGUCUCUCAGGGAAGUGGCCUUUCUGAGUUGGAUCACUGUUGCUUUCCAACAGAAAAAUAACUGUAAGAACAAUGAUUUCAACUUAAUAAUAAAAGGGAUCUACUAGCUUACAUAGUAAAUAUGUAUUGAAAAGUGUCUCAUUAAAAUGGUAUAAAUAAAACCACAUUGAAGAGAGCCAGGUUGGCUGUUCCCAGACUUGUUCAGAUGGCAAUGUACCUGGAAGUCCUGAUGCUCUUUCUGGUACAAGCCCCUGAAAAAGAGACAUCUUCAGCCUCAUCAUGCAAGCCAGGAUGAUUUUUCCAGAAGAACAUGUGACUAUACCCUGUAAGUACCAGGUAAAAUUACAAGCAUAAGCUCCUCAAAAAAGAUCCAGUGUCAAAUGUGACAUGAUGGGAGUGUUUUCUUUAAUAAUUGUUAGCAGGUGUUUAUUUUCUUUGUUAUCAACUCUCCUUCAAGAGCAGAUAAGUGGAGCAGCCACCAGAUUGUUUGAGAAAAAUAAAUGGGAGAUGAGAUUGAAAUGGUUAAAAGUAGAUUCAAAGUGUGUUCCUAUCACUGGGAAUUCUGCCAUCAUUAUUAUUAUUUUCAGUUUUAUUGGUCAAAUACUUUCACUUUCUAAGCAGUGCUGUAUGGCAUCUGUUUCUGCACGUUUCUACUCUAUGAGGACUCACUGCAAAGAAUCUUUUUUGUAAACUGAAGAAUAAAUUUUACAAUGCAAAGCUCAACCUCUGUUUUCUUUCUGACAAUACAUGUUUGUAUGUGUGCAAAUGCGCAUUGUGUACAUUCAUGCCUUCUUCCUCCUGGAUUCACAACAUCAAAGAGGUUAGGUCCUUAGGAAGUAAACUGUAACCCUUAAGAUAGAGUUCAAUUUAUUUGGUUAGUAGAAUACUAAUGGAAGAGAUAUUUUAUAAUAUAGUACAAAGUGUGUCCCAGAAAACUACCAACUACCCAAAUUAGCUUCAGCUGAGGAUGCUUUCAAAAAAAAAAAGUAGAUCCCCAGAGCAUACUUCAGGCCUGCUGAAUUAGAAUCUUUGGGCUGAGGCCCAGGAAGAGGCUUUUUAAACAGUAUUUCACAUGAUUCUUAUAUAUACACCCAAGCUUGGGAGCUACUGGUGUAGUAUUGGAGAACACAGUCACUGAAGUCAAAUUUGCCUCUGCCACUUAUUUGGCUUGUGGAAAAUUGCUUAAGCCUUGUUUUCCUCUUCUGUAAAGUAAGAAGAGUAGGCAAGCUACCUUAUAAGACUCUUGGGAGGAUGGGAUGACAUAAUGUAUGUAAAUCAUGUUUGCAGAGCGACUGGCUCAAAACAAGUCCUUGUGGUAGAUACAGUUGUUUAUAACUUAGUCUGUUUUCUGUGCUGUGAUAGAAUUCCACAGACUGAGUAAUUUGUAUAGAAAAGAAAUUUAUUUCUCAUCGUUCUGGAGCCUGGGAAGUCCGUAUAAAGGCACUGGCAUCUGGAGAGGACUUUCUUGCUGCGUUGGAACGUGGCAGAGGGCACGCAUGGUGAGAGGGAGGGAGCAUGCAAGCUCAUGUCUCUUCUUCUUCUCAUAGAGCAUAAUGGGGCCUCACCUUCCAUCCUGACUCUGAUGACCUAACCCAUCUCCAAACACAUCUGAACAUGGGGAUUAAGUUUCUAAUGUGAACUUUUGGGGGACACUUAAAUCAUAGCAGUGAUCUAGACUAUAAUUCUUGGUAAUACCAGUUUAACUCAGAUGUCUCUCAAGUAUACAGACGUUUUGGUGGUAGCGAGGAACUUAAACUGGCAACUGCACAGUGAACACUUUAGAGUAACGUUACCUGUGUAUGUACACAUCCAGUCCACGGCAGGGUGCACCUGGAAGGAAUGUGCAGUAGUCCACAGUGGCUGCCUGUGUGCAGGGAGUCUCGUCAGAAUGGGAGUCCUGGAGUGUCCAUGGUGACUAGAUCAGCUGUUUGGUUCAGCUGCCACAGUGGAGGAUCAUACUGGCAAAGGAUUGCCAUGUGCUUGUUCUGGGGAUCUUUGACUCUGUAGACAGAAAGUUCCAAUGACAGGGACCAGCAAAGUGAGAAGAGGUGAAAUAUUUUGGGUAAGUAGCUGACAGCUAAAGAUGGUAGAUGCUGAUGGUUUACCUCCCUCCCCCUACCCUUCCCCCAACUCUCUACAUCCUUCCCCCGCUUUAAAAACAUGACACAUUUUUUUUUGUUUACAGGAAAUAAUAAAAAAUUUCCCUCUUAAAAUCUUUCCUGAAUACUUUUUGUAUGUAUUUGUUGCUUUAGUCUUGUAAAAGGGGUCAUGUAUUUACUGUCUUUCUGAAAGAGAAAUUGUCCUUGAUGCUAAAUAUUAUGUUCAUCUUGCAGAACAGGCUAAAUGCUUGCCACAGCUACCACCUCUUCUUCCUUGAUGUGAUUUUUACAUUUACUUCCCCUCAAAAACCACACCAUCUUCUGCCACUUCCCAUAAAGCAGUCAGGCUGGUAACUAUAUUUUGAUACUACUUACCAACCACCAGAUAGAAGUCCUGACAAGUGAUUCCUGAAAAUAGAAAGAGAAUAGCAAGCACUGUCUUUUUACCAUUGUACCAGUUGUCUCCAAACUUAUUUUAAUUCUAUGCUCUAUUAAAAAGAAUACCAUGAGCACACAAUAUUAUAUAUGUGUGCAUCUUUAUAUAGUCUAUGUGUAAAUGUACUUAUGUGUAAUUUUAUUGUAUGUAUCAUGAAAUGUACAUCAAAUCUAAACUACAUAAGAACAUGAAAUAAAUAAUAUUUUAACCAUAAUCUAUUUUAUCUUAUUUCAAUGGCUGUGAUGGUAAAUUUGAUGUUUCAACUUGGCUGGGACAUGGGUUGCCCAGAUAUCCAGUAAAACAUUAAUUCUGGGUGUGUCUGUUUCUAGAUAAGAUUCACAUUUGGAUAGGUAGACUGAGAAAAGCAGAUUUCCCUCCCCAAAGUGGAUGGGCCUCAGUCAAUCCACUGGAGGCCUGAAUAGAACACAGUGUGGGGUUGAGGGAGGAUGUGUAGUCUACGCCUGACUGCUUGAGCUGGGACUUGGUCUUUUUGCCUGAGACUGGGUCUUGCACCAUCGGGGCUCCUGGUUCUCAGGCCUUUGGUCAUGGACUGUAUUAUGUCACAGAUUCCCUGGGUCUGCAAGUACAGAUGAAGAUGGCAGGACUGCUCAGCCUCAAAUCAUGUGUCCCAAUUCCCUAAAAUAAAUCUCUCCAUUUCUCCAUACACUCAUAUAUAUGUGUAUGUAUAUGUAUAUGCAUUUAUGUCUGGAUGCUGAAUACUACAAUUAUAAAUCAUUUCACUCUCAUUAAAAUAUCUCAAAAUCUUAGAUACUGUUGGAAUAAAUUUCAUUGGCCUUUGAAGAGUCUCAUUGUAUUUGGAUCUGAUAUCAAUGAUGAGAUCCUAGAUUUUGAGUUGAGGCUGUGAGACUUUGGGACAUGUGAGAGGGAGUGAGCAUAUUUUGCCUGUAGGAGGGAUGUGAACCAUUAAGGGUCAAAGGGUGGACCGUGGUGGCCAGUUCAAGAUGGCCUCCAGUGGUCCUUGCCUUUUGGCAUUUAGGCUUGUUUAGUCCCCUCCCACACUUCAUCAGGGGUGGUUUUUGUGACCAGUAGAAUAUGGUGGAGGUGAUGGUGUGUGACUUUUGAGGUAUGACUUUGCCCCUUUUGCUUUGCUUUCUUAGUCUGGUGGAUGGAUGCCAACUUCCAUGUUGUGAGGAGACUCAAGCAGCCUAAUUGCAGGUCCACUUGGUGAAGAACUGAGACCUCUUUCAUGGGAUCAGCUUGCCAGCCAAUUGAGUGAGCUAUCUCAGAGGUGGCUCCAUCCCUACUGAAGCCUUCAGAUGUCUUUAGGCCUGGCCAACAUCUGACUGCAACCUCAUGUGAGACCCUAAGCCAGAAUCACCCAGAGAAGCUGCAGCCAAAUUUCUGAUCAUUAGCAACUGUAUGAGAAUCUAAAUAUUUGUUACCUUUUGAAGUCAUUGGGUUGUAGGGUGACUUGUUACACAGCAAUAGAUAGCUAAUAAAAAUAUGAAUAUUUUUGUGGGUUGCUUUUCAGAUAGAGUUUUUCCUUUUCUUUUCUUUUUUUUUUUGACUUUUGUGUGACUAACAAGAGCUCCUGGUAGGACUCAGGAAAGUAUUGGUUCUUUUACUUUUGUAUAAUUUAUCUGUGUUUGCGUUGUUGCUAUUUUCUUCCAUCCUUGUGGAAAUUUUUUAAGCUGCUUCUCUGAAUUGCAAGUGUUACACGCAAACUGUAAUGCAUCAUGAAGCACUAAAAGUGAAUGCAUGACUGAGGACCCACUGCAUUUUGGGUACCCUUUCCUCCCUUAAAGUUCUUCCAUACCACUGUGAUCUAACCUCUGACACCAGAUUGAGUGGAGACACCAAUGUCAAUUGUAUAUUAAAUAUUAAUAGAUUAAUUUCUUCCUGGCUUUUGUUUUGGGAAAAUACAAAACAUAAAAACAGUCCUAAGAUUUUUUGCACACCCCACUCUAGGGCUCAUCUUGGAUGCAGUGGGCUUUGGAAACUGCUGUUUUAGAACAGGGUUUGGCACCCAUCUGCCUGUUUUUCUGAGUGACAUGCUGUUAGAAUACUGCAGUGCUCCCUCCAUGUUGUCAUUGGCUGCUUUGUGUUUAUAAAGACACAGGGUUGAGCACCUGCAGCAGAGGUAUUAUGACCUUCAAAGCCUCAAUCAGAAUAGUCUCCCAUAUCCAUCAUUUGGUUUUCCAGGGUUUCAGUUAUUCAAGCUCAGCAUUGUCUGAAAAUGUUAAAUGGGAAAUUCUAGAAAUAAACAAUGCAUAAGUAUUAAGUUGCAUGCCAUUCUGAGUAGCAUGAUGAAAUUUUGUGCCAUCUAGCUCCAUCUAGCCCCGUCUAGCCCAGGACAUAAAUCAUACCUUUGUUUAACCUAUCCACAGCUGUAUAUGCUCCCUGUUUUAAUCACUUAGUAGCCAUUUGGGUAUCAGAUCAAGUGUUGUGGUAUGGCAGUGUUUGUAUUCAAGGGACCCUUAUUUAACUUAAUAUUGGUUCCAAAGUGCGAGAAUAGUGACUCUGGCAGCUUGGAUAUGCCAAAGAGAAGCCUGGAAAAUGCUUCCUUUAAAUGAAAAGGUGAUCCAUGGUAAGAAAGAAACUUCUAUCUGUAAAAUUGUGAAGAAGUAAAAAGAAAUCCAUACUAAUUUUGAUGUUGUACCUCAAACUGCAGAAGUUAUAGCCACUGUGUAAAUUCAUAGUUAAGUUGGAAAAGGCACUAUAUUUUGGGUGGAAAACAUGGAUAGACAAUGUGUCCUGAGUGACAGCAGUGUGUUGUUCCAAAAAGCCUUAAGCCCAUAUGUUGACUUCAGCAAGGGAUCCCUAAAAUGGGUGACACUAAGCCAUUCAUUUCCAGGAAGGGAUGGUUGCAUGAACUCAGGAGAAGUUUUGGUCUGAAAAUAUAAAAAAUUACUGGAGAAGCUGCAUGUGCUGGUGAACAAGCUAUUGCUGGCGGAUUUGAAAUUGACUAAGGAGAGGGAUGCUAUCCAAAGAAAGUCUCGGUUGUGAUGAAACUGGUCUUUUCUGGAAGAAGAUACCCAGUAGAACCACCAUUCUUGAAAGUGCAAGGGAGCCAGCAGCACAUAAAAUGUGGGAGGGCAGAUUACCUCUUGUGCUAUGUGGCAGUGCCCAGGCAUAGAGUACAGAAAGAAGAACCCAUGUUCUCUCAAAACCAAAAUAAAAAAUGAUCUGCCUGUAUUCUGGCAACAUUAUCAGAAAGCAUGGGUGACAGCCAUCUUGGUUAUGGAAUGGUUCCACCAGUGUUCAUCCCAGAAAUGAAAAAAAAACAUUUGGAAACAAAAGGAUUGGAAUUUGAAGUCCUAUUAAUAAUAAUGCUCCUUGUCAUUCUGAAUCUGCUAUGAAAAUGUUACCUCUAAACACAACCUCGUUGCUUCAGCUCCUUAACCAGGUCAUCAUUGUCAAGGCCACAUUCACUUGUCUGGUACUUGAUCACAUUUGAUUAGUAAUGGAUGCAGGCCUUAAUCUGGACCUAAUGCAGUGCUGGAAAUCAUUCCCUAUUGCUGACUCAAUAACAUUUAUCGUAGCUGCAAUGGAUGAAUUAAAACCAGAAGCUGUAAAUGCUGGCUGGGAAAACUAAUGGAAUGAAGCUGUGGAUGAUUUAAAGAAUUCCCAGAGAAUUGGGGCUGGGGCUCUAGCUCCAUGGCAGAGCACUUGCCUAGCAUGUGUGAAGCACUGGGUUUGGGUUUGAUCCCUAGCACCACAUGAAAAUAAACAAAUAAAACAAAGGCAUGCUGUCCAUCUACAACUACAAAAAAAAAAAAAAAAAAAGAAUUCCCAGGGAUUGAUGGAGAAGUUAGGAAAAAUCAUUCAUGCAGCAAGGCAAGUUGGUGGAGAAGGAUUUACCAAUAUGCUUGGUGAAAAAAAUGGAAAUACAUGUUGAAGGUCAUUGAGAAAUGCUCACAAAUGAGGAAUUGUAAGAACAUGUAGAAUCACCUACAGAGGAAGAGGAUGAAGACAAGAAACUGAAGCAGAACCAGAAAUAUGGACAUCACCAAAAUUUACCAAAGUGUUUCAAAUUGCACAGGCAUCAAACGGUGAGCUUAUGGAAUACAAUCCUUGGGUGAAACACAACAUUAAAGUCACCUACAUGAUCAUGGAAGGAUCACAACCUGUGCAGCCACCCUUGAUAGGUUAAAAAGAAAGAGACUACAACUUCCAAUUGCAAUGUUCUUAUGAAGGAUUCUUCAAAAAAUCCUUCCACUAUAGAGGAUUCCCAUUCACUGAAUCAUCUGCUUCUGACAUCCAGUCACAAAUAUUGCCAUGGCUUGGUGAUCCAGGAUUACCUGAGGCAGAGGAUCCUCCUUCCAACAAGUUGUCAGAAGGUCAGUAGGAGCCUAACACGGUGUCACUGUGUCAGUGUCACUGGCCUGGCUUCACCUCAUCAUGUAGCCAUUAUAUCAUCUGCAUAAUCACAGGAAGGAGGGUAAGCACAGUACAAUAAGAUAUUUUGAGAGAGAAAGAGAACAUAUUCAAAUAAUUUUAUCACAGUAUGUUAUAAUUGUUCUAUUUUAGUUGUUGAUUUCUUACUGUGUCUGCUUCAUAAACUAACUUUAUCAUAUUUAUUUAUAGGAAAAAACAUAAUAUAUGUAGCUUGGUACUAUCCAAGAUUUCAAGUAUUCACUGAGGUCUUGGAAGAUCCUCCCCACAGAUAAGAUGGGUCUACUGUAUUUACCAUCUGGCCCUUCACAGAAAAAGGUUGCCAUCUUUGGUUUAGAAAAUGGACGAAGUUUGAGAGGUUCCAAAUGCUUAGCAUCAAUUCAUUUUUUCCAUUCAGACAGAGGCAGGCAAUUUGAAGUAUAGAAGUCACCUAUGGACUUCUGAGAGAAUGUUCUUCUGUGUCUGCUCCUGGCAGUGUAAUUCUGGCUGGUUCAGGACAUGGGGCUUUGAUUCUUUUAAAGAGUCUGUAUCCUAGGAUCUAGUUACUUGAACUUUAAGAGAACUGAUAGUGAGUAGAAAAAAACAAACUCUAUUUCCCCUAUUAUCUUCUCACAACAUGAUAUGCACAACAUUUCUGACCCCAAAUGUACACAGGUUUUCCCCUUCCACCAAGCAAACGAUCAACUCUGCAGCAAAUACCAGCUGGGUGUCCUUUAAUGCAGUUCAAAUCUGAUACUGUCUACCUUGAGACAGCAUUAGAUGCUACAGUUUGAGGACUCAGUAUCACAAGACUGUCCCCCACUUCCCUUGAAAAUCUCAAAAUAGAGUGUCAUCUAUACUUCUAACUAGUGGGCUAUAGAUUGAGGUUUCCAUGACUCCCUUCUUGGGCUUAAUUAAUUUGCUAGGAGAGCUCCCUGAACUCAGGGAAACACUGGUUGAUUAGAAAGGAUACCAUAAAGCAUACAGAGGAAGAGCCAGAGGGAAGAGAUGUAGAGGGUGAGCCACAUGAGAGGGCACGUGGAGCUUCUAUGCCCUCUCCAGUAUGCCACUAGCAACCUCCACAUGCUUAGCUACCCCGAUGCUUUCCAAACCCAGUCUGUUUGGAUUUUUAUGAAAGUGUCAUCAUAUAGGCAUAAUUGAUUAAAUCAUUGGCUGUCAGUGAUCAACUUAAUCUUUAGCCCUUCUCCCAUCCAUGAAGUUUAGGGGUUGGGACUGAAAAGUUCCAACCCCCUAAAUCAUGUCUUAGUCUUUCUUGAGACCAAUUCCCAUUCUGAAGCCUCAUAGGGGCUGCCAGCCACCAGUCAUCUAGUUAGAGUAUAAAAAACACACUCUGGAGAUUCUGAGGAUUUUAGUAGCUUUUAUGCCAGGAAUUAGGGAAAUACAUCUAUUUUACAAUAUCACAGUGAUCUGGUAAUGAAAAUAACUGGGUACAGCUCUGCUGUGGCAUCUUGUGCACUGUGGUUGAAGGGACAUCACUAGCCUUUCUUUCUACCUAUGUCCAUCGUAAAUAGUAGUCCAAAGAGUUUUCUCUUCUCGUUUCUCAAAGCCGUUGUCUUUGAUUCUUCUCUUUGGUUGUUCUUCUCAAAGAUCUUUGCUUGAAUGUCACCUCCGCAUCCAAGCUCAGCUAAAUGCACCUGUAAUGAGUCUUUUCUGAAUGCUAGUCUAAGGGGCCUACUCCAUUACUCUCUUAUUGUUCUGUAUUAUUAUUUUUUCUUCAGAUACUAAUUACUAUUUAUUAUUUUAUUUAUGUCUAUGGUCUGCUAGAUAACAAACUACUAGAACCAGAAAUGGGAUGACCUUAUCUACCUUAUUCAUAUUCGUAUCUUCAGGGAUAAAAAAAAAAAAAAAGGUGUUUGACCCAAAGAGUGAAUAACUGAGAAUGAACAAGAGGAUGACUGAUGUGAUUUUGUAUCUUGCUGUGGAAUGGAUCUUUGGUCAUGGUUCAGAAAUCAUGGGCAAAGGAUGUGAAGAUAUUUGUGUCUUAUGUAAAUGCUCACCAGAAGGUGACCUCAGCAGAGGAGGACUUUAAUAAUCAAGUAGAUAGGAUUAUUGGAAAAGGUUUGGGGCUGAAUAAAGCAUAUUGUUCCCCACCCGCUUCUUUCAGAUUCAUUAGCCAUGUCCAUUAGACCAGUGUUUAACCCAUCUAGUGACUUAAAAAAAUUGUAAUGACAGUAUAUCUUAUUUCUGGAAUUCCUAUUAGUUCACCUUUUAUUUUUUAAUGCUACAUUUUGCUUCCCACUCAAUUUUCUACUUUUUCAUUAUGGUGUAUAGACCAUCUUUUAUAUUUUGGGUAGGAACAUUUCUAUUGUCCAUAUCUCCUGGAGAACAGAUUUUUCCCUCUGCCAUCUCUGCUGAUUUUUCCAUGAUGACUUGUUUCCUGAUAGUGUCUGUCAUCUUUAAAUAUGUAAGCUUAUUUUUGAGUGUGGGCUCGUCUUUGAAUGUGAGCUCAUCUUUGAGUGUGAGCUCAUUUUUGGCAGGGAUUGUGCCCUGCAGUAACACAGGUUCCUGACUGUGCUCUUGUCUAGAUAGUCUUGGUUUUUAUUAUCCUUCAGGGGCCUAAUGGGUUUCAGUGGUUCUGAACCAUUUUAAAAAAUUAAAUACAUAUAACGUAAGUUUGCCAUCUUAACAAUUUUUAAGUGUUGAAUAUAUUCACAUUGUUGUGCAUCUAAUUUUUAGAACUUUUUUUUAUCUUUGAAAACUGAAACUUUAUGUCCAUAAACAACAACUCCCAUUUCCUCCUCUCCACAGCCCCUGGCAACCAAUAUUCUACUUUCUAUUUCUGUGAAUUUGACUUCUUUAGGUCCCCCAUAUAAUGAAAUCAUACAGUAUUUGUCUUUUUCUGACUGGUCUAGUUCACUUAGCUUAAGACUAAAUAAUAUUUCUUGUAUGUUUAUACCACAUUUUAUGUAUCUGUUCCUCUACCAGUGGACAUGUGGGUUUCUUUCACCUUUUGGCUUUUGUGAAUAAUGUUAUUAUGAACGUGGAUGUCCAAAUAUCUUUUGGAGACCCUGCCUUCAAUUGUUUUGUUUACUUUUUUUUCUUUCUUCUGUGCUGGGAAUCAAACCCAGGGCCUUGUACCCGCCAUGCUAAGCAAGUGCUCUAUCACUGAGCUACACCCACAUCUCCAAUUCUUUUGGAUAUAUGCCUAUGAGUAUGUGCUGUACAUGUUUGUAUUGAUUUUUCAGCUGAGAUUCUCUCAGUGUGUAGGUAAUACAUGUGUGAACACUGUAUCAGGUGUAUAGCAGGCAUGCGGCUCUGACUUCCUAUGGAUGUCUUUUUCUACCUACUGCCCUAAGCUGAUGGUAAGCUUCUUUGCUGAUACCCUAAACCAAUGUGCUGAGCUUCUAAAUUCAGUGUCACAGUCCAGGCAAAGCUUUAUGACUCCAAGUUUUAUACAGGAGCUUAGUUUCAGCUCCGUGCCUUGCAUGGGCCCAGGUCUUUGUCUCCUUUUCCUGUGUAGGUGUUAAACUAGAGGCCCAGACCUGUUAGGCCAUAUCUGUUUACAACACCUCUGUCAUCUGUUUGGCUUCAGUUCCCAUUCACCUCUUUCUUUAUUUCUUACACCAGGGGAUUUCCUUUUAUUGAUUCUGAGUAUGAAUUUAAAAAAAGUUUAUCUGACAUUUUUAGGUGUUUGGUGUGUGUGUGGGUCCAUGUGUGCGAUCUUGCAGGUCUGCUCAGCCUGUGGUGCCAAUACAUAUUUAUUUAUUCACUCAAUAUUUUUGAGCAUUUAUGGCAGACACCAUGAUAAACCUAAAAUGACUAAAUAGUAAAUCUUCUGAACUCCUGCAAGUAGGGAUGAUAUUUAAUCAAAAUACCCCAAAUGGCAAGAUAUAGAUGUUGCUGUGCAGUAGGGGGCAGUGGAAUCUAUUUUUAGCUUUGACCCUAAGUAGAAAGGUUCUCUUGUCAAAACUGCAGAAUCAGCCCUUACUCAGAUUAGAAGACCUCCUUUCAUUGUUGUUCAGAUUAGCAUUUUAUUUGGUUAAAAGUUUCAACACCCCCCCAGAACACAGAAUUAUAUUAUAUGGCAUUUCUUGUUUAUUGUAUAUAAAACUGCCUAAAUUAACUGUACAGUGCCAUUGUGGAAAGUCCAGAUGCAGGGCACAGAGACUGGCAGAGCAGAACUCUAAGCAGAGGUCACAGAGCAUACCUGUAAUCGCUUGCCCUAGAAGAGAGGGAAGUCAUCCUGUGGCAAUAAGUACAGUUGUCCCUUGGCAUCUGUAGGGGUUGCUUUCAGGACCUGAAAAUACCCAAAUCCAGGGAUGCUCAAAUCUCUUACAUAAAAUGUCAAAGUAUUUGCAUAUAACCUAACACAUCCUCCUCUAUACUUUAAAUCAUCUCUAGAUUAUUUAUAGUAGCCAAGGAUGUAAAUGCUGUGUAAAUUAUUGUUAUUCUGUAUUGUUCAGGGAACAAUAACAUGAGAAAAAAACCUAUACAUGUUCAGUUACAGACACAAUAUUUUCCCCAAAUAUUUUAAGUCUGUGGUUGGCUGAAUCCACAGAGGCAGAACCAUGAACACAGAGGGCUGACCGUGAUAACAGGCAGGCAUUUUUGCAGUAGGUAGCUUAGGCUGCAGUGGUAAUUUUGACCAAUAAGUUUAUACAUGUGGCAUGUGCACCAGCAAAGUCCAAGGAUUCUCUGCAAACAGGAAUAAGGACAAUGAGACAGGCAAUAUCUACUCUGUACAACUUGACACAGAGAAGGAACUCAUCGGACAUGUAGAAGAGGAUUAGCAAAAUUUGGAAAAUGCAAGAGAAAAGGGCAUAUGAACCAGACCAGAUGUGUCCUUUUAUUAUUGUUAACAUUAUUAUUAUUUUUUGGUUAAAACUUUUCAACUUCUCCUACUCUAAAAUGAUAAGCAGUAUACAGCAACACAUACCAGAAUUAUAUUAGAUAGCAUUUCUUGUUUAUUAUAUAUAAAAUUGCCUAAAUUAAUCAUAGAGUAAAAUAUACAUGCUACUCAUUUUAUUUUUACUUUAUUUGCCCACAAUUUAUGUUUUGUGUUCUUUAUAUCUUUCUGAAUUAAAAAGCACUUCCAGAUACUAUUGUAGGCAGAUUCUUGAACUCCAACGGUCCUACCUGACUUUGUAGGCAAAAUAUGAAUGCUUGCUCACAGUGUACCAAAUCAGAGAGAAGCCAUUCCUUCUAAUGUUGAUCAACAAGCCUACUUCAUUAGUUACAUUAUAAUCACACACAAACAGCUCAGUGAGCUGGGUGUUGUCUUUGCCCCCUUUGUUUUUUAAAAAAUAUUUAAAAAUUUGUUCUAAUUAGUUAUACAUGUCAGUAGAAUGCGUUUUGACACAUCAUUCAUAAAUGGAGUAUAAUUUCUCUUUCUUCUGGUUGUACAUGAUAUAGAAUCAUACCAGUUGUGCAGUGUAUGCACAUAGGGUAACAAUGUCAGAUUCAUUGUACUGUCCUUAUACCCCUGUCCUCCCUUUGCUCCCCUCUAUCUAAUCCAAAGUAACUCUAUUCUUCUCUAGCCUCACUCACUUCUUGUGAAUCAGUAUUUGCAUAUCAGAGAAAACAAUUGGCCUUUGGUUUUUUGGGCUUGGCUUAUUUCACUUAGCAUGAUAUUCUCCAGCUCCAUCCAUUUGCUGGCCAAAGCCAUAAUCUCAUUCUUUAAAGCUGAGUAAUAUUCCAUUUGUAUAUAUACCACUUUUUCUUUUUCCAUUUAUCUGCUGAAGGGUACCUAGGUUGGCUCCACAGUUUAGCUAUUGUGAGUUGAGCUGCUAUAAACAUUGAUGUGGCUGGGUUACUAUACUCUUUGCCCCCUUUGUAUCAAGUGACAAAACUGAAACUUAUAUUAAAUAAUUUGCCCAACGUCAUACAGCCAGUAAAUGAAGAAAGGGAAUUGGUCAUAGAAGACCUAGGUGGAUGCUAUUUUCUGUUUUUGUUUUGUUUUCAAUCAUGAGUAUGGAAUUUUUUCAAAUGCUUUUCUGCAUUGAUUGAUGUGAUCCUGUGACUUUUCUGUACUUGUUCAUAGGGUGGUUUACACUGAUAGAUUUUUGAAUAUUGAAUGAGACCUGCAUCCCCGUUGGCAGGUAUGUAUGUUUUUAUGUUUUUGCAUCUCUAAUAUGAAGAAUAUUGGUCUUCAGUUUUCUUUUUUCUUAAACUGUCUUUUUGUAUUUUCCUGUCCUGUUUUUGGGAUUGGGUAGCACUAGUUUCACAAAAUAAAUUGGGAAUUGUUCCCUCCUUCUUUUUCUGGAAGAGUUAACAUAAAAUUGGUAUUAGUUCUUCUUUCAGUGUUUGGUACAAUUCUCAGUGAAACCAUCUGGGCUUAGAGAUUUUUUUGGUUGGUGAAAGGAAAGUGAGGAAGCAAGGGAGGGGCGAGCGAGAGAUGAGGGACAGAGGCCAGGCAGAGACUCAAAGCUGACAAAUAAAGGCCCUCUCUCUGUAGGAGAGAGGGGCCCCGAGAUGUCAUGUACUCAGCUUUUGUGGGGUAGGGGUUUGGAGCUGGAGCUGUGGCGCUGUGGGGUAGGCUUGGGCUGGUGGGAAUAGCAUGGGAUUGGCUCAGGUCAUGGCACCAUGGGGCUUUCCAGAGCAAAGGGGUCUGUCCUUCUGGGAUUGGCUUAGGUUAUGGUACCAUGGGGUAGGUCACUAAUGGGGACAGGGGAGUUCAGGUAAGAGGAAGAACAGGAAAGCAAAACUUAUCUCCUAAGAUGGUGGCUAACAUUAAAGAUGGCUGUUCGAAUGUUAAAUUAAGACCCUAUAGUUGGGACUUUAAAAAUUAUGCACUGGAUUUUCUGAAUAGUUAUGUGAUUAUUCAGAUCACCACUUAAUACUGGGAGUGUUGUGAUAAGUGGGGUUUCCGAGGAAGUGGCCCAUUUUGUCUGGGUGGUCACACUGAUGCAGGUAGGGUUGUGGUCCCUUGUCACCCUUGUGAGGGUUUCUGCUUUUUCAUCUGCAUGCCAUUGGCUGGAGGAAGAUGUCCCAUGUCCUGACUACUUCUUCCAUCUUCUCUGCCACGACCCUGACGUGGUGUUGGCACAUCUCAGAGCCUGGCAAGGUGAGGUCCAGGCUCUCCUGCCCACUUGGGGCAGGGUGGGGCCAGGUUCCUGUGGUGUGGGGCUGGAGGACAGCAGGUAUUGUCUAAAUGUUUCCCAUCUAGCUCAACUGGGCUUUUGGUUAAAGAGGGAAGGCCUCUCUGGGCCAUUUUUGUGUGUAUCUGUUGGCAUUUCAGGGCUGCCAGCUUCCUCAGGGGCAGAUCUGUGAUAUACAGGACAAAAGAAAACCCGGAAGCCGGAGGGAAGCCCAGCGCAGUUGUUCCUCGAGUCCCAAGGUUUCUGCUCAGCCUGCUUCCUUCUUUCCAGCGUCCAGUCUUCUUCCGUUCUCUCUAUAGGCACACAGGUCCCGAUGUCCUGCGCUUCCAGCUGUAAUUUGUGGGAGAAACAGGGAAAGCACACCUGCUCUACCUUCCUGGUGGGUGGUAUUUUAAAAGAUUAAACUUGUGCUAUGUUGCUCUGAUUUUUAAAAUACCAUAUUCUCAGUAAGAUUCUGAUGAUACAAAAAGGAGAAAAAGGAAAGUAAUAGAAGGCGGGUAGGAUCGCGAAGUAUAGAGAGGGGAGAAAACAGUAUGGGUGUGGGGGGGUCACAGAGCUUUUCAUUUUUUUACAACUUUAGACCCUUUCUGUCUACAUUUUUCUCUAUAACUAAGAGAAUAGAGACAGAUUUUCCUUUAAGGAAACCUGAUCUAUGCAGCGUUGAAUUUACAAAAUGAAUAGAUCAGGAUGCAAUUCUGAGUUUUCUCUAAGUUACACAAAACUUCUCAGGGACUCAAGUGUUAUAUAAAGUCAGCUUGGAAUAAUUUUACUUAAUAACCACUUUGGGAUUCUUGGCAUAAAUAUCAUUCACAUCCAUAAGUACAACAGACUUUCACUUAGAAAGUGUUCUGCUAUCACAGAUUAUGUUGCAUAUGAUUUUUGUUCAAAUUAGUCUUCACAUGAAUGCCCUGCUAUUUGAGUUGACCAGAGCAACCUGAGGCAGAUAUCAUUCCUGCAUCCUGACGCCAACAUCAUAAUAGAGCUCUACUGAAUUAGUGGAAACAUUUUCCAUGAGAUUCCUGCCCUGGUGUAAACUGCAGUCAGGCGUUGAUGUUUUCACAUUAGCAUCCCCACGCCAAGUGUUACUCUAAUGGUGUUCUCAUGUCACACAGCACUGGGGUCUAAAUGAGUUUUCCUAACAGAGGCCUGCUUCAAAGGUGGCCCAGCCAUUUCAUACCAUUUCUUCCAUGCCUCCGCUUCAACGGACAUUUCCCUAUCUCGUUUCAUCUUCCUGCAAGAAAUAACUACAAUCCGCAACAUGAAUCACCCAUUUUAACUAUGUUGUAAAUUGGUUAUUUAAAAACUAGAGACGAUGUUUUUGGUAGUCAAACUGAAAUUGGGGGAAGGGCAGAGAGUCCAGUCCUCAAAGGACAAAAAUCUACACUGAUCUUAAAAAGCAAAACCCAGCACAGAGUUUCUUGACUAUUUUUCCACAAAAGCAAGCCAUUGUAUUUCCAUUUCUGGCCAUGUCAGCAGUGACGGGCCCCCGCACCCCCACCAUUUUUUUCAAGCAUUGAUUGUUGACUUCCCCUGACACCCCAUCACAAUCCAUUAGCACUGAGAACUGACAAGCCCAGCUGCAACAGCAGAAUGGCAAGUUUGAAAGAAAAUAUCGAAAGCACAGGCAAAGCUGGGCUAUUAGGACCCAUGCAAGGCCUGAGCGCGGCAACUCCCUCUCCCCACCCCCUGGACGCCAUUGCCAAGGUCAGCAAAGUCAGUACAUUUUCUUUAAUCCAGACUCCAAGGCCUUGAGGAAAUUGUAAGGAGUAGUGCUUUAUUUUUACUUUCAUUUUCGAAGGAAUCGGGUUGAGGAAUAUGAGAACAGAAUUGGCUAAAGUGCUUUUGCCUGAGAAUGCUAAUACACGUUAUGCCUCUUUUCAAUCCAAAGCAUCUCAGACAUCAGAAGCUCAGCGGUGCUGGGCUCCUGGGGACGCGCUUCUUUAGUUAUGAGUCCUUUCCUCUUUCCCUUCUGGUGGGAGAGUCACAGUAGCGGCAGCAGUGAGCGUUGUCAUUGUACAGUUGCUGGCCCAGGGGACCGAGUGACAGCGCCAGCUUUCCAGAAGCCCAUGUUUGUGGAGAUAGGAGUUCCAGCGAGGGCAGCCAGCUUGUCAGAAUCUAGAGUCAAGGCACUUAGUGAGAAAGCUGGGUGUAAGUUUGGCACAGUCAGAGACUGGGAGAUGGGCAACUGGGCUCCUAGUGGCUGUCGUCCAUUUUGGUGAAAGAUCUAACUGCAAGUGGCCCAAGUGUCCUGAAUAGAUAAGAAUAAAGGGCCGAAUGAGAAGCCAGGAUUGAGGAGUUCCCUUAUACCCACCCCUGUGGUGGAGAGGAGGCGGUGAGAACGUGCCCUGGUGACAACUAUGGCCUCCUCAGGAUGCCCAGCGUUGGGCGCUGUUGUCACUGGGUGAUGGUAAGACAGCUGUAGGCCGGGAAACAGGAAUGGGUGCCAUAGUGAGUUUUAUGGCCUACUCUGCCUUCCAGCCUGUGGGUGCUGGGGCUCCCUCUUACCUCCAACCUUGUUUUGUGUCUUACUAAGCUUCCUACUGUUUCUUGCUGGUCCAGACCCCUAGGGGAGGGAAGUCAGGAGUGACAGCCACUCCGGAGUGCCUGGGGUUCAGACAGGCCUGCUCCCUUUCCAAGAAACAAGCCUAGAAACUCUCCUUGGCUUCUGACAUUCUCCCCUGAUUCCUCCCCCAACAAUUCUCACUCUUUAGACAAGGUGCCUGCUGUGGCUGAGGAGGGACCCAUUCGGAAAUCUCAGUCUCCUGGGCUUUUUGCUCAUUGGCUUGCUGGGUGCAGGCUGGGCCCUGGUAGAUGCAACUCCUUAAAGAGGACCAUGAGGCCUUCUGAAGCCGGGCCUGACUCAGACGGGGAGCCACGGUAUGGAUGACCUGCCUGGUACCUGCUCUUGUAUCCAUCUCGCUAACCCUAGAGGUUGUGGCUGCUUCAACUCUGAGCCAACCCUGUUCUUCAUUUGCAGGGGCCUCUGGGGAGACCUGGCCCCAUGCUGUCUUCGGUGUUCAGAUCAUGACCUUGAACAUGGUUACAAAGACCAGUCUGUCCUAGGGCCCAGGUUUCUGUCCUCUCCUCCACCUCCUAGACCUAUUUCUGGGUCAUCUCCUUGGGUACCACCUGCGUGCCUGUUUAGACCUCUUGGAUCACCUGUUCUUCCCCUGCUAAAGCAGACCUUGGGUUUGGACUGGGUCUGGAUCUUUGGCUGAAGGCAUGUCUGUAUGGCUGAGGCAGUCUGGGCUCGGUUAUCUUUGGAUUCUUGGCCCACAUGCCAGCUCUUCAUUGAACCAUCCUGGGCUUGCACUCAUGCUCUGGCUCCGACCCAGAUGACCCAUCCUGCAGAUGAGCAGUUCAAACCUUGCUUGUUCCAGUUCAUCUAGAAUGCUCCUGCAUUCAAUCCUCAUAGAACUAGUUCUAGUGCAUUCUGUGACUCAGCCACACCUACUAAUGUCCUGAAGUUUCUGACUGUCUGGUCCCCUCCCCUGCACAGAGCAGUGGGAGGGCAGAGCUUCUCUGUGGUCACAGCACAAGGGAGUGCAGGGUAAAGGCCAGAAUCAUGAGCAAGGGAGAAGUUAAGCUAGAAAGAUGGAUCCUAAAUGGGCCACAAAACCAAGCAGACCCUGGCCCUCGGUCCCAUCCAGAGAGUGCUUGGAGAACCCCAGGAGAAGGUGAUGGGCUUGGGAGACAACCAAGAAAAUGCUGGUGUCUGGCAGGUGGUCCUGGUGGAGUCCAGAGAGCGCGUGCCAGAACCUCUGGCUGUUAUUUCACAUGCUCUGGCUCUUGUUUUUGUGAGUGAGGCAGGUCCAUAAAGCUGCUGCAAUGUGACAGAUAUUGGCUCAUCACCAGUAAAGGUUUAUUAAGUACCUCUGGCUGCAAGCCCAUGUCCUUGCAAGGUGAGAGCUGAGAUUCCGAGGAGUCCCCGAGUGGAAAUUGGAGGUGUGGCAGUGGGACGCACAGAGAUCAUGAAUUUUCAAGGCUCUCUGGGGAACAAUCCCUUUUUCUUGUUUCAAAAAAAUAGAUCAAAACGAUGAAGAAACAGAGAGGGAGAUAAAAUAAUUGUGUAUUUAUUGCAUGUUAGGCAGUGAGUCUCUGUAUACACACACAUACACACACACACGUUUGGCAAAAUCCUAUGAAGCAGGUGAAAUUAAUGUCAGUGCCAUCUUAUUAUAGAUGAGGCAACUAUAAUCACAAGAUUGAACUUUCACACAUUUCUCACGUAGACCCUUCACGACCCCAUCACGAUUUUCUCCUAUUUAAGAAGCAUCUAGGAAAAGUUCAAAUUUAAAUGAUUAAAAUUGGCUUGGGAGAGAUAGACACCUUGCUCUUCCACUUAGCCAGACCUGGGUCCUACAAGCCUGUUUUGAGGGAGAAUUUGUACUUGCUCUGUAGACAUGAAAAAGUUCAUAAGAAACAAAAUUGACAGGAAAACAAUGGAGAGAAUAGCUCCGGGUUCCUUGGGUUGAUUCUUUGUUAAUGAUCAAGAGGUGCAUUUAGGACAGUGGCUGAUAUAUCAGAUCAGAUUCUCUUCUUUGCUGUUUGGUGUCAUUUUCCCCAGGCUUCCACAGAUGGAGAAGAAGGAUGUUGAGAACUUGGCCUAAUAGUAUGAAUGUUUCUGUAACAUGGCAUGUGCAAAAGCAGAAAGAAACACAUGAAAGGAGGAAGGAAGCAAAUUAGAAAUUAGACUGUUUCAGCUGGGCACAGUGGCACACAUCCCAGCAACUUGGGAGGCUGAGGCAGGAGGAUCGCAAGUCCAAAGCCAGCCUCAGUGACUUAGUGAGGCCCUAAUAUAAAUAAAUAAAUAAAAAUAAAAAGAUACAAAGGGCCGGGGAUGUAGCUCAGUAGUUAAGCGCUUCCAGGUUCAAUUCCAGGUAACAAAACAAAACAAAAAACUGUUUCAAAUAUUAAAUCAACAAAGCCUGGUAGAGCCUUUCUCCUAACUUUGAGUUAACACGAGACUUUCACCUAAAUUUGGCAAGUGGGAGGCAAAUCUACAUUUGCUGACUUGGACGGGGUUCAGGGUUUCUCUGCUUACCUGGGGAGCACUAUGGAUUUGCAAACCCUAUUAUAAUAAAAUCUACAGAUCCGGUGACUCCUGAGUAUCCUCCAGGUGCAUUAUUGGGCAGACCCAUGUGUGAACCCUUAUAAACUGUGACUACAAUUUAGAAAGGCCGGGUCUUGGAGUGUGAAAAUGCCAGGAUGCAUCAGGAAACCCCAGAGAGGGCCUGGUCCCAUCGUGAAGAAAAGCCUCCUUUGAGAAGCUGGGCCCCCAUUGGAUGCAGACAGUGAUACCCGAGAGUUUGUGCAAAGUGCAGGACCAGGCUCAGGUGCAGGACAGCCCAGGAACGCAGCAUGCAAGCUUAAUGACUUCCCAGCUACUCCCAGCAGCCCAUCUCAAAGCCGAUAAGUUACCCUUAAGACACAUCUUGGCCAGGCGCACCUGCCUGGAUCCCCACUCCUGGCCUGGAGCUGGAUGCCCAGGUCCUGUGUAUCCUACAAGGUCCCAGCCCCUCCCCCUGUGGCCCGGAGUUUUCCUCAUUGCAGUAAAACCUUUUCCACCUGCUGUUCUCAGCACAGUGGUGGGAGGUGUUUGGUGUUUUCAUCUAGUCACCCACCAUUGUAGAAGGGACUCAGCCACUUCAAGUGUUGCCCUAAAGCUCCUCUACAACAGGGAAACUUGUCCCUGCCACCCAGGUGCCUGCCUGUGGGCCUGGACCCUGCUCAUGGGCUCCACUCUGUCCCCUGCUCUUCCCGUGACACUCACCCCAUCCCCCUCCUAGAGGUCCGGCCUGCCAUUGUUGAGUGAGCUGGGCCCUGAGCUGAGUUGCUUUAUGCAUGUUUUUAUUUUUAUUUUCAGUGUAGCAGUGUAUUUAAAGAUUUUAAAAUUUUGCACACAUACAUAUUUUAUUUAAAAUAAAAUUCUCUCACUAGUAUUUCACAACUUGUUUUGUGGUGCCUGUGUUCCUGGGUCUUUUUUUUUUUUUUAAUUGGUUCUUUUUAGUUAUACAUGACAGUAGAAUUUAUUUUUAUAGCAGCUCAAUUCACAGUAGCUAAGCUAUGGAACCAACCUAGGUGCCCUUCAGCAGAUGAAUGGAAAAAGAAAAUGUAGUGCAUAUGCACGAUUUUAAAUCCCCAAAGAAACUGUGAGGAGGCUACCAUUCUAACCCCAUUAUCUGUAGAGAUGUCCAGGAGCCUGUGCAAGAAUGUUCCCCAGGCCUGGCUGAGCCUGGAGCCAAGCCAGGCUUCUCCAAGUCCUCACAUGUUACUGUCUCCCCUGCUGUCUCCAGAGCAAGCCCUUCUUGUUCCUCUCUGCAGAAGAGUGCCCCAUCUCCUCAUAACUUCACUCAAAAUCUACCUGUGAUCUGGCCAUUUCCCCUAAUAAUCUCUCUGAAUAAUUCAGUAUUUCAGUUUCCAUAAGCACGAUUUAAGGCCAACUGCUUUAUCACUGAGAGUGGAGACUCUUAAAUCAAAGACUAGCUGUCUUUAGUCCAUUCCAAGUGACAUCUUAGGUUUGAUUUGUGGUUUAUGAGACAAAAUGGUAAAAGUUCCAAAUGGAUGUAUCCACUGUAGUUUUUAAUGUAUUUCAAAAUAAGUUUGUACAUAACCAGGGAUUAUGGAAAUCAUAAUUAUAUCGAUGUUUACAAAUAAGUCAUCUACAUCUGUGGUUAAUUAUAUAGGUGAAUUGUUUGUGUGUGUAUACAUGUACAUGUAAUUAUACAUACAUGUAUAUACACACACACACAAAUAUACAUGUACAAAUAAUUUGGCCACUUGUAUCUAUACAACACAUAUUCUCUAUUCUCUCACAUCUGUGAUUAUAAAUUACCCAACAACUGAGUCCAAUUAGAAUUUGGACCAGAAGUAAAAUGAAGAUGACAUUCAACCUGAAAAAGAGGGAUAUUCUUUGUGAAAUAGAUUUCAACACAAACUCUUCUGAGGUGGCUUUAUAUACUUUGCAUAAAAAAGUAUUUUGAUUUGAUUUGUGAAAUAAUUGUCUUUGCAAAGUUGUAAGUAAAUACAAUCUUAUUUAAAAUGCUUGGGGAGGCAGACAAAUGGCUAAUUACCAUAUGAAAAAUGUUCAAACUUAUGAGUAUCAAAGACAUGUAAAUUAAAAGAACACUGAGUCUUUUUUGUCUAUCAAAUUGGCAAGUUUAAAACAUUAUACCCAGAGUUUGUGAGGAUGAACAUUUGUUGGAAGAGCACUUUGGCAAUAUGUGUAGAUAUGUGUACAUAAGUGUAUUUAAAAUGUUUAGACCCUUUGUUUAAGUAAUCUUGCUUCCAGGGCUUUUUCUAGGGAAAUCUUGAAAUAUUUAUCAUGCAACAUUAUGUAUAGUAGUUACAAAUUAAAGACUCCAUAAUAGGGAAUAGGGAAACAGGGUGGAUCUAGAUGCUGUAUCUCUACCUAGAUAAUCUAUGUAAAGUAUCUUUAAUGCAUUAAGUAAAAAGGCAAGCUAUAACCCCAUCUAUUACAUUAGCACCAUGGUUUUAUGAAACAAUAUGUUUGUAGAUGUGUAUAGAAAAACAGCUAGAAGGAAAUGUAUCAGAAUGUUCACAGCGGUGGCGGGUCCCGUUGGCUUUUAAUUCUAGUUUCUUCGUGUUGCCAGAUUUCUACAAGAGUAGUCCUGUCUGCAGAAUGCCAGACCUAACCCUGCAACAUUAAGAAGUGCACUGGCUGGGCGAGAGGUCGGAGUCGGUGGGCAGACAGCUCCCCUCAGGACAAAGACUUUCAAGCUGGGACUCUAUCAGAGGAGGUGAGUGGGGACAUCUCCCCUGGGACUCCUGUCCUGAAGCCAGGCCCCUGUGUCCUGUGCAUGAGAUUAGAAGCUGACAAAGCUCCAGCCAACCCACCUGGGUCCCAGCAGGGAGCAGGCUGCUUACCUGUGGUGACGUGCGAGCAGGGGCACCCGUGGGAUUGGGAGGUGGACCACCUUGUGUCCUGGCUUGGGGUCGGGAAGAAGGAAGACCCAGCAUGGGACAGCAGUGCUUCUGUGCUGUGGAUUUCUGGAGACCCGGGCGGAGGCACCAGGCUGGGGAGGGAAAGAGCCUCCUGUGCUACUGGGAAUGAUUUAAGCCGCAAGAAACUGGGGCCUUGACCCCACAGACGCUUAUUACUUUUUGUGAUAAUGGGAACACUAGAAGCUGAUCUUGCAGCUCAGCAAUGCCACCAGGGACCCAGGCUCUUGUCAGCAAUCGCUUUUCUGCUGAGUUUACUGUUUAUGCCUUAGGGUUGUAAGAUGGCUGCUGCUGCUCCAGAUAUCAUAAUUCCCAUCCCUUCAGGAGCCCCGAGCAGAAUCUCCAUUGCAUAUUGUUAGGAAAACUGGGUCACAUGUCACCCAAUCCCCUUGGCUCCAAGGGAACCUGGAGAAUUGACGUCCUGCAAGGGGAAACAAAUGGGCACAAAUGCCUUAGGCCAGCUGUGAUCUCCUGGCAGGACACAUUCAUUCAGGUUACAGCCGGGAUUUGUCCUCAGAGAGGUAGGAAUGGCUAUGAGGUAGGCAAUACCUAUACACAACAACACUCAAACAAGAUCAAAAGAAUUCCUGCCUGAAAACUGUAAACAAUAGAGAAGUAGGAACAUUACUUUAAAAUAAAUACAUUUAUGACCUUCAAUAAGUUACAGAAAGAACUACAAAACAUGAAUUCAACAGGCAGUUGGAUCGAGAAUAGAUGUUGAUGGUUGGGCGAGUGGAGCACAUCUGUACUCCAGUGACUCCAGAUGCUGAGGCAGGAGGAUUGCAUGUUCAAGGCCAGCCUGGGUAACUUAGCAAGACCCUGGGCAACUUAGCAAGUUGUUGGGUAACUCAGCAGUAAAGUGCCCCUGGUUUCAAUCCCUAGUAUUAAAAAAAAAGGCAAUCAAUCAAGCAAGAAAAAAAAGGCGUAUACAGAUAAAAAUCAGAAAUCUUGGAAAUUAAAGUACAGUCAUCAAAAUAAAAAAGCAAAUCUUACAAAUGAAAUACUGAACUGGGUGUCGUUGAAGAGGUUGAGAUGGAAGCCAGACUUUGCCUGUCACCUGGAAAGCCACAGAGAGUCAGAAUCAGGAGGGACGUGGAAGGCGAGCUGAGAGAUUACACGUCGUUAUGAUGGAUAUUUCUAGAAGACAAUAAAGAAUAGAAGAGAAGCAAUAUUUGAAAAGAUGGCUAAGACUUUUCCAGAAUUAAAGGUAAACAUGAAUCCUGGCAUGAAAAAGGCAUUUUGUUAAGCAGAACUAAAAGAAAACAAAACAACAAACAAAACUGAACAAACCUGCCCAGACCUCACACCAGAUGAGAUCAGAGAAGAGGGGAAGACGAGGAACUGCAGCCAGGCGAGGGCAGAUUCUGCAGGUGCCUGUGAUGGAAGGGCCCCUUGAAGGUCUGAGGGAAAACAACACUGAAGGCCAACUUCUGAACCUGGUGAUGGUGCUUUCAGAGGAGGUACAGAACAAACCAACCAACAAAACUCAAGUACCACAAAGCAAAGCAGGAACACCCAUUAUCAGGUCACCUAAACAGCAACAUUCAAAUAUGUAAACAGAAUAAACAUAGGAGGAAAUUGUUAUGAUCUUAGGAAAGCAAAGAUUUCUCAGGACAUAAAUGAACAUUAAGUGUAAGAGGAAAAAAAUGUUAAGCUGAAAUAUAUCAAAAUUAAACACUUUUGCCCUUCAAAAAAAUACCAUCAAGAAAACAAGAAGCUUUGGAAGCGAAUAUUUGCUGUGCACAAAGGGCUUACAUCCAGGAUCUACAGACAACACCUGAUCCCAAAUAGAAAAAAUUUAACAAACACUUUCACAAGAAGAUAAAUAAAAUGAUCAAUGAAGACUUAAAGAUAUGAUUAUUGUGAUCAGCUGUCAGGAAGGUGCAAAGAUAGAACCACAGUGAGAAGACAUAUUAACCCACCAGACUAAAAAAGACUAAAAUUUUAAAAGAUGAAAUACCCAGUGCCAGCAAGGUGGUAGGACAGUGGAACUGCUGUUGAGGACAUAAAAUGUCACGACGAAUUGAAAAUCUGUUUACUAACUUGUUAAGAAGUUGAGAAUACCUACAAGUCAUAUUCAGGCACUCUAUUCCUAGGUGUCCAUCCCGAAGAAAAGAAAACAUAUCACACUAAUGUUUACACAAAAAUGUUCACAGUAGCUUUAAUCACAGUGGUCAACACCUGGAAAUAAUCCCACAAACUAUCAAAUGGUAAAUAGGUAAAGAGUGUGUGGAAUAUUACUCAGCAAUAAAAAGGAACAACUACUGAAACCAACAGUAACAUGAGUAAGCCAUUCAGUCAUUCUGAAUGCAGAUACAAGGUCAUGUUAAAGCCAAAUGCAACAGAAUGCAUAUUGUACUAGUUCUAUAAUAAUUUGAGAAAUCUGUGGUUGCCUGUGGAUGGGGUGGAAGGAUGGGCUGCAUAUAGGUACCAAGAAUUUUUAGGGGUGAUGGAAAUGUUCUGCAUCUUGAUUGCGGUGAAGUUUUCUGAGCAUUUACAUUUAAAAAAACCCACUUGAAUGGGUGCCAUUCAUUGUAUGUCAAUCAUUCCUAAAUAAAUAUAAUAAGGAAAAAAUAAAUUGGUAUAAAAUAAGAUAUUUUUAGACAUACAAAGAUAAAGAAGUUUACAUUUUAUUAAGUCUUGAUAAAAAAAACUUGAAAAAUAAUUUGGAGGAAAGAAAACAAAUGAAUCAAAAUAGCAGAUAUAUAUAUAUAUAUAUAUAUAUAUAUAAAUAAAAUAGGGAGUUUAAUGCUUCAAUCAGAAAAUGCUUUGAGGGUACCUUAGUUCAUUUUUGUAAUGCUAUACUAGAAUACCAGAGACUAUGUAAUUAUGAAGAAAAGGAAUGGAUUUCUCACGGUUUUAGAGGCUGGGGAGACCAAGGUUGAGGGUUGCAUAUGGUGAGGGUCUUUCUGUCUUUCUACUGUGUCAUAUGGUGGAAGAAACCAGAAGGCAAGAGAGGGGGUGUGGUGGAGGACGUGUGCAUGUGUGUGUGUAGGGAAAGGGCCAAACUUAUUUUUUAUCAUGAACCCCUCCUGCAGUGACUAACCCGUUUCUACCAUAAUGACAUCACAACACAGGGACUUUGAGGGACACUUUCAAGCUAUAGCAGAGGCUCUCACAGACCUGGGUGAAUCUCUGUGUCAUACAACCAACUAGUAACUUCUAAGUUUAACUAUUGUUUAUCAUAAAGAUACCAACUGCAUAAAAGUAAAAAUACUUGGCACUGGGGUGGUGGCUCAGUGGUAGAGUGCACGCCUAGCCCGUGUGAGGCCCUGGGUUCCAUCCUCAGCACCACAUAAAAAUAAAUAAAUAAAAACAAAGGCAUUGUGUACAACUAAAAAUAAAUAAAUAUUAAAAAAGUAAAAAUACUGGUAUAAAGAACUCCCUAUGUCUAGAAUAACCCAUAUUUCCAUAAACCCAGCUUGCUUGAAUUUGGAAAUACUGUUAUUUAUUCAUCACUGAAUGGCAUUUUCAGUUUUUUAGAGAGGAGAUUUCUUUAUGUUCUCUCAAAAUGUGUCAGAUGAAAUAUUAUCAUUUUGUGCAUUUGUAAUUUUUAAGAAAUGUGAAAGGUAAUUAGAAUAUGAAAAUAAUGAAAAAUGGUAUUGUUCCCAAGACCUCAAAUCAUAUUAUUAAUAUCUUGUAAUUGCAAAAGACCUCCCUAUUUCUUGUAACCUUCAGAUAAAGAUUUAUUGAAUAUUGAUUUUAUUUUUCAAAUAUUUAUUGUACCAUUUAACCUCUUAUGUAGAUUGCUCCAAAUUCUGUUUGUUGAGUACCAUUUAUUAGGCACUGAACUCAACAGACUUAAGGCAUAGGAGAUUGGACCAAGACUUGGUCUCAACCAAAACGAGGUUGAAUUUCUCCAAGAACUGUGCUAACCCUCUAGAUUUCCAGCCUAACUGAUAGGGGGCGGGGUAUUGUUCCUCCUCUUGCUGCUUUGGUAUGGUGUGUUCCUAAAAUACACUUGUGCAGCUCAGAGGCCUCUCCUUUUCUUAAUCCUAAACCAUCCUUUUGUUUUCUGAGAGUUGGGGGGUGGGGUGGGGAGUGAGCAGUGUUCUAUCAUUCCUGGUACACACGCUGUCUCCUUCCUGAAAACUGAAGAGUAAACGCGCACCAGUUCGUGGGUGAGCGGUGGUUUCCUUACGGCAAUUCAUAACGAACUAAUGUCAUAAAUCACGAGGGACUGGCCAGCACCCAAAACGAAAUACCCUUGCUUCAGACCACACGUGUCUGCCGUGUCAAGAUGUGUCCUGUUUAUUCCAGUCACAGAAUAUUAGACCUGCAAGGGAACCAAGAGACAAAAAAGUUUUAUCACCUCCCGUUGCCAUCUUCUCCAUAAAUUGGUAAUAAACACACCUAAGUUCCUUCAUUACAAUGUGAUAGAUUGUAACAGCAACUCCGAAGGUCCAUUAUAUAAAUCAUUUAAAUAGAGAUUCAGACAAUUUGAAAAAUCCCCAUUAAUUACCAAGAAUUCAGUAACAGUGACAUGGCGAGGUUCAGUUUGCACUGCACUUGUGGAUGUAGACACUUAAAAAUGCAGAUUGUGACCCAAUGGAGCAGAGAAGCUCAUUAGUUAUGUAAAAUCUUUUCUUUCUUUAGUUGUGAUGGGAUGAGGAUUGUUGAACUGAUAGAUGGCCACUGAUCUUGUGAGGAGGCUGGGGCAUCUCCAGUGUGACACACUGGUUGCACCGCAGUUUUACAGCCUGACGGGAUUUGCUGUCACACCAGGAUCCAUCCCGUGGUGGGCACCUUUGGCGGGCUGAGCGCUGUCGAGGAGUAAAACAGUUAGCGCCUGGCUUGGAAUGGGAGGGGGACCCUUCCCCCUCUUUUUUCCCAGUUCCUGGAAUAUUUUAAAACACAGACCAGGAAUGAUGCAUAGUGUAGCCCCUCCACAGGCGGGGGAUUUAUGAGUGCUCUUUCCCAGGGCAGCCCAUUUGUUUGGUGCUCCUGAGAGUCAGCAUGUCCCUAACAUCUGCACGUGUUUUCCCUAACACAACGUGACUGAUGACUUCCACUUCGGCUCUCCACCCUGCUGGCAGCUCUGGUUUCCUCUCUUCCGUUACUGAAAAGGACGCCUCCUUCUCCACCAGCACCCAGUGUCUUGAGGGCAAGGGCCACUCAUUCCUCACAGGACUCCAGAGCCGUCUGCUCUGAGUGGUGAGACUCAAACGCUCAAACGUGCAUGUGCAUGAUAAAUAGAGGCAGGGUGCUGACAUUUGGGCGAGGCAGAUAGGCUCUGCUGUCUGCCUGGCUCAGUAUGUCCUGCCUUCCUGCCCAGAGGCCAGCCCUGGGCACUGGCGUUGCCCAGGUACAGAGGGUUGGACUCUCUUCUCCACCACUUCCCAGCCUCCUGCUCAGCCCUGCCUCCCACCUUCCUCCUUCCUCCACUGCAGCCCUUUUGGACUUCGGGGGUCACACACUUGCCUCUUUUUGCCCAAGAGGCCUCUAUUUACAUUGCCUCCCCAUCCGGGCUUCUUGAAAUUCUACUCAUGGCACCAGAUCCAUUUUAAGUGUCAUUUGAAAUAUUUAUAGGGACGACUUCUCCUCCUAAUGUCUGUGAUUUCUCCUUCCUGGGACUCUUAGGAAAUCUGAGGCAUGUUUUGGCACGUAUCAUUCAUCUCUCCAUCCCUGCCUGUGCAGACAGCUGUCCGUCGACCGUGCCCGGCACUUCCCAGCCACUGGAUUAGAAUAUGGAAUCCCACAGUCUACACUCCUCUCCAGAUUAUCAUUCUCAUCAUUUCUGGUGAUUCCACAUAGAUUUAAUCCCUGGGUCUCUCAGUUCUUUUGUCUCCUUGCCUCAUGGGAUCUGAAGUUUCACAAUGGCUUUGGUGUGGGUCCAUCUAUUAUAGAGAGGGUGCUAGAUACUGGUGGAUUCUUCCAAUAUAGAAGUUGGUGUCCUUAAACUUAGGGAAAUUUUCUUGAAUGACUCACUAGAAAUCUACUCCCAUACCAUUAUGAGCUCUGUAAACUAAUCAGUGAAUUUAUCUAUUGAUGUGGGUUAACUGGGUGGCAACUGUAGGCAGGUAGGUUGUGGACUAGAGGAAAUAGGUCAUCGGGAGUGUGCCUUUGGGGUUUAUAUUUUGCCUGUGGGGAGUGGAACUCUCUCUCUUCCACCCUGUCCUGAGCUGCUUUCCUCCAUCAUGCCCUUCCACUGUGGUGUUUUAUCUCCUCUUAGGCCCAAAGCUAUAGAGUUGGCCGACUAUGAACUGAACCUCUGAAACUGUGAGCCAAAGUAAACUUUUCCUCCUCUAAGCUGUUCUCCUCAGGUCUAUUGGUCACAACAAUGAAAAGCUAACUAAAGCAGACAUAUGUUAUGAUAAUAAUUAUGUGUCAAAUUGACAGGGUUAAGGGAUGCCCAGAUAGCUGAUAAAGCAUUAUUUCUGGGUAUGUCUAUGAGGAUGUUUUCAGAGCAGAGGAAUUUAAAUCAGUAGUCAGAGUAAAAAUGAUAUACCUACACUAAUGUGGGUGGGCAUCAUCCAAUCUGUUGAGGGCCAGGAGAGAAUAAAAAAGUAAGGAUGAUUGGAUUUUUUUUCCCUUCUUGAGCAGGCACAUUUAUCCUCACCUGCCCGGGGGCAUUGGAGCUCCUGGUUCUUGGACCUUUGGGAUUCCAAGACUUAGGCCAGUGGUCCCAGGUUCUCAGGCCUUUAGACUCAGACUGAAUUUUACUACUGACUUUCCUGGGUGUCCAGAUUGCAGACAGCAGAUGGUGGGACUUCCAGGCCCUCAUAAUCUCCUGAGUGAGUUCCCUUAACAAAACUCCUCUCUAUAUGUGUCUGUAUGUAACCUGUUGGUUUUUCUGGAGAAACUUGACUAAUUUCAAUGGUGUCCUCCUGUAUCAAUUCUCAUUUUUCUUAUAUUUUCUUGCUCAUUUUUAAUUUCUUUGUUCUUUUGCUGUUUUCUUGGAGAUUUCCUUGAUUCUUUCUGUGAAUCCUCUGAUGAAUUUUGCACUUAUAUUAUCAAGGUUUUAUUGAUGAAUUUAUAUUUUUAUUGCAGUAAAAUAUACACAACAUGAACUUUAUCACUUCAGCCACUUUAUGUGUGCAUCUGAUGGCAUCCUGCAUGCUCACAAUAUUCUGCUGCCAUAGCCACUGUUUGCUUUCAGAAGUUUUUCAUCAUCCCAAAUAGGAACCGUGUACCUUUUAAGCAAUAACUCCCUAUAGCCCUUGGUAACCUUGAUCACAUCUGUUGCCCCUAUGAACUGGCCUAUUCUAGGUAUCCCUUAUAAAGGGAACAGUCCACUGCACUCUGCUACCAAGCUACAUCCCAGCUCUACUUGUCCUUUUGUGUCUGGUUGAUUCCACAUAGCAUGUUUUUAAUGUUUGUCUGUGUGAUAGCCUUAUCAUGAUCCCAUUGCUUUGUAUGACUGAAUGUUUCAUUGCAUAUACAUCCUCAACCCACACUUUGUUUUCCCUUCAUCUGUUGGUAGACAUUUGGGUGUUUCCAGCUGUUGUCUGAGUUUCUGCGUUCAGUUUUUUGGGUAUGUACCUAGGAGUAGAAUUGCUAACUCUUAUGAUAAUUUUGUGAUUAACUUUUGAGGAUGUGUCAAACUAUUUUCCACAGUAACUGUACUAUUUUAAAUUCUUAACAGCAAAGUAUGAGGGUUCCAGUUUCUCCACAUCUUCACUGAUGAUUGUUAUUUUUUGUCUUUUUGAUACUAUCCACUGAUGGAUGUGAAGUGGUAUCUCAUGGUUUUAAUAUGCAUUUCCUUCAUGACUAGUGAUGAUGAGCAUCUUUUCAUCUUAUUAGCCCUUUAAAAAAUCUUCUUUGGGGCCAGGGUCUUAGCUCAGUGGUAGAGUGCUUGCCUAGCAUGUGUGAAACACUGGGUUUGAUCCUCAGCACCACAUAUAAAUAAAUAAAUAAAAUAAAGAUAUUGUGUCCAUCUACAACUAAAAAUAUUAAGAAAAAAAAUCUUCUUUGGAGGAGUGUCUAUUCAAGUUCUUUAUUUUGCCCUUUAUUUUGGCACUGAACAUUGAUCCCAGGAGUAUUUGACCACUAAGCUACAUUUCCAGCCUUUUUUAUUUUUAAUUUUUGGGGCAGGUCUCACUGAAGUUGCUCAGGACCUCAGUAAGUUGCUGAGGCUGGCUUUGAAUCUGUGAUUCUCCUGCUUUAGCCAAGUUGCUGGAAUUCCAGGUAUGAGCCACCAUGGCUGGCUCUUUACCUGUUUUUGAAUUUGGUUGUUUGUUCAUUGAUUGCUGAGUUAUCGCAGUUUUAAAAAUACAGUCUAUAUAUCAAUACCUUGUCAGAUGUAUGAUUUAUAAAUAUUUUUUCCAUUCUGUGGUUGCCAUUACUCUGUUGCUUGUGUCCUAUGAUGUGUAAAAGUUUUCAAUUUUGAUUAAGCCCAAUUUGUCUGGGGGGUCUUUUUUUGCUUGUGCUUUUGGUAUUGUAUCCAAUAGAUCAUUUCCAAAUCCAGUGUCAUGAAAACUUCUCUCUGUUUUCUUCUAAGGGUUAUAUAGCUUUUUAAAAAUCUCUUAAGCUUAGGUCUUUGAUCCAUUUGAAUAAAUUCUGCAUGUUGUAUCAGGUAAGCAUCCAACUUCAUUCUUUUUCAUGUGGAUAUCCAGUUUCCCAUCACCAUGUACUGAAAAAACUGUCCUUUUCCAUUUGAAUGGUCUUGGCAUACUUCUUGAAAAUCAAUUGAGCAUACAUGUGAGGGUUUAUUUCUGGACUUUCUCUUCUAUUUUAUUGUUGUAUGUUGAUUUUUAUGCCUGUACCACACAGUAUUGAUUACUUUAGCUUUCUAAUAAGUUCCCAGGACUGUGAGUUCUCCAACUUCGUUCUUUUUCAAGUCAUUUGGAUAUUUUAUGUUCCUUAUGCAUUCUUGAUAUGGUUUUCUAUUUCUGAAAAGAACACUGUUGGCACUCUCAUAGGGAUUGUGUUGGAGCUUUGUAUAGUUCCGUCAUUUCAAUAUUAUAUCUUUCAGUCCAUGAACAUGGAAUAUCUUUAUUUAUGUCUUUUCAAUUCUUCUCAGCAAUGUUUUAUAGAUUUCAGUAUGCAAAUCUUCUAUCAUCUUUGUAUUCUGUAAUAAAUAAAAUAAAUUUCUGUAUAUUUGAUUCUUUUUUGAAGUUGUUGUCAACUGUCAGAAUUUUAAUUUCCAAGAGACUUUUUUCUCGUAUGAAUGCCCUCUCCCUCAUCUUUAAAAAGAAAAUAGAAACCUAUUCUUAUGCCUUGGAUGCAGUAUCUGUUUUUACUUCUCUGAACGUUUGAAUCCUACUUACACUUUUGAAAGCUUCUCUCCCUGUAUUUAUUCCCUGUCAGGCUGCUGCCUCCUGUUUACUUUGGUCUCGGUCUUCUGUAUUAGAAACUUUCCUUGAUGUCUUGUUGUUCUAGCUUGUCUGCUUGAGAUUAAAAGUGCAUACUAAGGACUGUUUGGGUAGGGCUCGUCAGUCUGGAGCUUCCCUUUGGGAUGCUGUAGGUGGGCUGUUGUAGGGAACGCUGGGGUCAGAAUCUGGAUAUGGAUCUGUGUCUGGUCAGACUCCUCGGAGAGAAAAGUGCUGAUCCCCUUCCAUAGAGUAAAGGUCUGGCUGCAGACUUUGCCAGCCUUUAAAAGAUAUCUGCAGAAUAAAUCUCUCCAGUUCUCAGCCUUCCCCAUGAUUAGCCUGAAAGUUGACUUUCUUCAUAUCUGUUAGGGCAGUUAUAGCUUAUUUCUCUGCUUUCUAGUUUUUUUUUUUUUGUGUGUGGUGCUGGGGGUAUUGAACCCAGGGCCUUGUGCAUGCAAGGCAAGCACUCUACCAACUGAGCUAUAUCCCCAGCCCCUCUGUUUUCUCAUCCAAUUCUCCUUCUUUUGUGAAGUUAUGUCUUAAAAACAAACAAAACAAAACAAACAAACAAAAACAACACACAUGCAAACAACCAGUGGGCUUCGGGAUUUGGAAUUUUGUCAAAUGGGAGAAAUGAACAUGAGCUUCUGGCUCCUUUCCCCAAAGUGAGCUCUAGAGAAAGUGCAGAAAGUAGAGGAGAAUGUGGAACCUAGGAGCCAAACAACUACAGUCCAAAACCAAAUCCAAAUCCAAAGCCAGAGGAAACCUCGGGGGAGACUGUUGGUAUGUGUAGGAGGUCUUACUCUAGGCAGGGCAGGGCUGGGGUCUUCAUUGAGAAGAUGAGUGACUCUUUCCCAUAAUGCGACUUUGGGCAAUCCCUUUACUGGAAACCAGUCCAGAUAGUUGACAUAUUAGAGGGUACGGCCUGAACCCUGCUGGAAUGAGGAAGUGCUGAACCCUUGUGGGGCUGACCUCAGUUACCUGCCCUUAGGCUUGUCUCUCCACACCUCAGGACUAGGGGUUACAACCCAUGGAGUCAAACUUGGCCGCACUUGAGCAUUACCUGGCAAGCUUUACAGAUCCAUUCCAGCCACCGCCCCCAGAUCUUAACUAUUUGGAAGCUCUGGAUAUGGGCCCAACAUUUCAUAUAUUUUAGAAGCUCCCCCAGUGAUUCCAUUAUGUGUCAGGUGAGAGGCACUGUGUUUGCUAGUGAAGCACUAACCUCGGGAGUUUCCAGGAAGGAGCCCCAAGUGCUUCUUUGGUGUUUAGGGCUUUCUUGUGGGGCUACUGCUAAGUCCACCCAGGAUGUGGCCUGCCUUUAGCCUCUGCCACUCUCUGCUUGCCUUCACAUAAAUCACCACCCUGAGUAGAUAUUUCCAGGGCAAUUAUCUGAGUAGAUAUCAGGAUAAUUCAAUACUUAAAGAAUACAGUGUCUCAGAACUGGGCCACAUAUAACUUUCUGAAGUAGAAUUUUUGGAAAGAUGGACCAAAAGCUUAAAAUAGGAAAAAAUAUAAUAUAUUUAAUAUAAACAUAUGUAUAUAUAUUUUUUAAGAGAUGAGGAGGAAUCAUUUUAUUUUCAGUCUUUCUGUGAAUCUGGUUUUAAGCAUGUCAUUUUGAGCAACAUGUGGUUGCACCUUGCACUUUCUUUAUUCAGUGGUUUAAUUUAUUCAAUGUAAUUAUUAUAAUGAGAUUUCUUUCUGUUAUAUUUUCCACUUGUUCUGCUGUCUUCCUACUUUCCAUCCGAUCGACUGAAUUUUUUCCUGCUGCCUUAAUGGUUUUACAUUCUAAUUUUGUUCUCUAGGUGUUUACCUUUUACUUAGGAGCAUACCCCUGUUUAUUUAUCCCUGUUGGUAUCUGAAGCCAAUCAAUUUCCAUAUUCUUGUUCUCAAAGACUGCUCAUAAAAAUAUUGUCUAGAAUUGCGAAUUUUUUAUGGAAAUAUUUUCUCUUUUUUUGCUUGUUCAGCUGUAGUUUUAAUUAAUUUUUUUUAUAAUUUAAGACAACAAUGAAAGUUGAUUCUUUUUUCUCCAUGCCUUUUUCUGCUUUUCUUGGUCUUUCUUUUUUUAUUUGAAUUCUUUCUCCAAAAAUGUGUUCAAUGUGAGUGUUUCUAUAGCAAGCUUUGAGGUAUAUUUCUAAAAAACACUUAUUAUACCUUACAUUUGAAUGGCAAUUCAGAUAAAUACAACAUAAUAGGUUCAAAGUUCUUUUCUUUCUAUGUUUUAAAAAUAUCACCCCAUUGUCUUUCUGAAUACAGUGUUGCUGUUCAGAAUUCUGAUGUCAUUUUGAUUCCUUCAUUUGAUGCCUUCAAAAUAGAAUAGAAGUGUCUUGUAAUAAUCAGUUUAUCUGGCAUCUAACUUUUCUGUAUUAUUCUCCUCGGUGGACCAAGACAUACCCUUUAGAAUUGAUCUCUUUGUGUUGCUUGCUUCCUCAGGAUCUGCUCUUAAGUAAAAGUUUUUGUAGACCUAUUUGCAUACCUAACUCUGAGUGAUGAAUGAGACUUGGUGAAUUUAGGUACAAAUAAACCCUCAGUAAGGAUGUGGAAACUCCGAUAGUGGAAUCCCAACAGCAGGCUGUAGGAGCCUGCAGGUGGUUGCUUCGAUGGUCUUUCUGACACCCUUUGGAGCAGUCCAGGUUUAUGUAGAACUCACUGAAUGCUCUGCCCUGAGUCUGUGGACUUCACAAACAUCAGGUAAUGCAAUCCUCAACUCUUAUGGCUGGAUAGGACCCCUAACCAUAGAUGGAAAAGCUGAAGCCCAUCGGGUUAAGGGUCACACAGCCAGUACAUGGCAGUUUCAGGAUUUAAGUCCAGUCUGACUCCAGUAUCCGUGCCCCUGACUGUUUUACCCACUCAUUCUCUCUUGCUACAGGCAAGGAAGGCACUCAUGCUAGACUCAGAAUAACCAAAGUCUAAAUUCACCAGAAAUCUGCCGAGUGCUAGCCUCAUGCUAAGCAAAUUACAUAUUUUUCAGAAGGUCAUUCAAUGGGGUCGUUCCAUGGCUGACCUUGGAGUCUUAGGCAAGGAAGACUGAGGGGGGAUCUUGCUAGAAAGCAGCCCUUCUGCUGCUUUUGGUAAGAAGCCACUUGGAAGGGUACCAAGGUGACCCUUGAGGUCAGGUUUCAUGUGGUGGUAGACUGGUUUCCCAAAGCCCUGUUGGAUUUGUAUGGAACCUCCAGCCCUCUUCCCCCUGAGUUCUCUUAACCCCCUCACCCAAUCCUAGUUGUGGCACGCAAACCGUCACCUGGAACAUUUUUAUUACUAAGAACCCAGGGCCCCUGCAAGUUGCCUUCUGGCCAAUGCUGUUCAAAUAGGCCUCCCAAGCAGGAAGCUUAUCAGUGGAGAAGAAACAAGAGGAACUCAUAUUGUCAUUGUUGAGGUCCCCCACAGGCUGGACUGGGCAUCCUCCAGACCCUUUGAAGGUCCUUUCUCCUGACUCCAACCUCACUAAGUAACUCAUCACCACAACAGGGCUAAUUAGAAGCACAGUGCUGGGGACUGUGAUUUUUGGGCAGUGGGUUUUCUCUUUCCCCAUGGGAUUGGGAAUUGGGAGCUCGGGAUUUUCUUCUCACUAAUCUGUGCAGUGAAUUAAGUCUUCUUGCUGUGUUUUAGCUCUUCCACCAAGAAAUAGCAAUUUAUUUCCUUGUAGUACUGUAGUAGUGAAUUAGGAUUAAUAUAUUUGUUGUCUUUGAGUGGCCAGGAGCAGGCACAGCUCUACAAACCCAGUGGCACUGCAUCUGCACAAUAGAUGACCAUGUGUUACUGACUCUCUGAUUUGCCUACUUUUGAUUGUGUGUGCUGGUAAAUCCUAGGCCUCAAUACUACAUGCUAAGAGAGAAUUGGAUGGUUCUGAACUUGGUAAAAAAAAAAAACACAGUCAAACACAAAGAUGCUCAUUUGUUCUGGCUGCUUUUCUACUAGUGGCUUCCUCAGAUGAAGUGGCUCUUCCCAGGGUCACAAGGAACCCAAGGCUAAGGCACAGAGUACUGUGCCAGCAAGGGGUGGUUGUAAUUUCAAAGAGACAUUCAAGAAUAGUUUGAGAACCUUGGACUCUGGAGUAUUCGGAGCUCUCCAGAAGCACAGACCUCCUGUCAUUGAGAGGAGAUGAGCACGGCUUUUCUCCAUGACAUGUUUCUCUGCACUGUGAGGUCUUUGUGUCACCCUGGCUAAGUUUCCAGCACACAGGAAGUGUUCACAAACUGCUUGCUGAAUGAAUUAUCAAAGUGACUACGAUUCCUCCACUAAAUUCUUCUCAUUAAUGUCUCUCCUCGCAAAUUACAUCCUUAUUUUCAUUUUGGAAAUUGAGUAGAGCAAUUUGUGUCACUCUUCGUCUAGGGUAGAUCUGUGAUGGCUUCCCUGCUUAUAACUUUUGUUGCCCUAAGUGGCCACGCACCAUUGGAAUCUGCUGCUCUCCUGGCCUCAGAUGAUGGGGUUAGGGUGAGCUCCUGGCUCCAUGCUGUCUGGACUUAGGUGGACUCUUAAUGAGAGAGUGCUGCCAGUGUGCAGGCCAUAAAGACUCAAAGCCUGGAGUGGCUGUCCUGGUGCCCUGGCAAGCUGUCUGAGGGAGGAGAAUGGACCUCUCUUGGUGGCCCCUGAGAGGUGAGAGAUUGGUUUGUUCCCAUGGACACCAAGAAUCCUGACGUUGUGGUUUCUUCGAUUCUGAGAUGUUUCUGAAUUUUAUUCUAAAUUCCUUUCCCUCUUCCUGUGCCUACUUCAGUGAGGAGUGCCCUUGAGAAGACCCUUCCUACAUCGUUUCAUUCUAAGAGUGUAAACAAAUUCUCAUCUCAGCCCCUUAAGAGAAGCCAAGCCUAUGUGAGCGCUUGGCCGUUGGCUUCUUGAGGAGUCCCCUUCAAGAUUUUCAAGUACGCUUUCCUCCUCUCCUUGGCCUCUUCAGCAUCCUCCUUCCUCGUCUCUGAUGGGGUAUCUUGGACAGAACUUGAUGUUCCUAACAAAAGUCCGAUCAAUGCUUUUGAGAGUGAGGGAGUCCCUCUGAAUCCCAGUGCCCACACUCAGGAGUAUUUAAAAAGUGGUUUCCAUGUAUUUGAAAAUAAUAUUUGAGAAUUCAGGAUGUAUAAAUAUACAUUUCCCCCUUGGGAACAAUAUUGUUCUGCACUCUCCUACAGGGAGCUUUGAUGUCAUCUCUACUUUUUAUUCUGCUUAAUUUACCAAACAAUCAGAGCUGUGUGCUGUGGUCUUCCACCAUGUUUUUGAACUAAUCUGUUUAUUCUUCUAAUUCUAACACUGCUAUAUAUCUGAACUUGUUUUAUUAAACAGAUGGAAAUUUAAAAUGAUGUCUUCCUGAGGAUCUCUUCCUCUGUCCCUAUGCAGUGAACAUCUUUCCCCAGUCAGGCCUUUUCCCUUGAAAUUUGUUCUGGCUCAUGGAGCAGGGCUAGACUUCAUUUGGUUUUUAUUUUCCUUGUGUCUUUUAUCUAUUCCUUUGUUCAUAGUCUUUAAUAGUAUGUUUCAACCACAUUUGUUAUAAAGAUAUAUACCCAGAUUUUGAUUUUUAAAAAGUAAUUUUAAAUGUUUACAUGGUAAAUACACAUUAUUACAAUCACAUAUUGUCUUUUCCUUUCUAUUUACCUUCUCCUUUCUUUGUUUAACUUUCUUUUCCCCCACUUUAUUGUUUAACUUAGCUUUCUUUAUUUUUUACUUCCAAUGCUAGUGCCAUGGGUAGCUGUGCAUCCUGUUGCUGUUUUCUUAUGGAUUACCCUAAAAGUGUAAAAUGAUGCUUCGUAGUAAUUAAGCAUUAUAUGUACAUACUUCCAUACUAAUGGUUUACCAUCUAAUACCUUAAAAUGUUUUAACAUCAACCAUGAUAUUUACAUCCAGUAUUUUGUUUUUACUGACUUCUGUUUUUGAAUAUCAUUGCUAUCAUUGCUUUUCUAGUCAAGCUUCUUCAUAAAUAUCUGAAUAUUCACCAAUUUUUUUGCUCACAUUUCUUGUAUCUCAGUCUUCCUUCUUCUUCUUUUAAUUUCCUUUUUUUUUUUUUUGGCAGUUUCAUGAUCCAAAUUGCUCCCUUUUUGAAAUGACAAACAUCUCAAUGCUGUAUUUUGGCAAGGAGAUACCACAGAUACACUGUCGCUCUUUUCUUCCAUGUUCAAUUUUUUUCUUGAUGCAGUAAUACUUGGUUGUAUUUUUUUUUCAAAUGAAGAUAUGUUAGUUAAAAACUGUUUCAGUUUGAUUGAAAAUGUCUUUAGUUUUCCUUAUUCUUUAAUAAGAGUUUGGCUGGGUUUAAAGUUCUAAGAGGACAUUUUUUUUUCUUUUCCUCUUAACACUUUGAAAAUACUUCCAUUGUUUUCUGAGUUCUAUUAUUGCAGUUGAAAAGUCUGUUGUUAAUUUGAUUAUCAUUCUUUUUUUCGAAAGUCUGUGUUUUAUGCUUCACAUAAAAAUGGUCUAAAAAUAAAAUAAAAUUUUGCAGUUUUUUGUACAUUGUAUUAAGUGCAGACUUAUUUAUUUGUUAUGUUUGCUAUCUGAAAGGAUUACUGAGUUCCAGGAUUCCUGUCUUUCUUCAAUUCUGCAAAUAUUGUCUUUUCCUCCCCCUUUCUGUUUUCUGUCUGGUUCAGUUUUGAAAUUUGUUGGAUCUUCUCAUUUUAUUGUCUGUUUAUCUCAAAUCAAACCAUUUUACACUUCUUUUUCUCUCUCUGACCCUUUCUGGAUAUUUCACAGACGUAUCUCCAAUUCACCAAUUCCUUUCUUCUGUUGUGUUUGAGAUGCUUUUUAAUCUACCCAUUGAGGUUUAAAUCACAAUGACUGAAUUUUUCAUUUUUACAAUCUUUGUUCGAAUCAUUUUCAAAUGUCUGUAAUUUUUAAUAGUUUCCCUAUUCUAAGACUAAUGAUUUUAAAUGUAUUCAUGCAUACAGUUUCCAUCUAAUUCUAUCAACUAAAGUUCUUUGGGGAAUUUUGUGUUGUUUUUGUGCUUAUUGAGCCUUUUCCCUUGAGAGGAUUGUUUCCUCCUGUAUCUUUAAGUUCUGAGUUCUGAGUAUGUCUCUGAGUUAUGAGUUUGGGUUCACCUUUGUGAACUUCUCUUCGGCUUGGACUUGUGAUGCAACCUGUCCUGAAAAUUCUGUGUUUGCUUCUGAAAAUAACCUUAAAGAUGUUAGCAGUUUGGAAACAUUUUUAUCUUAUUUUUUGGCAUGGAAGUUUGUGAUCUGUGUGAUCCUAUAAAUUGAAGCCAAAUUUACAUUAAGAACCCUUAAUUUAAAUUCCAUGGGUAGUCUAUUUCUAAUUCAAUACUAAUCAGUAAUUAAAAACUUCCUUGGUAUCCCUCUGGGUCAAUGGCUGGAUUAAAAAAAUAAUUCUUCCAUUUAGAAUGUAGCCAUUCAAGGGUCAUGGAUUCAUGAGAGUCUCAAUUUUAGCUUCAGUCUUACUGGGGGUUAAAUUCUUUUGUGCCUGUGAGAAGUUAAAAACCACAUCUCUUGUUUCAGUUGGAACAACUCCUACUUCAAAACAGACAGAUUUCACUUUCCAGUUUCUAAUUUACAGCUCAAUUUUGGCCUUUGUGAAAUUCUUCUAAUUUAUUGUAAGUUCAGUUAUGUACUUGAUAUGAUAUUUGCUAUGUUUAUCUUUAUCUGUAUUUGAAAAAUUAUUCACAUUAUUUUCAAUUCAGAAAUCAUAAUUAUAUAGAAUCACGAAGUACAAUGUGAUUUUUUUUAAUGUAAUAUUUUGAACAGGUAUACAAUGUGGGCAUGUAUACCUUAAAUGAAGCUAAUUAACGUAUUCAUUAUUUGCUUACCUAUUCUUUCUCCAUAGUGAGAUAUUUGAAAUUUACUCUGUUAUUUUGAAAUAUAUGACAUUAUUAUUGACUUAGCUAAAAUAAAUAAUAAUCACUGUUGUUAUUAACCUUGCUAACAAACUUGAUUUGCAAUCGAUAUCAAAUUCUUUUCCAAUCCAACUCAAACUUUGUACCUUUUGAUCAAAGAAUUGCCCCUUUCCUCCUCCCCACCUACCAGCCUCUGGUAACCAUCAUUCUACUCUCUACUUCUGUAAUUUCAACUUUUUUUUUUUUAGAUUUUACAUAAAAGUAAGAUUAUAUAGUAUUUGUCUUUUGUGUUUGGUUUAUUUUGCUUAUCAUGAUAUCCUCCAGAUUCAUCCAUUUCCCCUAUGGUUGUACUAAUUUGUGUUCACACUCACAAUUCCCUUGCCAAUACUUGUUGUCUUUCGUAUUUUGAUAAAAGUCAUUUUAAUGGGUGUGAGGUGAUAUCUCCCUAUGGUUUUACUCUACAUUUCCCUAAUGUUUAGUGAUACCAAUCAUUUUUUCAUGUCCCUGUUGGCCAUUUGUAUAUCUUGAGAAAGGUCUGUUUAAGUCCUUUCCCCAAAAUGACCAGAUUAAAAAGAAUGGUCAAAAAAUGACCAGGUUACUUGUUCUUUUGUUAUUGAAUUGUUUGAAUUCCUUAUUGUGGUGGUUAGUUUUUGGUUGCUGUGACCAAAAUACAUGACAAGAACAACUAGGGGAGCAAAAGUUUAUUUUGGCUCAUGGUUUCAGAGGUUCAGUCUAUGGUUAGUUGGCUUGAAGACAGAAACAUCAUGGCAGAAGAGCAUGGUAGAGGAGGAGGAGGAGGAGGAGGAGGAGGAAGAGGAGGGAGAAGAUGAAUAGGAGGAGGAGGAAGAGGCGGAGGAGGAAGAAGAAGAGGAAGAAGAAGAAGAAGAAGAAGAAAGAAAGAAAGAAAGAGAGAGAGAGAGAGAGAGAGAGAGAGAGAGAGAGAGAGAGAGAGAGUUUCUUCAACCAUGCUCUACCUGCCUACAGUUACCACCCUGUAGUUCAUUCAGAUUCUUAAUCCAUCAAAUGGAUUAAUCCUCUGAUGAGGUUAUAACCCUUAUAAUCUAAUCAUUUUUCAAAGUCCAAUCCUUGGGUCUUAUUGCCCUGGGGACUUUUCAACACUUGAGCUUUUGGGGAGAUAUUCUAGACCCAAACCAUAAGACUUAAAUAUUUUGGAUAUUAAAUUCUUAUCAGAUGUAUGGUUUUCAAAUAUUUUCUUCCUCCCAUUCUGUGGGGUGUCUAUUUUGCUGUGCAGAAACUUUUAAAUUUGUGUCAUCCCAUUUAUCUAUUUUUGCUUUUGUUGCUUGUGAUUUGAGAGUUUUAUCUCUCAAAUUGUUGCCCAGACCACUAUCAUGGAGAUUUUACCCUAUGUUUUCUUCUGGUAGUUUUAUAGUUUCAUUUCUUAUAAUUAAAGUUUAAAUCCAUUUUGAGCUGAUUUGUAUGUAAAUUAUGAGACAAAGAUCCUAUCUGAUUUGUCUAAUGUGGCUAUCCAGUUUCCUGGUUUAUUGAAAAUUGUACUUGCCCUAUUGUGUGUUCUUGGUGACCGUCAAAAAUUCAGUUGACCAAAAAUACAUGCAGGGAGUUUAUUUCUGGACUUUCUAUCCUAGUCCAUUGGUCAAUUAGUCUGUUUUUAUGCCAGGACUAAAUGAUUAAAAUGAUUUUAUAAUAUGUUCUGAAAUCAUGGAUAUAAUGAGUCCAGCUUUGUUCUUGUUGCUCAUUUGUCUUGGCUAUUUGGGGUCUAAAGUAGUUUCAUACAAAUUUAAGGAUAGUUUUUUUCUAAUUUUGUGAAAAAUGAUAGAAAUUUUGAAGGAUUACAUCAAAUCUGUAGAUAGCUUUAAGUAGUAUGGAUAUUUUCACAGUAUUAAUUUGUCUAAUCCAUGAACACAGGAUUAUUUUGUAUUUUGGUAAUUCAUCAAUGUUUUCUAGUUUGUAAUAUACAUGUCUUUUACAUAUUUGAUUUAUUUUAUGAAUAAUUUUAUUUUGCUGCUAUUGUAAAUGGGAUUGUUUUCUUAAUUUUCCUUUCAGAUAAUUAUAAGCAUAUAAAAAUUACUUAUUUUUUAUGUUGACUUUGUAUCUUGUAAAUUUACUAAAUUAAUUGAUCUGUCCCAUUGUUUUUUUUUUGUGAAGUUUUUUUUUUCUAUAAAGUAUAGUAUGUUGUCAACAAAUAGAGACAAUUUCAUUUACGUUGUUGUUAGAAUGCCUUUUAUAUUUUUAUCUUGCCUAAUUGUUCUGGGUAGAACAUUCAGUACUACGUUGGAAAGAAGUGAUUAGAAUGGAUAUACUUGUCCCCAAUCUUAGAGAAAAAGCUUUUAAUUUUAAUUGUUGAUAAUGAUGUUAACUAUGGGUUUGAUACAUAUGACCCUACUGUGUUGAGAUACAUUCCCUCUCUAUCUAAUCUUUUUUUUUUUAAUUAAUUAAUUUUUUUUUAGUUUUCGGUGGACACAACUUUGUUUGUAUGUGGUGCUGAGGAUCGAACCUGGGCCGCAUGCAUGCCAGGCGAGCACGCUACCACUUGAGCCACAUCCCCAGCCCCUCUAUACCUAAUCUUUUGAGAACUUCUUUUUUGUUUUUAAAAUCAGAAAGACUUGUCAAAUGCUGUUUUUACAUCUACUGAGAUGAUUAUAUAAUUUUUAUCCUUCAUUUUUUUAAUGUGGUGUAUUACAUUUGUUGAAUUGUCAGUGUUGAACCAUCCUUGCAUCCCAGUGGUAAAUUCCACUUGAUCAUGGUGAAAGAUUAUUUUAUUGUAUUGUUGAAUUUUGUUUUUGUAUUAAUCAGUUUCCCAUUACUGAGACCAAAAUACAUAACAAGAACAACUUAGAAGAGGAAAAGUUUAUUUUGGGCUUAUGGUUUCAGAGGUCUCAGUCCAUGGUUAACUGACUCUAUUUCUCUGGGCCCAAGGUGAGGCAGAACAUGAUGCAGGGAGCAUGUGUCAGAGGAAAGCUCAGGUUGUAGCAGCCAGAAAGCAGAGAAACAAAAUAUAAACCCUAAAGGCACACCCCCAAUGACCUACUUCCUCUAGUCAUGCCAUACCUACCUACCAUUACCAUACAGUUGUCCAAAUUAUUGACAAAAUGGAUUAAUCCAUUGAUUCUAUUAUAGUUCUCAUAAUCUGAUAAUUUCACCUCUGAACAUUCUUGUAUUAACAUGGAAGCUUUUGGGAGGAUAUUUCACAUACAAAUCUUUACACUUUGCUAAUAUUCUGUUGAAGAUUUUUGCACUUAUGUUCAUGAUGGAUAUUGUUCUAUAAUUUUCUUGUAGUGUUCUUGUCUGGCUUUGGUAUCAGGCAGUACUGUUUUUAUAAUAAAAUUUGGACCUAUUCCCUCCACUUUGAGCUUUGUGAAAGUCUGGGAAGAGUUGAUAUUAGUUUUUAAGAUAUUUGUUAAAAUUUAGCAGUGAAGCCAUCUGGUACAAACUUUUUUUCAGUGGAAGACAUUUGAUUAUGGAUUCAGUCUCAUUACUAAUUAUUGCUCUCUCUGGAUUUUCCAUUUCUUCAUAAUUCAGUCUUGAUUUAUAUGCCUAGGAGUUUCUCCAUUGCUUCUUGAUUAUACAUUUUGUUGGCAUAUAAUUGUUCAAAGUAGUUUCUUAUAAUCAUUUGUAUUUGUUGUAAUGUCUCCUCCUCCUCAUAUCUGAUUUUGUUUAUUUGAGUCCUUUAUUUAACACCCCAUGGUCUAGCUAAGGGUUUAUUGAUUUUUUUUCCUUAUCUUUUGAAAAAAUUAACUUUUAGUUUCAUUUUUUUUAGUCUCUUUUACCCUUAUUUCUGAUCUUUGUUAUUUCCUUCCCCUGUGGGCUUGAUUUGUUUUCUUUUCCUCAUUCCUCAAAGGAUAAUAGUAGAUUGUUUACUUGAGAUCUUUAUUUUUGACAUAUGAGUUUAUUGCUAUAAAUUUUCCUCUUGAAACUGCCUUUGCUGCAUCCCAUAAAUUUUGACAUAUUGUAUUCCCUUUUUUAUUUGUUUCAGGUAUUUUUUUAUAUUCUUUUAAAUUUCUUCUGUGACCUAUUGAUCACACUGAGAAUUUUGUUUAAUUUCCACGUAUUUGUAUAUUUUCCAAGAUUUAUCCUCUGUUUGAUUUUUAGUUUCAUGCUGUUGUGAUCUCAAAAGAUACUUGAUAUUAUUUCACUCCUCUUAAAUUUGUCAAGAUUUGUUUUGUGGCAUAACUUGUGGUCUAUCUUUGAGAUUGUUCCAUGUGCUCUUGAGAAGAAUGAUUAUUCUGUUGCUAUUGGAGGGAAUAUUCUGUAUAUACCCAUUAGAUCUAUUUGGUCUAAAGUGUAAUUCAAUGUUUCCUUAGUGUUUUUCUGUCUAGAUGAUUUGCCCAUGGUUGAAAGUGGAAUAUUAAGGUUCCUUACCUAUUAUAGUAUUGCAGUUUCUUUCUUUUAGAUCACUUAAUAAUUGCUUUCGGUAUUUAUGUGCUCUGAUGUUAAAUGCCCAUAUAUUUAUAAUUGUUAUGUCCUCUUGCUGAACUAACCAUUCAAUCAUUUUGUGAUAAUUUUGUCUCUUUUUAUAGUUUUUUAUUUAAAGUCCAUUUUAUCUGACAUUAAGUAUAGCUACCUCUGCUCUUGUUCAGUUUCCAUUUAUGAGGAAUAUAUUUUUGUAUCUCUUGCAUUUGUCUAUGUGUGUCAUUACUAGAAAAGUGAGUCUCUAAAGAUCAAUGUGGUUGGAUUUUGUUUUUGGAAAUCCAUUCAACCACUUGGUCUUUUUACUGGAAAAUUUACUCAGUCUACUUUCAAGUUAAUUAUUGAUAGAUCAGGACUUUUUACUGCCAUUUUUGUGAUUUAUUUUGAAAGUCUGUGGUUUCUUCAUUCCUUCUGUGAUAACCACUCAUCUGCAGUUGGCUGCUGAUCUAGAAGGACUAAACAUGAGUACCAGGGUUGUGUGGGGAAGUUGUUUAGGGCUUGAGCCUGGUAGACCUAUGGACUGUGCUUCCUGAAGUGCAGUGCUAUUGGCUAGUCUCUUUGGAAUGGUACCUCCAUUGCCAGAAUGCACAGCAAUAUCCAAGAGCCACAUGGAAGCCACUUUGAACCCCAUCUCUGUUAUUUGUUUCUAACAGGAAGUUUAGACCUACUGGUAUUCCCAAAGUUUUUCAUGGGAUAAGACAGAAGCAAGCCCCCUUUGAAGGGUUCCAGAACAGCAAGGAAGCUGAAUGUCUACCUCCAACUCACUUUUGACACUGUGAAAACUGUGUGUCCAUGGAAUCCUUUCUGUAUGGUGCUGUGUUGGCUUUGAGGAGGGCGGUGUGGUAAAGAGGUCUGUUCCUCAAACUUUUGAAUGUGACUUUCUUAGCUAUGCAGUCUAAGGGGGUGUCUCAGUCUCACUCUUGAGUGCUGGUAUAUUCACAAAGUGUUCCCAUCUAUGGGUAACUGUGAGGUGGGUUUCUGUGGGGACAGUGGAAUUGAUGAACUCCUGGUCUCUCAUCUUGCUGCAUCAGUUUUUCAUCACUUUGACCAAAUACCUCACAGGAACAAUUUAGAGGAUGAGAAGAUUAUUGUUAUCUCAUGGUUUUCGAGGUUCAGUUCAUGGUUGGCUGAUCCCAUCACUCUGGGCUUAAGUGAGGAGGAGCAUCAUUGUAGAAGGGCAUGUCAGAGGAAAGCUGCCCACCUCGGCUGGGACGUAGAGAGGGCAAGGGCAGGGCAGCAGGCAGGAUGAGCCCUUCCAGGGCCUGCGUCAGCCAUACCCCACCUGCCUGCAGUUGCCUCUCAGUCUACUCAAACCAGGACGGACUGAUUAGAUUACAGCUCUCACAGUCCAGUGACUUCACUUCUGAAUAUUCCCGAAUCAAUACAGGAACUUUUGGGGGAUACCUCAUACCCCAAACAAUAACACUUUCUGAUAUUGCUCCUUUAUCUACAUUUAAUACGUAUUUUUAGUGGGAGUAUUUUCAGGUUGUUUAUUUCAUCUAAUAGCUAGAAAUAGAAGUAACACCAUUGUUUUGUACAUGUCAUCACUGAAUUCCUGCCUGAUGGUGUCAUGUAGGCUGGCAAGAAAUAAUUUCAUAAAUAAAGAGUAAAAUCACAUUAUUGGCAGUCUAAUCUAUACAAAUUAUUAUGUUAUUAGAAGUUGAAACCCCAAAUUAGUUAUUUAUGCUUGCUUUUAGAAUGAGCUUUGGUAUUCUUGGCAUUGUGUCUGUUGGAAUAAUGAUAUGUCAUAAUAAAGCAGUAAUUUCAAUAAAACUUAGUCAAAACAUGUAGUCAAUAUACAACUUGAAAUUUGUAUAUGUUAGAUAAAAAUAUAUAAUAUUCGAUACUAUAUAAUAUUAUAUGUAUAUGUGUGUAUAUGCAUGUGUGUGUGUGUGUGAUACUGAGAAUUGAACCCAGGACCUCCCACAUGCUAGUCGAGCACUCUACCACUGAGCUACACAUCCUUAGCUCCAUAAUAUAUUUUAUAACAUAGACAUAUAAAAUUUAUGUUAUACAUAAAUAUAACUUGUAUAAUAUAAACUGGAAGUUUCGAGUACAUAUAUUUGUACCUGUAAUUAUAUACAAUAUAAAUUGUAUAUAUUAUCUAUAAUACAUGUUUUAUAUAUAAUAGAUCUAUUUAAAAGUUGUCUAUUAUUGAUUUAAAAGUUGUCUUAAUAUAUUUUAUAACUUUCCUGGGAUACUUUCCCAAAUAGAUUACUUAGCAUUCUGGUUUCUCAAAAAAUUUUAACAAAAUGGGUUGUGAUGUCAAAUAAAAUUGGAACAUCCCCCUUCUUCUACCUCUUCUUGGUGAGUCAGAAGUGUGCCAGCUUACAUAAUCAUGGAGGGUUCCUGAGGUCAAGAAGUUAAUUUGGAUUUCAUUUACCCAGACAUGUCAGUCAGCUUUUUGUCAUUGAUGACCAAAAUACCUGAUAUGAACAACUCAAAGGAUAAAAGACUUACUGUGGCUCAUGGUUUUGUAGGUUUCAGUUGGCCAGCUCCAUUGCUCUGAGCCUGUGCCAGGUAGAACGUCAAGGUGGGAGGGCGUGGUGGAGGAAAGCCACUCAGCUCAUGGCAGCCAGAAAGUAGAAAGUGAGAGAGAGGAACAGACCAGGGAAAAGAUAGUCCCUGAGGACACUCCCCCAGGGACCUACUUCCUCCAGCCGGACCCCACCUGCCUACAGUUUCCACCACCUCCCGCAGCUGUCAAUAGACUAAUCCACUGACGAGUCAGAGUCUUUUCAUGAUCCAGUCACCUCCCCACACUCCACGUCUGAACGUUGCUGCCUGGGGACCAACAUGUGAGCCUUUGGAGGAUCCUUCAUAUCCAAACACAACACCCAGGGGUUUCAAGCCUGUCCUAUGAAAGAAACAUUCUUCAUUGUUCUAAGUAACAUUUAUUAGCAUUCUGUUCUGUAAAACACAACUUGGGAAACGCUGUUCUAUUAAUAAUUUGAGUUUGUUAAUAAUGAGUUUGUCAAGAUAUUCAUUCUUUUCCAAGCAAGAAGUAUUCCACACACUCUUACCUUAAGUGUUUUAUUUAUUUAAAAUGAAUUUAAAUUGACACAUGAAAUUAAAUAACAAAAUUCUCCCCAUAGAAAAUGCAGUCAUUUUGUUAUCUAAAAAUGCACCUAUUUAUUAAAUAUGAUUCUUAAAAAGUGAGGUCAAAAUCUAUAAAAGCUAACUUUAUGGUAAAAAAAAAAGCACUUUCAAGUAUUUCUAUGUAUCUUUUUAAAAUAAUUUUUUAUUUUGAGAAAGGAUCUUGCUAAGUUGCUUAGGGCUUUGUUAAGUUUACUGAGGCUGGCUUUGAACUUGCAAUCCUCCUGCCUCAGUCUCCCAAGCUGCUGGGAUUACAGGCAUGCACCAUGGUGCCAGGCUGAAAGUAUUUUUUAAAAAUUAAAAAUAUUUAAAGUGGGACUGGGACUGUGGCUCAAGUGGUAGAGCACUUGCCUAGCAUAUGUAAGGCAUGGGGUUUGAUCCUCAGCACCACAUUAAAAAGAUAAAUAAAAUAAAGGUAUUAGGCUCAUCUACAACUAAAAAAUUAUUUUAAAAAUUUAAAAAAAUAUUUAAAGUUGAGUCAAAUUGUAUUUGUGACACUUUUUUUAUGCUGAAUAUUAUAUUGUUCAAGGUAGUAGGAAGAUUAGCAUAAAGUGGGUUAGUUUUGUAUUUCCAUUAAUAAAAUCUGGUCACUGGCCAGGUACAGUGGUACAUACUUUAAUCUCAGUGGCUUGGGAGGCUAAGGCAGGAGGAUCUUGAGUUUAAAGCCAGCCUUAGCAACUUAGUGAGGCCCUAAGGAGCUCAGUGAGACCCUGUCUCUAAAUAAAAUAUAAAAGAGGGUGGAGGAUGUGGCUCAGUGACUCAGUGGUUAAGUGCCCUGGGUUCAAUCCCUGGAACCAAAAUAAAUAAAUAAAUAGAUAAAUAAAAUUGGGGACAUAAGUGUUUGUAAAUAGCAAGGGCCUCAUUAUUGUAGUCUUUUACCUUUAGAUAGCCCACAGCUUGAACUCUCAGGACAGUAUGAUGGAAGUUCCAGUGUAUUUUAAAAACUGUCUACCUAUCUUUAUAAACCAUCCAUCAACCAAAUCCAUUAUCUCUGUAAUAUCACACAUGGUAGCAUGUUGAACACAGUUCUUCCUGUCUCUGAAUUUCCUUGAAACCACCAUAAGCUGAGAACAAACAUUAGUUGUCAUGUGCAGUGAAAUUCCAAAAUAAAAAAUGGAAAAAAUAAGACAAUAGAUGAGUGAGCAGCCAGUGUGCCUUCAAGACAUUAAACUAUGACUGCUGCUUGACUUCAACCUUCUAGAUCUUGGGCACAGUGUCUCUGUGUUCAAGCUGAACCCAGCACCAUACAGGGAAGGGGACUCUAGAAAAUAUCCUGCAAAGCCAGCUCAGAGGCCAAGGCUGAUGGUGAGGAUCCUUGAGGAGAAUUCCAGUGUGCUGCCUCCCCUCCUGCCCACCUCUCCACCUGGCAUGGGGACUUCUAGGUUAUGUUGUAGGGUGCUUCUGGGGAAUCACUCACAGGGCUUGAUGUACAUCCCUGGAAGUUUGGGGAACACAGGAAAUGGUCAUCUGUCAAGAAAAGCCUAAGGAUGAGAUGUAGCAGCUCCUGCCUGAUGACAUAUUGCCAAGACAGGAUUGCUUGGAAAGGCCAGCAUGGCCUGUGUCUGCCAGAGUCAGAAUGGAAGAUCCCUGAGGGCCAGGCAUGGACCUGCAGAGGAGUACUUGCACAGGGUUGAUGUUCAAUAGCACUCGUUGAAUGAAUGAAAACAUUUCAGUUAAUCUCCCCGAAUCCAGUUUUCUCUUCUUCCUUAAUAAGAGUAUCUUGGUUUUACUUGAAGGUGACAGUGUACUCAGCCAAAGGCCAGAUUGUCUGGUUUCCUUUGUACCAGGAUAUGACUUUGGCUGUGAUUUGAUCAGCCAUAAGAGAGCAGAAAUGUUAUGUGUAACUUCCAAGAAGGCUGCUUAAGGGGAGCUGCAAGGGGUCCCUUUUAGCUUUUCUAAGUGAACGUGAUGCCUGGAGGUCCAGCAGCCAUUUUAGACUGUGAGGUGGUGUUAAAGAUGAAAGCUGCAAGGUAAAAUGGAAAAGUGGCGAGCCAGUAACCAUUGUUGGUACUCUUCCACUGGGUUAAACAAGGCUAACAGUAUCAUCCCAGAUGUCUUUUGCCUAAUGCUUACUUAAAGUGUACAGAAAUUUGGGAGAGGAAAAACUGGCCCGGGGCUUCCAGUACUGAAGGUGGGGAGUGUUGUAUUCUCCAUGACAAUGAGAGUUCUUGAGGGUAGGGAUCCAGACAGGCACAGAACUGACUAAAAGACUAAAGAAUCAAGUCAUGGACUAGACCCUCUGCUUUUCUACAAAACUAGAGAGUUGUUGCAAGAAAAUCCUGGAAUAGGCCGGCUGUGAACCGUCACAUCCAGUCUGGCCCUGGACUGCUGCUUCUCCCAGAGCAUUAACCACCUGUGUGGACAGGGACAGGGUGUUCUUAGCCUCAUUUUAGCCAGAACAUGUGGUAAGUACCCAGAAAUGAUAUCAUCAAUUGUGCUUACAGUCGCAAAAAAGCAACGGCUCUGACAUUAGAAAAACACAGCAGUCUGUCUCAGCCCUUAAAGGGUGACACUCGGCUCCGGUUGAAGAUUUUCUUGGUGUGUCUUCACGUCUCUCAUUGUAGCAUCCUCUGUUUUUGGGCCCCCCUGCCCUCAGUAGUGUAGUUAGGCACAUGUCUCUGAGUGUGUGAGACACAGAGAGACAGAGAGAGGAGACACAGGGUCAGCCGGUUGGUUUUUCACUCUCUCGAUUUUUCUCUUCCGCUCUUCCUGGCUCUUCAUUUUCUUCUGGUCCUUUCUUCCAUUCAUUUGGCGCCUGUGUCCAGCCCCGUGAAAGAACUGAGCCACGCUGCACUUUCCUUAAUGACGUCUGUGAUUCUUUCUUCCUGUGGGGGACACGGGUGGCAGUCGCCUGGUAGGGAAGUGUUCCCCACCUGGUAGUCCAUCCUACAGAGAAGGGGCCCGUGGAGAAUGCAGCAGUGUGUCCACGCUCCCCCCCGGAUGACGGGAGGACUUUCCGGGUGCUGACUGCUACCAGGCCCAGGGGCCGAUCCAACCCGGUGACUGCUUCUGGAAUGCCCACCACAAUCCCUUCUUCCUCUGAGCGGGGCUUGGACGGCGCUCCUCAUCUGUGUUCUUCAAAUUCCUGGCUGCAGUGGCUCCUGUCGGCUUCCCUGGUGGUUGCCCAGAUCUUGGGUCACUCACGCCAGCCCGUUGCUGGGUUUCCCUUUCUCAGUCAGCUCCCUGAGGUUCCCAGGCUUGCUUGCAGCCUGCUGUGACCCCGGGGCCCAGCUGUACUCGCAGUCAAACCUUUGCACAGGCAGCAGCAUCUUUCCAGGGCCCAGCCCCGCCAGGACAGAGGGCCGGGGAGCGCGGAGUGUGUGCAUAAUUCCGGAGCCGAGCGCUGGCGGGCCGGCUGUAAUAAAGCUGUCUGUUAGGAAGUUAUCUUUCAUAUACAAUUGCUUCCCCUAAGCUCUUAAGCACAUUAACUGCACCUGUAAUUAUACACACCUCAGAAAAUGCAUAAAAGCUGUCUUCUUAGCCAGACUAAAUAAAACUGCAGUCUCCUUCAUAUCCUCUAUUGCCCGCUAUUCCUUAACGCUAGAGGGAAAAAGGAAAAAGAAAUGAAAGCCAGGAGAAGAGGUAAUUGCCCAUUAGAGAGUUGCUAAGAAGUGAACUUUGUCUCUCGUUUACAGCAUUAAUUUUGCUCUGCGUGAACUGCAUUUGACACGGCUCCGAGGGCCGGGAGUUCUGGCCGCUGACGCUGGCCGGGAGGUGGUGGCUGUCACUUUGCCUUCCCAGUGUGCCGAGAAGCACCACAGCGACAGGCUUCCCUCAGACUCUCAGGCGAGGCUCUGCGUCAGGUGGAGAGCUGGUGAUUUUUGCGGGAGCCUCUCCUUCCUUUCGCACUGACCUACUUCUUGCAUUUGACUAUUUUGUGUCAUUUGGCACUAAUAAGCCUGAAACCCCUGCUAGUUUCCUCCCUUAUGCCGCACUGAUCUCCUCCUCCCGUGGCUCCCACUCAGGUGUUUUGGGGGCUGGAGGGAGAGACCAGUUCCCUGAAUCUGGGGUCUUCAGGCACAAGUCCUUCCGGCUGGCUUGACCGCCAACAGCAGGGCCCCCAGUCAGACGUACUCCUCACAUCGGCAGAAAGCAGGUGAUGGGCAGUGACUUGGCAUCACCCACGUUCACAACCUGCUGUAAUAUAAGCCAUUCCCUGUACAGUGUCAGUAGAAUUAAUUGGCUGGUAAUCCACAGGAGCCGUUUGGAUCACCUGCAGUUUGUUUUAUGAGUCCUCUAGGAUCAAUUUCAUGUUUGAAUGACUAUUCCUAUCAUAUGUUUACAUACACCGUUGUCCUUUGUAUUCAUAGAUGACUCGGUUGCCUUUUUACUCCCCAGGCAUAUUCUUUCUGGAAAGGAAAGGCCAAAAUAGUACCCAAAACUCUUUUGGAAAUUACCCAUGAUUUGUCCACACCUCAUUUCAAAUUCGUGGUGAUGAGCUAUGGAGGGAACAACAACAAUACACACACACACACACACACACAACCAUGAAAAGGCAGAGCACCUGCCCUCAAGGAUCUUACCAUCCCCCCCUCCCCUAGGAGGAAAACAUAAAAGGAAACAGACCAGAGUAAUUGCAGAGGACACAUGAGAAGUGCAGGACCAAGAAGUGACAUUGAAAGAGAAUCCUGUUUCCAGGAGGGACCAGCUCUUGAUGGGACAUAGAUUCUCAGUCUUUACCAACCGCAGGGACAAGCUGCUUAUUCAAAGAGCCCACAGCCCAUGCACCUUUCUUGCCUUGAGGAAGGUCCUUUUUCUUAGCAUGCCCUGGACCUUCUCAGCUGAUCUGCAAAGUGAAGGGAGAACUCGAGGAGGCUGCUGUGUCAGUUGUGUGGAGAGAGUGGAUUUAGUGUUAUGAUUUAAAGAAUAUGAAGUUCUACUGUCCGAAGAAUGGAAAGAUCAGGAAGGCCAGAAGAGGAGGAGCCGGGGUAAAAGGUAGGAGGGGCCACCGAGAGGCCAGGGCUGGGGCAUGGGGAAGAGGGGGGCUGAUGAGCUGCCUCAUAGUGUCAAGACUGCUGCAGGAGAAAUCGGGAAGUGGGGUUUGGGGCACGUUCUGCUCCUUGUGUAUCACUGAGAGGGCUCCCUUUGGGGCUCUUGUAGAGUCAUCAGUAAAAAUGUGGCUUUGCAAGGAUUUUCAGAGUCCGAUUUAUGUUCCUUGGUAGUGCGUGGCAGUGUGCCAGGUUAGCACUGGAGGAGAGAGGCUGCUCUGAGGCCCAGCUACUGCAGAGGCAGGAGCAACCUGACUUCUCCCAUUGAGAUGUAGUAUUGCAGCAGCAAAGAAAGAGAAGGAAAUACACUCCUUAGAGUGUUCAUGAUGUGACAGGUAUCCCAUUACAUCUGGACGUUUGAUUUGUUGUGAGGGACGCGAGCAGGUCUGUAGGCUCAUCCAUUCGUCAUUUAUUCAUUCAUUCAACAGCAAGACAGACGAAGCCCUGGCAGAGUCCUCAUGUGUUCACAUUAGUAGAACGUUUUCAUUAUUGGAGUUGGAUUUUGCUGUUUUCCUGCUUUGGCAGAUCUGGGGAUUGUUCAGAUAUGACUCAAGCCUCAUACCUAUGGCCAAGAAAGCUUUGUUGAUCAGUGUUGAAACAAAUAAACACUUGUUUGGCAGUUUGGCAGGUCUGCAGAUGGGUGUUGGUCUCUCUGUGUCAAAGUUCCCUGAGCUACUUAUUACCAGUGCAGAAUCCUGGUCCCUCAUGCAGCAGGGUGGAAUUCCCAAGAUCCAGGGCAGGGCCAGAGAAUGAGCACUUUUAAAACAAAUUUUCACAUGUGCAAUUCAGGGUUCAAUCUUGGUGGUGUGCUUUCUAUGGGUUUUUAUAAGUGAAUGAGACCUAUAUCCUCCAUGAAGCUACUGCUCUGGAAAUCCUCUGUGCUCUACCUACAUAUUCUUCCCUCUCCUCCAAGUCCUGGCAGCUGACUCCAUCACUGGAAUCAUAAAGGAUGUAGCCUUUCACCUUGGCUUCUUUUCUUAGUCAUUUGCAUUUACAUUUCCUCCCCGCUUUACAUGGCUUGAUAGAUUGUUUCUUUUCAGCGUUGAAUCAUAAUCCAUUAUCUGGUUGUACCACAGUUUCUCCAUUCAUCUAUUGAAGCACAUCUUGGCUGCUUCCAAGUUUUGGCAAUUAUGAAUAAAGAUGCUAUAAAUACAUGUUGCAGGAUUUUGUGUGGAGAUAAGUUUUCAAUCUAUUCAGAUGAAUGUCAAACGCAUGAUUGUUGACUCAGGUGAAGAGCAUGUUUAAUCUGGUAAGACAUUGCCAAACUGUCUUUCGAAGUAGCCAUGCCAUUUUGCAUUCUCUCCAGCAAUAAAUGGGGGUUCCUGUUGUUUCACAUAGUUGCCAAUAUUUGUUCUGAUUUUGGCUAUGAUAGGUAUGAGGUGAAACUGUACAAUAGGGGCAAAAUUUGCAGUUCCCUAAUCCCAUGUGAUAUGGAGCAUCUUUCCUCACUUCUUUUUAAUACCUGAGAUGAUUGGCAGUAGUGAAAUCCAUUUGUGACUUUUUCUUCCUCUCAUGCGCAGGGCUUGGAGAGGUGGAAUUUCUCUAUUCUCCAGUGAAAAUAUUGCAAAGCUGCCAUUAUGUACAGGCUCUUAGGACAAUAAAGCUUGAUGCUUUAUUGGAAUAUCUUCACCUUUUGAAAUACCUUUAUUAUAAUUUAUGUAAAGUUUCUUUGGGAAUUUGAAUGGUAUCGACCUCAUCAUUCCAAAUGAAGGAAGGAAAAUCCUAUGGUAACUGGAGACAAAGCCUCCCAGGAUACUCUCAGGACAAGGUUUUCCAAGGGUCUUCUGUUAGGGAGGUUAGUAAUGGAGGUGGCAUCUUGUAAACUUAUUUUUGUUAUAGUUUUUCUUUAUAGUGGGCAUGGCAAGGAAAGUCAGGAAAUUAGGUUUUGUGACUAAUGUCUGCUCAAGUCUCUUUUUGUCCAUUGUCUAACUGCCAAUGCCAGGGAAAAGGGUCAGGUGAGGCAGUUAAUGUCAGGAACCAGCUAAUAUCUCCCUUUUAGGAUAUAGAAACACAACCCAGACAACUGGAUUGGUUAUCUUGGUUUUGAUGUUAAUGGACCAUGGGAAGAAAUUGCAUUCAUUCUCUUUACAAAUGAAGUAUUUUGUCCCUUUUGUAUGGUUUCAAAAUUUAGAAGUUUCCAAGUACCAGAGCCCUAGUGAUGAACAGUUUAGUAGGUGGCACCAUUUCAUAGUCUUGUCCUAAAAUAAGUGGCUAAGCUUUGUGGAAAAUGACCUACCUCAUGCUUCCAAUGAUGGCCUUAGAAUUGGAAACGUGGAAGAUUUGGGAAUGACUGGGGAUGAUUUUUCGUAUUUCUUUUUCUCCAAGCUUGAAAAGGUAGCAUAUAUUUGUAGGUGGUCAUUUUUGCAAAAAUGUUUGCAGUAAGGAUACAGCUCACCUGUUUAGAGUUUGAGCUUGUGGGUCCUCCUACUUUGCACAUUGAAAGUGGCCUUUGUGUAAAACUUAGCUCACGUGAGCACUUAGGGGCACAUUUUUCUCACCCCCCAAGAACAAAUUUUUGUUUCCAAAAACCAGUUAAGGAUGAUGGUGGAUUGAACAAACAUUUAUAGCUGCUCAUCCACAACAGCAUUAAAAUGUUGAUAAUGGAAUAAAAAAGGCAAAGACAUACAAGUAGAAAGAGAAUUGGAGAGCAUGCCUCUGUAGGCCACCACGCUGUGGAGGUUCUACAGUAGAUGGACAUGGCCAGAGAUUUUGCAGAAGAGAGGAAGCUAAACUUAAGCUGCCCAAGGAAGGAACCCAGAUGUAGGCUUAUGGAGCCCCAAACCCUAGGACACCUCUGGAACCAGAGGUAGCAGGAACCUCCUGGAGGUGGGCCUCCUCAGAAGGACUGGUUGAACGCCUUCUGUGCAGCACUUAGUUCUCGACCCCAGCCAGAGCAGAAGAUGAGUACUCUAUGGUCUGAAGAGACUUAAGCCGAGAGACCUUGGGGACACCAGGCUCUGCGGAAGGCAGGAGCCACAGUGAAAACAAGGAGUCCAGGAGAAGUCUACACAUUAAGCGUCUGCUUUGGGGCUCUUCUUCCUGUUCAGAUUAGGAAUCUCUUUCGAGAGACUGCGCAUCACCCCUGUGCCAUGGUGGCCUGAUAAUGGUGGACCCAGGCAGAUCCAGCUGCUCUCUCAGAUGUGCUGCUCCUUAGCUGAAUAGCUUUGAAGAAGUUAAUCUCUAUAACCCUCAUCGCGAUUGUGGAUAAGAGGAGCUUUCAUCUAUAGGGAUGCUGGGAGCACUAAGGGAGCGAUGGGUAUAAAAACUCCAAGAAAAGAUCCAACUAUUUCUGAAAUAGUUUUUGAAUGACUGUCUAGAAAUGUUUUCAGUGCUCCUGCCAAGAAUGUAUUCUUUUUAUCUGACUCUUUAGAAUUCUGUCCAAUAGAUAACAUAAUAAAUAAUUAACAGGACUUUUCUAACCCUCCCCUUACAGCUGUGGUGACCAUAUUUAAAAUGUUAGCCACAGUACAAACCUGAUUAGAUGAUUCCUUUUAAACUAGUUUCAAAUCAGCUUAAUCACCCUCUCUUUUAAGUCCUUUCUUUUAUCUCAAGUGUGCAUCAGUUUCACAUCCUGAAUACUGUUUCAAAGAUGUAGCUUUGAUUUGAGCACCAGUUGUGAUCCAGAGUGCAUUUUACGUACGACUCGGCUGCACUCUUUCUAGACAUCAGUCUCUCAUAGACUCCCUGACAUCUCACCAUUAUUGAAUGAACAUGGUUUAUACGUAUAUCUUAAGGAAUGUCAAUCUAAAUUAAAAGACGCCACAUUUUUAACAGCACCAACAGGUUUCCUAAUUAACCCACGAAUACUGUCAAUCUGCUAAUAUAGUUCUCUUGUUCUUUUAGAAUCAAGUUAUAGAACAUUUCUUUUAUUUACUCUACUAGUUUCAGAACUAGAUUGUUCCUUAGGGUAUUCCCAGCUUUCUUUCAAAAGUAAAGCAAAUAUGAGUAACAUGAAUUAAAUCAUCAAAUGGGUGGACAACUUGUAGCUUCUAGAAUUUUUUUUUCUAAAAAAUUCAGGGAGUUGAACUCUGAGCCUUGUCCUCUGUGCAAUGCCUCUUGUCUAUAAGAUUCUGUGCUUAAAGAAUUCUUGCAAUGAGGUGGGUUCCUGGUGUUAUUUCAAGGAGCCUAUAGGUAAUAGCUUUUAUCAUCCUUGGUCUGGCUCUCAUGACAAAAUUGCUACCCACCCCCUGCCAUAGACCUUAGCGUGCAGAACUAGGUUAACCACGGUCCUUGUUUCACGAGUCACUCUCCACCCAUGCAGUAUAAUGGAUGCCUGAAGCCCCACCACUCACCCCAAUAAGCAGAACUGCCACAGUCUGGAUCUUGAACAUCCCCCAAAGCCCACGUGUUAAAGGCUGGGUCCUCAGGGUGGGGCCACUGGGAGGCAGUGAAAUGGUGCAGACUUGCAGGCAGUCUUUGGAUCAGCCGGGGCAGACCCUUGAAGGGGAUUGAGGAGCCUGGCCUUUGCCUCUUUCUCUUUUGCUUCCUGGCCACGAGGCGAACAUGUCACAUGCCCCCAUCAGAGGCCCAGAGCAACGCAUCUGCCCAAUCCUGGGCUGGACAUUCCAAAACCAUGAGCCAAAAUAACCCUUUUCUUUUGUAAGUUUAUAUCUCCAAUAUUUUGUUCUCGUGACAGACAGCUGACUAACGAGGACAUUGAUAAGAACUUCUACCCAGGUGCUUUUCCCUCGUCCUCACUCUCCACUCUUCAUGGGGUCUUUGGGGCUAGCUUUUUCUUCCCUUUCAGUUUUUUCUUUUAAUUAUUCAUCACGUCCUAAGAUACAUCCAUUUUGUAGAAAGUAGCUAUGAUUUUUACUGCUGGGUAUUCUGCUCUGUGGUUAUAGGAUGCCUUUUGUAUUUGUUUUCCUAUAAAAAAUGGGCACAAUCUGCAUCUUUACCAUGCCAACUCUUGGCACAACUUUAGGACAGAAAAGUAGGACAGAGUUUGUCCGUGGGACCUUUGGCAUGUUUUCCCCUCUUGUUCUCAGGCAAUCAUCUGAAUGUUGUGCUCGCAAACCACAGACUACAAUAAAUGUUUAUUGAACCAAUAUUGUAAGUGACAGAUGAAAUUUAGGGCAACUGCAGUCAAAUGAGGCUGCCCAGGUGCCCAGGUGAAGAAGACUGUGCAGCCUCAUCUUGGCUCGAUGGGAAGAGUCCCACAGUCGAUGACCAGAGACCAUGCCUGAGUGGAUGGGGUUGGUAAGGCGGGAGCUCAGAAGCCACUUACCACCACCUGGGCUUCACGUGCUCCUUGCCUCAUGCACUUUUAAGAACUAGCUAGAUUCAUGGGCAGGGAGAAAAAGGGAUAAAACUUCCAUUGUGGAAUUGCAGGUUCCAGCCAGAUGGGGGAUGCCGAUGUUUUGGAGGUGGCAUUGGGCACUGGAAAUGAUCAAAAGAUUCCUGGUGCUCUGUCUACUCACAUUUUCAAAAGUUCAUCUGGUCCUUAUUAUAUGUUAAAUACCUAAAUUGGGCAGAGUGGCAUAUGCCUAAUCCCAUCUACUUGUUAAGUUGAGGAGGAUCACAAGUUUGAGACCAGCCUGGGCAACUCUGGGAGACCCUGUCUUAAAAUAAAAAAUAAAAAUCUAAUAUAAAAUCAUGCACAUUGCUCAGGAAGGUAAUUUAGUAGAGGAUGUUAUUUUUCAUUCUUAUGGAUAAAUGCAGAUUUUCUGUUUAAAUCUUUCAGUUAUUAAUAUGGAAAAUGACACAAUAAUAUGAUUUUAGUUGUUUAAAUGUAGGGUGAAGAAGUGUUAAUCAGAAUAUUUUAUAGCUGUGCUCCUUUCCUUGAAAUUUUUCUUUCUUUAUGUUUUGUUCUGAUUCAAGUGUUGGUAGCAACACUGGAUUUAGUGAUAUCACUUCCAACUUUAGCUUCACUUGUGAAUGGCAUUACCAUAAGCUGUUAGAGCCAGGAUAAAUAGCAAUAUCCUCUAUUUGAGUGUGUUUCAGAGCCAUGGGCCACGUGCAUGGAACCUCUGAGGACAUUGCAUGGAUUGCACAUUCCUGGGGUUCCAUUCCUGACAAUAAGUUGCGGGACUGACUCUGAGGCACAUUGAUCUGUUCGAAAUCUCACUCCACAGUGGAGGAAACUGAAAUGAGAAGUUCGUGACUUAUGCAAGUUGAGAUCUAUCAGGUUCUUAUCUGGGUAAUCCCCUGAGGUGAGGUUGUGGCCAAAAGUCCACAUGUCUGUUCUCAGUUUGUUUGGUGGGAUAAAAAAAUGUGUUAUUCUCAACCCCAAGCUCAUAGGCUGCAGAUGUGCCUAAAACCCCUUUAAUUAGAGUUUAAUCCUUUCCCGUUACCCUGUUAUUUUUAAUGCAAUUGCUUGAUAUUAUUGUACAUCCUUGAAGAGUUCUUAAGGUCCCUGCUAUGACAGUGUCACAAUUCUGGACACAAGGGAAGAAAAUACUCAGCACCCUCAUUCAGACUAUGCCAGGAGCCAAGACUCCUUUCCCCAAAGACACCCCAGUCUUGCAACACAGAAGAACAAUGACAUCUCAACACCUGCUUCCUCAAAGUUCCUCUUUGUUUAGAAAAUGCAGCAGCUUGUUUUAUGAUUCAGUUGAAGAAAUGGAAUUGUACUGGCUACAGAGUAAGCCAUCAGGUCCAGGUCUCCUGAUGUCUUGAUCCUUGGCUGUCAUUGAGUUCAUCUGGAGAGGCACAGACCUGGAAGGCAACCUUAAUUAGGCUAUUUCUAAGACAUUCGGGAUCAGUCUUAUAUUUAUACUGUAUAUGUAUUAAUUUUAUUAGUGUAACUUGGUAGGCACUGGUCUAGCCUUCUUUAAAUUGUCAUACCAUACUGGGUGUGGUGGUGCACACCUGUAAUCCCAGCUACUCAGGAGGCUGAGGCAGGAAGAUUACAAUUUUGAGGCCAGCCUAGGCAAUUUAGCAAGACCCUUAAAAAAGUGGUGGUGGUGGGGAGUAGGAAUAUAGCUCAAUGGUAGAGUGCUUGCCUAGCAAGCAUGAGACUCUGGGUCCAUCCCUAGCACUGCGAACAGCAAUGACAAGAAAACCUACCUCAUCACCUGGACCUGUUGUAGUGUUUAAAAAAAACAGAACCAAUGGCAUCAAUCAAAGUAAACAUGGGCUGGAUGUGAGCUUACCUGUGUGAUUAGUCACUAUCCUGCCUUCUUCUGCUUCUCAAAAAAGGUUUCUUGAUUUCAACAAACUUUAAAAUAUUUAUGUACUUUAUUUGUUUUUCUGGGGAUUGAACCUAGGGCCUUGUGCAUGCUAUGUGGGCAUUCUAACCCUGAGUUACAUCCCCUGCCCUUUUAUAAUUUUUGAAUCCCUAAGGAUUUCAAAUCCAAUGAUUUAUUAUGCUUUAAUAAUUUUUUUUCUUGAAAUAUUGCAUGUGUGGCGUUUUUCAGCUAUGUUGUAUAUAUGGAUAGCUGGUUCCUGUUUAUUCCCGAGUAGUGUCUGUUCCAUGAAUUACCACAAUUUAUCUGAUUGGUGGUUGCUGGACGUCUGAGUUGUUUAUAGUUUCAGGGACAAUGAACUAGCUGCUAUAACACUCCAGUGUAGGUGUUUGUGUAACCCUAAGUUUUCAUUACCGUUGGGUAAAAGCCGAGGAGUAGAAUUACUGGGUCACAUGGUAAGUGUAUAUCUAACUUUUAAAGAAACUACAAAGCUGUUUUACAAAUUGGUCACACCAUUUAGCCUUCCCACCAGCAGUGUGGAGUUCUAUUUGCUGAUUGAAACGGUUUUGGGUGGAAGCAUAAGAAGGAAGGAAUAGGCUGAUUUUUAUAGGACAAAUAUGCUCAACUGGGGCUGAUUUACCAUUGCUGUGGGUAGUGGCCACAGCUGGUGCUCAGAAUCCGGUCAUCGUCUCCGAAUGAAGUAGCUCACUUUGUCAGACUUUCAUCACCCUGUGGUGGCUGAGAGCAUUGCCACUGAGGGCUGCUCGAGGACACAGGGCCUGGUCUUGGGCAUCCUUGUUGUCUCACCUCCUAGCAGUGUCUGGUGCACAGUGGGUCUCAACAGCAUUGGCUGAUUUGAGUGGCAUAUGUCACGGGUGGCCAGAGAGUGCCAGGGAAGGGAAAUCCAAAGUGGGAAUUGCCUAUUUUCCUUUUCUGUUGGGGAGAAGGCACUAAUGGUCAUGAAUUUCACCUAAAAACAGUAGAUAUGGGAAAGAACUGAAGAACAACCAAAUAUAUAAUGUCUGUUGGGAAGGUCCCAUUGAAGGGAGAGUAUGAAACCACUGGAAAACAUCAAGAGCAAGUCUAUUUUUGAUUCAAAACAGCAAGAGGUACAAGACUUUCGUUCACCAUACCACACCUUAAUUGCUCUGACCAUGUGCACCAGUACGAGGACCUGGAUAUAUUUGGGAUCUUUAGAUGCUGCCCGAUUUCCGCUUUGGCUUAGGUGUAGUAAGACCUGCGAUGCCUGCCUGCUGAUAGCUCCUGCUCCAAGGUGCACCUUCCUGCAUUGUUAGCGACCUUGCCUUUAGAUCAUUCCCUGCCUCUUCUCUUUCGUUUGUUGUUGUGAGGUAGCUGGCGAGAGUAAAACCUCCAAGUGCAGAAAGCGAGGGUGUCACUCAUUCUUAAAGUACUAAGACACUGGACUCUCCUAUAGAUGUUUCCAUUUAGCAAGCAAAGCCAUAUUCUUCCUCCUUCCUCACUUCCCCACCUCCACUUUGAUUCCUGAGAGCAAAUUCAGGGCCUCUUGAGUUUGAACCACCUUAGAUUAAUUGGCACUAAUGCAAGUGUUCGUUGCUGUGCGUGGGAUGUUGCCGAGUGCAAAAUAGAUUCUGUCUGUGCCCGGGAAUGGUUUUUUCUCUGCAGGUGUGUGAUUUAUUGUUCUGUGAAAUGUGCUACUGGGUGCCACUGCUGUCCCAGAAGCAGCACAUUCAGCUGCCAACACAGAAGGACUUGGGCACAGACAUGUGCUUAUGGCCAUUUACAAUUUAAGUUGAUCUUACUGGACGUGCUCCUCAUUGCCAUACAAGCAACUAUAGAAACUAGGAACUUUCCGUCAAGUGGAAACAGUCCCAGAAGGAUGUGGGUGCCUUGGAGGAAGGGGGUCUCAUCACCAGCAGAGCCCAGGUAGUUGUGUGGGAGUGAAGGGAGUACCCUAGAGGUGGCCAGAGCUGGGACAUGAUGGGGUUUGGGUCCCAGAGGCCAGGAUUCAGGACUGCUCUCUACUCUGUAAUUGUAGGUAAUUUACUUAAAAUUCCGAGCUAAAGAUUUCUCAAACGGCAUUCUUUACACUUAGAUCAGUCAUCUUACAAAUUGUUUUCUCUUCAUGCCACUUGCUCUGUGUUCCUUUUAAUCUCCUUUCUUGCCCAUUUUUUGGAUUAGUUAGGUAUUUAAAAUUUGUUCCAUGUCUUCCCUCUGUUCUAUGUUCCUUUGCAGGUUACACAGGAGCCUGGAGAUGACCAGAGCACUGCCUUACUGAGUUCCAACUCAACACCAUACACAUGUAUCUUCUUGGACAAUGCCCGGACCUAAAGAUUUCAUUUCAUUUACUUUCAGUCCUCCCUCUUAUGUGGUUCUUUUCAUGUAAUUUAAUAUUUUUUAUAUUUAAAACAUCACAAAAUGUCAUUGUUCUAAAAAUGUUUAAUUUACUUGUUCAGUGCCCCUUUCUUACCCUUCAUUUCUUUCUGUAUGUGGUAGACAGAGCAAGGACCCUCACCCCCCCCCCACCCCCAAGAUGUCUGCACCUAAUCUCUGGAUGCUAUGAUUGUGAUAGGUUCUAUGACCAAGGAGAGUUAAGAGUCCAGAAGGGAUUGAGACUGAUGGUCAGUUAUUCUGGAUUAUCCUGGAAGGGCUCAGUCACAAGUGUCCUUAAAUGUGUAAGAGGGAGGCAGAAGAGGAGAAUGGCAGUGUGAGACCCAGCCCGACAUCACUGGUGUGCUACCAGGAUCCCAGGUGAGAUGGCUGGACCUGGAAAAGUCAGGAAUGGAUCCUCCCAUGAGUCUCCAGAAAGGAAUACAAACUGCUGACACCUUUAGUAUAGUCCUGUGGGACCCAUUUUGGAUUUCCAAUCUCUAAGACUAUCGGAAUAUAUUCACGUUCUUUUAAGUCACUUCUCUUUAUUUGUUGUAGCAGCAAUAGGAAACUAAUACGCUCUAUCUCUGUGCUUUCCUUUGGGAUCACUUUGCUUCUAUUGAAGGACUUGUUUUAAUAAUUUUCUUUAGGGUGGGCCCAGUGAUGAUGAAUUUUGUCAGAUCCUGUUUGGCUGAAAAUGUUUUAUUAUGCAUUCAUUUUUCACUUUGUAAUUUCAUUGGCCUCUGCUCUUCUUUCCUUCCUUUUGACAUGUUUAGUGUUACAGAUUUCUUACUGAAUGCUGCUUUAGUUACAUCCUACAUUUUUUCUUUUUUCUUUUUUUAGCAAAGGAGAAAUACAGGGAAUUCCUGUCUCAGAGGUUGUCAUUCUGUCCAUCAGAAUGGCUUUUAAAGAGGUGAUUCAAAGGCUACAUUCCUAUGUUCUCUGUUGGAGUUGUAAUUCACUUGUUAAUUUGGGAGAUAGGAAUUUCCUGAGAUCUUCUAGUACCAUCCUCAAAGUCUGGAUUACUUCUUUCCUAUAGUGGGUAUGUACUCAAGGGCAGAUAAAUCUGCCUAAGAUGGACAUCCUACAAAUUUUGAUGCUAUAUUUUCAUUUUUACAUAGUUUAAAAUAUUAAAAAACUCAAUAGAUAGCAUCACCAACAGACUAGACCAUUUGGAAGACAGAUCUUCAGACAAUGAAGACAAAAUAUACAAUCUUGAAAAUAAAGUUGACCUCACAGUGAAGAUGGUAAGAAACUAUGAACAGAACAUCCAAGAAUAAUGGGAUACCAUCAAAAGAUCAAAUUUAAUAUUUAUUGGGGUAGAGGAAGGUUCAGAGAUUCAAACCAAAGUAAUGCAUAAUCUCUUCAAUGAAAUAAUAUCAGAAAAUUUCCCAGACAUGAAGAAUGAAUUGGAAAAAUCAAAGACAAGAGGCCUAUAGGACACCAAAUAUACAAAAUUACAACAGAUCUACACCAAUACAUAUUAUGCCUAGCAUAGAGAAUAAGGAUAGAACUUUAAAGGUCGCAAGAGAGAAAAAUCAGAUUACCUAAAAGAGAAGACCAAUUCGGAUCUUAGCAGAUUUUUAAACCCAGACUCUCAAAGCCACGGCCAGUCUUGGAACAACAUAUACCAAGUUCUAAAAGAUAAUGGAUGCCAACCAAGUAUCUUAUAUCCAGCAAAGUUAAGCUUCAAACUUGAUGGUGAAAUAAAAAUCUUCCAUGAUAAACAAAAGCUAAAAGAAUUUGCAGCAAGAAAGGCUAUACUACAGAAUAUUCUUAGCAAAAUAUUCCAUGAGGAGGAAAUGAAAACCAACAAUAAAAAUCUGCGAAGGGAAGAACUCCAAUAAAAGAAAAGCCAACCAAAGGAGAAAUCAAGUCAAGCUAAAUACCAAAAAAAUAAACAAAAAUGUCUGGUAAUACAAAUCAUAUUUCAAUAUUAACCCUAAGUGUUAAUGGCUUAAACUCAUCAAUCAAAAGACAUAGGCUUGUAGAUUUGUAGAUUUAAAAAAAGACCCAACAAUAUGCUGCCUUCAAGAGAUUCAUCUCAUAGGAAAAGACACCCAUAGACUGAAGGUGAAAGGUUGGGAUAAAAUAUACCAUUUACAUGGCCUACAUAAGUUCAUACUACUUAACAGAACCAUACGUCAACAAGAAAUUAUAGUUCUAAAUAUAUACACCCCAAACAAUGGAGCAUCUACAUUCAUCAAUCAAACUCUUCUCAAGUUCAAGAGUCAAAUAGAUCACAACACAAUAAUUCUGGAUGACUUUAACACUCCUCUUUCACCAAUAGAUAGAUCUACCAAACAAAAGCUAAACAAAUAAACUAUGAAACUCAAUAAUCAAUAACUUAGACUUAACUGACAUACAUAGAGUGUAUUACCCAUUGAAGAGUGAAUACACUUUCUUCUCAGCAGCACUUCUCUAAAAUAGAUCAUAUGCUAUGCCACAAAGCAAAUCUUAGUAAAUACAGAAAAGUAGAGAUACUACCCUGCAUUGUAUCAGACCACAAUGGAAUGAAAUUAGAAACCAAUGAUAAAAUAAAAAAUAAAAGUUACUCCAACACUUGGAGACUAGAUAAUACACUAUUGAAUGAACAAUGGGUUGCAAAAGAUAUCAAAGAGGAGAUUAAAAAAUUCUUAGAAGUAAAUGAGAACACUGAUACAACAUAUUGAAAUUUCCAGGACAAUAUGACGGCAGUGCUAAGAGGAAAGUUCAUUGCUUGGAAUUCAUUCCUUCAAAUGAGAAAAAGUCAACAAAUAAAUGACCUAAUAUUAAAUCUCAAAGAUAUGAACAAAUCAACCUCAAAAGCAGUAGGAGACAGGAAAUAAUUAAAAUUAGAGAUGAAAUCAAUGAAAUUGAAACUAAAGAAACAAUUGAAAAAAUUGACAAAACAAAAAGUUGGUUCUUUGGGAAAAAUUUUAAAUAAAAUUGAUAAGCCAUUAGCCAUGCUAAUGAAGAGAAGGAGAGAGAAAACUCAAAUUAUUAACAUGCAUGAUGCAAAAGGAAAUAUUACAAUGGACACUACAGAAAUGCAGAAGACAAUUAGAAACUAUUUUGAAAAUUUGUACUCCAAUAAAUAGAAAAUAUCAAAGACAUCAACACAUUUCUAGAGGCAUAUGAUAUACCUAAACUGAUAUACACAAUUUAAACAGAUCAAUUUCAAGCAAGGAAAUAGAGGAUGCCACACACAAUUGAAUUCUAUAAGACCUUUAAAGAAGAACUAAUACCAGGACUUCUCAAACUAUUUCAUGAAAUAGAAAAAGAGGGAGCACUUCCAAACACAUUCAUUCUAUGAGGCCAAUAUCACCCUUAUUCCAAAACCAGACAAAGACACAUCAAAGAGAGAAAACUUCAGACCAAUAUCUCUAAUGAAUAUAGAUGCAAAAGUUCUCAAUAAAAUUCUGGCAAACUGAAUACAAAAAUACAUCAAAAAGAUCUUUAGAACACUAAAGAAAUGCAAGGUUGGCUCAACAUAUGGAAAUCAAUAAAUGUAAUUCGUCACAUCAAUAGACUCAAAGAUAAAAAUUAUAUGAUCAUCUCAAUAGAUGCUGAGAAAGCAUUUGAUAACAUACAGCAUCCCUUCAUUGUUCAAAAUGCGUGGAAAACAUUCCUCAAUAUUGUAAAGGCUAUGUUAAGCCCCAGGCCAACAUCUUUCUAAAUGGAGAAAAAUUGAAAGCAUUCCCUCUAAAAACUGGAACAAGACAGGGAUGCCCUCUUUCACCGCUUCUAUUCAACAUAGUUCUUGAAACACUGGCCAGAGCAAUUAGACAAAAGAAACUAAAGGGAUACGGAUAGGAAAAGAAGAACUCAAAUUAGCACUAUUUGCAGAUGAUAUUAUUCUAUACCUAGAAGAUCCAAAAAGUUCUACCAGAAAACUUUUAGAACUAGUAAAUGCAUUCAGCAAAGUAGCAGGUUAUAAAAUCAACACCCAUAAAUCAAAGGCAUUUCUGUAUAUCAGGGACAAAUCCUCUGAAAGAGAAAUUAGGAAAACUAUCCCAUUUACAAUAGCCUCCAAAAAAAAAAAAAAAGAAACUUGGGAAUCAACUUAACGAAAGAGGUGAAAAACGUCUAAACUACAGAACACUAAAGAAAGAAAUUAAAGAAGACCUUAGAAGAUGGAAAGAUCUACCUUGUUCUUGGAUAUGCAGAAUUAAUGUUGUCAAAAUGACCAUACUACCAAAAGCACUAUACAGCUUUAAUGCAAUUCCAAUCAAAAUCCCAAUGGCAUUCCUCAUAGAAAUAGAAAAGCAAUCAUGAAAUUCAUCUGGAAAAAUAAGAGACCAGAAUAGCCAAAGCAAUCUUUAGCAAGAAGAGUGAAGUAGGUGGCAUCAGUAUACCAGACUUCAAACUAUAUUAUAGAGCAAUAGUAACGAAAACAGUAGGCUAUUGGCACCAAAAUAGACAGGUAGACCAAUGGUACGGAAUAGAGGACACAGAGUCUAACCCACAUAACUUCAGUUAUCUUAUAUUAGACAAAGGCACCAAAACAUACACUGGAGAAAAGAUUGCCUCUUCAACAAAUGGUGCUGGGAAAACUGGAAAUCCAUAUGCAACAAAAUGAAAUUAAGCCCCUAUCUCUCACCAUGCACAAAACUCAACUCAAAGUGGAUCAAGGACCUAGGAAUUAAACCAGAGACACUGUGCCUAAUAGAAGAAAAAGUAGGCCCAAAUCUUCGUCAUGUUGGAUUAGGCCCUGACUUCCUUAAUAAGACUCCUAUACACAAGAAUUAAAAUCAAAAAUCAAUAAAUGGGAUGGAUUCAAACUAAAAAGCUUCUUCUCAUCAAAAGAAAUAACCAGUGAGGUGAAUAGAGAGCCUACAGCUUGGGAGCAAAUUUUUACCACUCACACGUCAGAUACAGCACUAAUCUCUAGGAUAUAUAAAGAACUCAAAAGUCUUAAUACCAAAAAAACAAAUAGCCCAAUCAAUAAAUGGGCCAAGGAAUUGAACAGACACUUCUCAGAAGAUGAUAUAUAAUCAAUCAAUCAAUAAAUGAAAUAAAUCUCUAGCAGUUAGAGAAAUGCAAAUCAAAACUAAGAUUUCAUCUCAUUGCAGGCAGAAUGACAUCUAUUAAUAAUACAAACAACGUAAGUGUUGGCGAGGAUGUGGGGGAAAAGGCACACUCAUAUAUUGCUGGUGGGACUGCAAAUUGGUGCAGCCAAUCUGGAAAGUAGUAUGGAGAUUCCUUGGAAAACUGGGAAUGGAACCACCAUUUGAACCAGCUAUCCCACUCCUUGGUCUAUACCCAAAGGAUCUAAAAACAGCAUACUACAGGGACACAGCCACAUCAAUGUUUAUUGCAGCACAAUUCACAAUAGCUAAACUGUGGAACCAACCUAGAUGCCCUUCAGUAGAUGAAUGGAUUAAAAAAUGUGGCAUAUAUACACAAUGGAAUAUUACUCAUCAAUAAAAGAGAAUAAAAUCACGGCAUUUGCAGGUAAAUGGAUGGAGUUGGAGAACAUAAUGCUAAGUGAAGUUAGCCAAUCCCAAAAAACCAAAUACCAAAUGUUUUCUAAGAUAUAAGGAGGCUGAUUCAUAAUGGAGUUGUGGUGGGAGCAUGGGUGGAUUAGAGGAACUCUAGAUUGAGCAAAGGGGAGGGAGGGGAAGGGAGGGACCAAGGGGGUAGGAAAGAUGGUGGAGUGAGAUGGACAUCAUUACCCUAAGUACACGUAUGAAGACACGAAUGGUGUGACUCUACUUUGUGUACAACCAGAGAUAUGAAAAAUUGUGUGUGUGAUAUGAAUUGUAAUGUAUUCUGCUGUCACACAUAACAAAUUAGAAUAAAAAAUUUUAAAAAAUUAAAAAAAUCCAUAUGCAUGUUUUGUGUUGAUAUACAUUUUCAACAAAUUUGGGUAAACAUUAAGCAAUGCAGUAGCUCGAUCAUAUGAUAAGAGCGUGUUUAGUUUUGAAAGAAACUGCCAAACUACCAUUUCCAUUUCCACCAGCUAUGAAGAGAGUUCCUGUCACUCCAUAUCCUCAUCAGCAUUUAAUGUCAUUCUCUGAUUUUUAGAAAGUACUAUUUGUGUUUGGUUUUCAGCAGCUUUUCUGUGAUGUAUGCUUCUUUAUACUUAUAAUUAUCUGUAUUUUGGCAUCUUUUAUACAUUUUGGGAAGAUUAUCAGCUACCAUCUCUUCAAAUAUUGCUUCUUUCAAUUAGAAGAAGGUCUAAUGAUAGAAACAGAAUCACUAAGAGCUGUGUACGCGCGUGCGCACACACACACACACACAGAGACACACUCAGUUUUUAAAAUAGGAAUUUUUUUUAAAAAAAUUAUUUAUUUAUUUUUAUUUAAAAUAGGGGUUUGACCUUAGAAAAUCAGCCACGCUGGUCUGAUAGACUCAGGUUGUUCCCCUGUUUAUGGCCUCAGCCACAGUCAACAGGACAGAGAAGUAGAAAGAGAAGACGGGAUGUGCCAGAUGGGCUGGAACCCCCCCUCUGUUUCCCAUUGCUUCCCAGACUGCAACUUGGAUGACAGGUGUCCUGCACAAGCAGCAACCCCCACCCCUUCGUGGAGCUGCAUAUGCACCUGGCCCAGGAGUUGAGGAGGCUGAGAAAGGAAAACUGACAGGAGCUGGAGGAUGCUGCGGGUCAAAGAGGAAGGCAGCUGUUUGCUGCAGCAGCUCCGUGUUCCCUAUCUUGACCUGAGCGUGAAAGGAACAUAACAGCCAUUUACGGCCGCCUUCUGAAUCUAGGAAUGUCUCUUGUGACAGCCAUCCCUGCGAGCCAGGGACGGAAACUGGCAACAGUAGUACUGGCUUGGCCAAGUUCACAUGGCACAUUGUACAAUUCACCCCUCACCUGAUGACCUCACCCUUCUCUUUCUGAGACCCCAUUUUCUUCUUGUAAGUGUCUUUUACACUCUAUUUCGUACUUUCCAUACUUUUGGAUUUGUGUCCUUCAGUCUGGAUAUUUUUCGUAUUAACUAUGUUCCACUUAACUAAAUCUCUUUUCUGUUUUUGAGUCUCUUGUUAAGCCUAUCUACCGAGUACUUAAUUUUGAUAAUUUUCCUGUUAAAUUCCAUUUGUUCCUUUUUAAAAAAUAAUUUCUAGUUCUAAACCGAAAUUGUCCGUAUUCUCAUUUAUUUCCUGAACAUGUUAACCACAGUUAUUUUACAUCCAUAUUGUGUCAUUCUGAUAUCUCAAUCUCUUGUGGGCUUCUUUCUUUUGUUUUUUGGCCCAUUCUUGUCAUUUUAUUGAUUGAAUCUGCCUACUUAUUUUUGAUUGAGUUAUAGGCAUUGUCUAUAAACAUAGAAAUCUUUUAAGAUUUGAAUGAUUUUUUUUCCUUCCUCCCAACAGAAUUUGCUUUUGCUCUGUCAGGCAGUUAAUAUAGACUUUAAUCAGAAGUUGAGUUGAUUCAAACUCAGCCUUGGUUUUUAUAAAGGCCUGGGUAUUUCCAUUCACUCCUACUUAGGAAAGUGUAUAUUAAGAGGAACUCCUUUAGGGGUCCUAGCUGGAAGCCUUAUGUGUGUAUUGACUUCUUGGUGGGUCCUGAAUGCCUAUCUUUCCAGCUUUUUGAGUUUCCUCCUGGAUUCUUUUCUCGGAUUCUCAUCCUUCUUGCUGUUACUUUUGAAUAAACUACUUAGGGAAAAAUUGACGUGGGUCCUUCCUCUUGAAGUUUGCUCUUUUAAGACCUUGCAACCUUUGUGGUUCUUUUAUACCUCCAAAUAGAUUUUUUAUAUUUUUUCCAAGUUACCCUAAAGUGGCAUUUAAAAAAAAUAUAUUUUUAAGGCUUUGUUGCUAGUUUUAGAGAUUAUGAAGUUGAUCUGUGAAAAGUGAGUUAUAUUCUAAAUUCUGAGCUAUAGCAAUCUUAGGUUAAGUGAAAAAUGCCCUUGGUGAAGUUUCUGUGGUCUGUUACUCAUUUUAAAAGUUAGUUGUACUGCGCUGCGGGGUGGAAAAUUCAUAAUUGACAAUUUUAUUUCACAGAGGAAGAAAUUAAAGUGGCAGCAAUUGAAAACCUAGGAAUAAAUCACUAAUGUUCAUAAUUAAAGAUACAAGUAGAGUUUGAUUUUGUACUCUCCAAUUUUAAGCUCAGAAAAUCUUAUAUCUUUUGAUUUCAUUUUGCUUUAUUCAUGAAUACAAAAAAAAAAGGUUUUAGAUUCCCCUUUUCAGCUAGUUUUUUGGGUAUUGUUUGGCUGGUGAUUUGCCGAGAGUUUGGCUCUUCUGGGUUCCACCUCUGCAGUGCUUAGGUGACCCUUGGGCAUGUCCACAUCUUUAAAUCAGUAACUUCCACUUUUCCUAGCCACUUUGUCUUCAGUUUUUAAUUUUGUUGAAUUCUAAAUUAUUUAAAUCCUGUUCUAGUCUUUCCCCCAAUUGUCUCUGUGUCCUUGUCAACCACCAUCCUAGUUAUGUGCAGCCUUUCCCAACUCUGCAUUCAUAGCCAUCACAUGGUAGUUUGGAAACGGCCCCAAUAGAACUACUUACAUCAUGAAAAUUGGGAAUCACUACACAUCAAGGCUUUUUUUCCUGUAGAGCAAGUUACUAAACCUUUACCAGCAUACCCAUGCUCGUCCCUCCAUGUAGCAAAGUGCUAUCAACUCAAAGAUGGAUGCAGAUCUGGUGCCACAGAGUGGGCUGGAUCACCACUGAGCAUCACCAACAACUUAAGUCUGGAAUUUUAGCUCUUGUUCAUAAAACUCCUGUGACCAACUAUUCCUGCCUCUGUGGAUCCCUAACUCAAUUCUUCUUCUAUUCUGGUUUUAGCCUCUCACAUUGGUGGUUGAGAAAGAGCUGGAAUGAAGUCAUCCCUCUUCUCGUUUUGUCUUCAUCCCAGUUUGCAAAGCUGCAGAGAGCAUAGUUGACAAUGCCUUGUGUUCUACAGCAUGCAUGGAAACUCGGGCGUGGUGUAGGCAGCGGGGAGCCUGUAUUUCCGGCAAGGCUUGCCUUGGUUUGCAGCACUACCAAACUGGAUACAGAUAAACGGAGGGUUACAAAGUCAGUAUUCCCUGGGAACAGAGAGUAUGAGCCUCAGCCUCCCCAGGCAAACCAUCAGCAGAGCUAACGAGGACUCACUGCUGUUCUGGUCUCUCUCUGGGAGCUUCCCCAAAGCAUCAGUAUCAGGGCACAGCUGCAUGAAGAUUCGGUGUGUUGAUGAAGCUGGGUUUCAUUUUUCAUGUUGACUUGUUAUGCUCAAGUGACAGAAACUUCUAUUACCUUUGUUGUUUUAACUAUAAAAUGAGUACCAUGUCAGUUGACUUUUCUUUUUCUUUUUGUUCUGGGAAUGGAACCCAGGGUUUUUUUACUACUGAGCUACAUCUCCAGCCCUUUUUAUUUUUUAUUUUUGAGACAGGGUUUCACUAAAUUGCUGAGGCUGGCCUCAAACUUGCAAUCCUCUUGCCUCUGCCUCCCUGAGCUGCUGGGAUUUGUGCCACUACACCAUUGAAUUUCUAUCUUCUUUACCACAACAGUACUCAUCACCUUAUUUCAUCUUUUCAAGAAACCUCUAUGGAAAUAACAAUAAAAUAUCUUUAGCAAUUAUUAUCGAUUGAUCACUUCCUAUAUGCCAUCACUAUCCUGGGUACUUUACAUAAGUGUCUCCAUUUAGUUCAUACAAAUCUAUGUAAGAUAGGUACUCCUGUCAACCAGUUUCCAGAGAAGACUAAAUGUACUGAAAUGUUAAAAUAAUUUGUUCUUGUUGAGGUAUUACAGAAAAUGGUAGAUUCAGGAUUUGAGCUAAUAUAAGACUCUGAAAUCUAAUUUUUUCUUUUUCUUUUUUGCGGGGCUGGGGAUUGAACCCAGGGCCUCACGCAUACUAAGGGAGUGUUGUACCAUUGAGCCACACCCUGGACCCAACGUAACCACCCUGCCUCUUAGAAAAAGAGAAAGAUGGAAAAGGGCACAGGAUGCUGCUCCUUUUACUUCUUAAAGGGAACAGGUGUCACCUUGGUCUCCUGCUUUCAGUCCUCCGUGGUUCGCAGGAGGCUGUGAGGGAGGGUGGGGAGCACAGAGCUCCCCUGGGGGCAGCUGGAUUGGCUGCUUUCCUGCUCCACACCCGGCUUUCUCCCCCGAGUCGGUUCAGGCAGGCGAGGCUGUGACUCCCGGGGGCAGGCGCUUCUUGCCAACUCCAGUCUUAAAUUGCAGCACUCCGGAGGGGAUAAGGACCUUGGAAUCAGUGUACAGAGCAAACCUGAGUGUCACAAAGCAAAUAUUUCACAUUUCAUGUUAAAUCAGAUCCUAAAACAAGUGUGAAGAAUUGGGAUUAAGUGAGAAACGUACGUUUCAGGAGCUGAAAUGGGUUUUGAUCAGGGGGAAACCCUGCCCUGUCCCAUCUCUUCCUGGGGAGUCUGGAUGCCGUUCCAUGGGCCGGAUGUCACGAGGUGCACUGAACAGCAAGAGAUGCUGAGGUGAGGCGGGGCAGGCUGGGUGGACAGGUGUGUGACCGGUGUCACACCAGCUUUUAGACCUAGGAGAUUAAAGUGGGACUUGGCGUUCAAGAAAAGGUAUUUAAAAUUAAAUUAAAAGGACACUAGGGGAGGAAUGGCGGCCGCUGGAUGGCCGCAGCAUCUCCACGGCCAGGUCGGCAUCCUGGCAGGGGUCAGGCUGCGGGGCAGCCCUGGGCUUUUCCUGGAUGCCGCCUUUACCCAGCAGCCGCGGCCGAGGGAGGAGCGCGGGAGCCCCACGCUGCCCGUCAAUCUGGGGCUUGUGGCCUGGGUUUUGUGAGUGCGUGUGUGCAUGGGAACGUCCGUGCUGCGUGUCGUCCUUGAGCAGAGGUAGGACCCUAGCAUGUCCUGGCAGAACUCCCCAUCUCCUUGUUCAGCGAGUGUCCGGCUGUGAGCUGGAGCCGUGGGAUUGGAGGCAGGCAGGGGCUCUGGACGCCCAGGAGACGAGGGAGAGGCCCAAAGUCAGGGCCUGGGAGGGAGGACAUAUGACACCCAGUGAGCCCAGCGCUGCCCGGAGGGCGGCAGGUGGCAGCUGAGGCCGACCUUGCAAGAAGAUCCUCCGGCUCCUUCUGUGCUAAAAGGAGGCGACUUAUUUUUAGUUCUUCCCGCCUUCUAUUGCUUAAGUGUUGGCUUGUUUAACUAAGAGGCUGUUGCGUUUAAAAUUCCCUAGAUUUUUCUAAGUUGUAGUUCUAGAGCUGACACUGACACGCUGUCUUUGUGAAAAGAAUUUUUUUUAAAAAAUAAAAUCAAGUUUUUCUGUUUGAGGUUUCCACAGAUAAUUAUGAUAACACCACGACUGAUGCCUGAUGUGUUAUCCAUCACCCCAAGGACAGCAGGGUUCCCCUUCCUUGUUGCUCACUGACCAUCUGGAAUGGCAGGGUGGAGGCCUCCCAGGAGAUGGGGCUCUCUGGGGCUUGGAUGCCAGCGUCAGUUACCCAACCUCUCUCCAGGAGGAUCCGGUAGAACAUGUGGCUCUGAGAGGUGCCCUUCUGCUUAUACUCAGGCCAUGUCCUUUACCUACAGGACAGGACAGGGCUGUCCCCCUUGUCUCGCCCUGGGUCCCUGCCCCCACCUUCUAUCGACCACUUGCUUUACAUCUGCAGGACUUCAGUACUCGCUGCAGUGUCUGCUCAGGCUGCCAGAACAAAGUUCCAUAGAUUUGGGGGCUCCACAGAGACUUCUUGCCGUUCUGAGGUCUCAGAGUUGGAGAUGGAGGAGUUGGCAGGGUGGUUUCCCUGAAGCCUCUCCCCUGAGCUGGGGACGCCCAGUCUCGCCUUCUCCUUAUUUCUCCUGGGGGCCGUGUGCAGUCAGCCUCUGUGUGUCCUAGAAGUUCAACAGUUGUUGGAAUAGAAUCCCUCAGGUGACCUUAGCUUGACUGAUUUUCUCUUUAAAGACCCGUCUCCCAGUACAGUCACAUUCCAAGGCACUGGGGUUAGGACUUAACAUACCGGGACGGGCACGUGAACAGCCUUUCCUUGCUGGACCAGCCUCCAAGCCACAUCUUCUCAUCGCCCCCCUGACCACCUGCUCCUUUCACCUUCACUGCCAAUGCCAACCCCAACCUCUUAGGCACCAUCCCUCUCCCUUCCUAGGACUCCCAGAAAGGGGAUCUUGGUGACCCGACAUCCAGCUGAGAUGGUAAUUCUUCAAGACCCUGUUAGAAGCCCCUGCCUCCUUUGUGCCCUUAUUGAGGCUGCACAGAGCUGGAUCUGGUGCGGGGACAUGCCACAGUGUGUUGCAAGGGAGCUGGGGGCCGCAGGAGGUCCUCACUCUUCCAAGUUUAGUGCUUGGGGGCCACCCCCUGCCCACCCUUGGGGUGCAUCAUACUCAAACCUCAUUUUUUUUAAUCUAAAAUAUAUUUUAGUUGUUGACGGACCUUUAUUUUAUUUAUUUGUAUGUGGUGCUGUGAAUCGAACCCAGUGCCUUGUGCACGCUAGGCAAGUGCGCUACCACUGAGCCACACCCCAACCUCAAACCUCAUUUUUGAAGUAAGGUUUCCAUUUCCCCUCUGUUCCCAAUUCUGCUGAGAAAAGUGGACCCUUAAGAAAAAAGGGAGGGCAGGGGUUGCGGCUCAGGGGUACAGUGCUUGCUUGGCACAUGUGAGGCCUGGAUUGGAUCCUCAGCACCACAUAAAAAUAAAUAAAUAGAAUAAAAAAAGAAAAAGGGGAAACACAGGUUGUGCUUUCUGGGGUGUCUAUGCCUCAUGUGUGAAGAUGUGUCUGGGAAGAAGAGGUCCUGGCUUCUGAAGAGGCAGUGGCUAGUGAGGUGGCUAUGGAGCCUGGUGGACGUUGACUGAGGACCCCCAAACCUGGACCUCGGUGUAGUAACCAAUGUGGAGCUCUUGGGGCACAGAAGUUGCUUCUCUGCUCUUCUGACCACUGCCAAGUGAAAGUGAUUUGCCAAUCUAAGGCCCGUGGCUCUCACAGGUGGUCUGCAGACUAGGAGCAGGAGACCCUGUGGAAUCGGUUAGAAGUCCACCUUGUCUGCAGAGUCAGGAACUCUGUGUGGACCAGCAAUCUAAGUGGCUAACGAGCCCGCCAGGUGUGCUGGUGCUGCGGGUUUGCCCCCUCCGCUGCGAGGCCUGGAGUUACAGAAGGCACCAUUGCUCUGCUGUCCUGAGGCAGGCUGGGUGGAUGUGGAGAAGAGUGACGCUGAGAUUACUAUGAUCUAGCCACUGUCUGAAAUGCAAACAUUUCAUCAGGUAUUCCACUCAGAAAAUGUUUUUAAUAAUUGUUGUAUUUACAUCUAUAUCAUACUUUUAGGCUAUGGUGUUUGGUCCUUUCUGAGUCAUUUAUUUGUUCACAAAAAUGUAUUGCAGACCUACUAUGAACCAGCAAUUUGCUAGCUCUUGAAUUCAAUGAUUAGGAAAACCAGGGAAGUACGUUCUUUUGAGUGUGUUUGUGUAGUGGCCAGAGGAGGGAUGGAUGUUAACUAAGCAAAGAAAUUGUAUUUGUGUUUAAGCCUUUACGUGAGGUAGAAAUAGCAAUUGAACAACCAAAUAAUUAUAAAAUUACAAAUCUGUUACAGUCUAUGAAGGGGAGGUGUGAGGUUGGUUGUCUAAGGGUCAGGGAACCUUUCCUUAAAGAAGUAACUUUCAAGGUGAGGAAAGUGGUCGUUAACAACACAACAGAGGUGGAGGUGGGGAGAUAAGGAAAGGAACAUAGGCCUGUUGUGAGGAUGCAAAGAUACUGUAAGGAAAUGAAAGUAGGGAUUUGGAACCAUACUGUGGGUUUUAGGUUUUAAGAGUAAUGGGAAGCCCCAUGUAUUAGUUUGCAUUCACUAGGUAAUGCUGUGUAACAAGCAUGCAAAAAAAAAAAAAAAAUCUCAGUGGUUCCCAGUUACAAAUUUUGUUUUUUUGACUCAUGUUACAUCUUGACUCUGGGCCAGUCACAGGUGUGCUCCAUGGGCCCUCUUCACCCUAAGACCUGGCUGAAGCAGCAUCCUAAAUCUGGGUCAUGUUUUUCUCACAGCAGAGGCAAAUGAGCCACCAACAAACCCUGAGAUGCCCCAGGCAUGGACCCCUCUGAUCAUAUUCUACUGGGCAAAGUGUCACCAGGCUGAGUCUCAGGGAAGGGUGGGAAGGUGGGGGCUGGAGGUGGGCAGUUAGGGGCAGACAUAGUCAGGGUCAGGGUUCUUUCCACGGGCGGCCCUUGAAGAGUGUGCCUGGGGCUGGUGGCAACACAAGAGAUCUGUUUUGAAAAAUAAAGCAACUGGAUGAAGUGGGCCCCCGAGGAGAAGGUGGGGUGAGGACAGGUUUCAUGUCCUAUUCCAGGCUGAGACGAUGAUCACCAGGGUCAAAGGGGCAGGGCUGCAGAUGGAAAAAUGAGAUUGGAGAAAAAUUUUGAAGUAAAAAUAAAUAACCUUGAUAUUAAUAUGGGCUUGGUUUGAGUAUGUUCAUUUUGAGGUGCCCUGAAACCUUCCGUGUGGUGUGUCAUAUCGACUAGAGUAGGGUACAAAUUCCUCAGAGUCCCCCCCUCCCGUUUCUUUUGGAAUGUGACCUGAAAGUUGUCUGGAGAGUAGCUUUCUUAAUGGGAAUAACCUUUGUGUCUUUAUGUCCUUGAUUCCAGAGUCUGUAGAUAUUAAAAUAUUGUUCAUAGGUGACAGCUCUUCCCCAUUUUUGUCUCAGGUUAUUCAGAAGAAGGAAGAGCAUUCCUCCUGUCCUUCCCACCUAUUGGUAGAGUGUCCCCCUUCACCAGGGGCCUGUGCCUCCUUCCCCUUGGGGUGGGUGGGAGCUGAGGGAGUCCCUUCCCCGCUCUGCGUCCACAGACUGAGGCCCAGCACAAGGUUCCAGCAUCUUCCUCUCAGAAAAUUGACAAAUACGGUCCCGGACGGUGAGCAGCUGAAACCACCAAGGGCUCUUGGACCUCGGGGGCGGAUUUUCAUCCUAAACCAGCCCACCUCUGAGUUCAAGAGGUGUCAGUACUUGGAAUGCAGAGCGGGUGGAGCCAGGCUCUCCUGUUCCAGGAAACAUGCCGCGAGAUCCCAAUGCACCUUUGGGCUGGACUCUUGGUGACAGCCUCCUUCCGUUUGUGACUGAAGUUGCAGGGACAGGAGCACACAUCCGCCAGGUCGGACGUGUGGACCUCGGGUCUGGUGUGGACACACUUGACGCUUUCCCUCCUGAACGCCAUGCUGCGAUUACGCCUCCAUUUCUUGCCCUCUUCAAAACUCCCCAGAAGUUCUGUGUAAGGACAAGUCACCAAUAUCACACAAGUGUGUACUGGGUCCUCUGCAUCUUGGUGCUCCUCAAAGUCCCUACCUUGAUGCACAGAGAGGGGGCGCAGGGGCUGCUCAUUAGAACCAGUGACCUCUGCCUUGGCUGGGAGGGGGAGUGGUCCCCCCCAAGGGCAGCUUCCGCCUGCUGGAGCUGGUGGCGGGAAGAGUUGAACCUGAGCUGACUGAGGUCAUUGAGCCGAGCUGGAGUCCCGGCUGGGUUGGUCACUGAGCUAGUUAUGUAAUAUUCAGACCUUAAUUUCCUCAUGGAGCAUGAAUAGGAAUGGAGGGAUGUAAUGUGCACAAAGCACACCGAUAACUAAUGAUGUCACCUCAUGGAGACACGGUAAAACCUACCACGGGUUUUGUUUGUAAAACAGGGGUAGAGAAGUAGUUCACGUGUAAAAGUAAUCCUGAAUUGCCUCAGGAUGUGGCUCAUUAUGGACGGGGGACUUUAUUCUGCCAAUUAUUGGACCAGGAAACUUCACCUGGAUAAGGACAUCCAGCCACUGUGCCCUUGAGGGCUCUGUCCUUCCCUGUGGCUCAGUCAGGCCUGGCCACAGUGGGGUUUGUAAAGGGCCUCAGAGUAUUGAGUGGCUUGUCCUGGAGGCUUCAGCUGGGGUGGGCUGGAAUCGUUAUUUAUUGUUGAACUUUUGUUAACCCACUGCAUUGAGGGGCUCUGGGGGAGCCACUGAGUGAUCUCUGCAGCCAGUUGCUUCUUCCUAGUUGAGUUUGAAGCCUGGGGUCGCCCUUGGGUUCGCCAUGUGGGUGGGAGGCUCUUCCUGAGAAGGAGCAUCUUUCCAUGUCCCUGUGCAGAAGACUGAUGGCGGAAGCCAGCCGCCUGCCUGCGGAAAAAUCCCAGGAGGAGGCCUGGCAGGGGCGCAGGACUGAGCAGAGGACCUGGAUGUGAGCCUGAGGUCUGCCGCAGCUCGGUGCACAUGUGGGUAGGUGAACCUGGGGCUCUUAAUCCUCCACUGAAAGGUGACCGGAGCCACUCUCCACCUUGGCUUGUGGCUUUCCAGAAGGGUCUACCCCCAGAGGGUAUCCAGUAUAAGAAGGAGAGUGCCAGAAUAUUACUCAGCCACAAAGGAAUGGAGUGCCCACGGUAGGCAUCCACGGCUGCACCUCGAGGAGAGCAGGGUGGACGCAGAUGCCAGGCACAGAAGGGCAGUGCCUUGGGACUCCUCCUAGCUGAGGUUCCUGCCGCAGGCACACCAGACCAAGAGGAGCAGAGGCUGCCAGGAGCUGGCGAGGUGGCAACGGGGAGCCGGAGUUUGCUGGUGGAGUUUGGUUUAGGAAGAUAACAGUUUGGGAGAGAGAUGGAGGUGGUGGUUGCACGGUAACGGGCCUGGAUUUGACGCCAUGGAAUCAUCCCCCAAAGCGGCUAGAGUGGUAGAUUUUAUGUAUACUUCACUACAAUAAGAAAUAAAAAAAUUAAGGCGUAAACACGGAACAAACAGGUUAUAGAAUAAUUGUCUUUUUCUUUCUUUUCACAGCUCAGGAAGAAGCACCUGGCUGCAGAGAUUACUCAACGGGCCCGCAGAGCCCCUCAAUGCAGUGGACUGGAGGACACGGACAGGGACCUGGGCUGCUAUGUCCGGGCGUGGGAGCCUUCUGGCCUGGACAGUGUGCCCUGAGGGAACCCAGGAUGGGAGUCAGGCACUGGCCUGGGUCAGGCCUGGGUCAGGCCUGGCUCCCGCUCUUCAGUGGUCAGCGUGAGCGCUGCGAUCCUCCUUUCUUUGUCUGUGGAUGCGGGGUCAUUGCAGUCGGCCUCAACGCCCCCUUAGCUCUUCAAUUCUCAAAUUCCAUUUACUUUUGGAUCCGGUUCCAUCCUUUUAAAUGCUGUCACCUUUGCUUACUUUUAUAAACACAGGAGAGCAAAUCAUAUUUGUUUACUAACUUAAACAAUGAAUAACAACAAAAACGUGAAAGAAAAUCCAUCACCUCUGAGCCUACAGGUUGCGAGAAACCCCCUGGCUCCCCCGGAGCGCCCCAGGCCCGGCCAGCAGCCUGGGCUACCGGAGUCUCCGGCCCUGGAGGGGGCGGGCAAUGCUGCUCUGCCGCGCCCUCUGGUGGCCGCUUUCCGUCAUGGUCACCAACCACAGGGUUGUGCCUUGGGCUGCCCAAGCGAAAGAUUUAAUUUACUCCGACAAAUAUUACAUCUGGUGCUUCGGGUAGAGACACGGAAAAUGCCAUCUCUCUUUUCUGGAAGUCUCUCUCUUAGUGGCCAGUGAUGAAGAUGCCAGAAAAAAGUAGCCCAUUCAUUAUAUUUAUGUUGUGUGAGAUUGUACCUCAGAGGGUGAAGUCAAUGAGAAGAAUAAGUAAUUGAAACAAGCAUUUUUGUUCCCUUGGCAGAAAUUCAGUCAUUAGCAAUAUACCUAUUACAAAGGGAGAUUAGAUAAAUUAGAGAUUAAAGAAAGUGGAACAGAUGUUUUUCCUCUGAUAAGCAUCAUUCUAUCAAAAAAGCAAAGAAACAACAACAAAAAAGCAAACCUCCGGAGACUUGGACUUGGUGCAGAAAAUGUGGGGGCAGAAAUCCUAGGUUGGGGGAGACGUGGCCUGCACAGGGUCACACCUGGAUGGUGUGGACGCUCUCAUCGUGCCAUGACUCAGCGCAGUCCUUCCAUGUUGUGAGGGUGCCAGGCGCCCCAUGAGUUUUGUGGGCUCUGCGCCAGACGCCUGGUGGACCUUAUCUUCACCCUCGAAGUAGCAGCCACUGAGGGGCGGCCAUGUUGUCAUCAUUGCACGGAGAGCAAGGAGGCGGGGGCUCUGGGCGGGUGGUUUGAUUCAGAUCAGGCCCAGCACAGUCAUGGUUCUCAACUAGAGCAGCAGCAGCACUGGGAGCAAAUUCUGGGCCCCGGACCUCGUGAAUUGAGAACCUGGGUGGUGGGGGCAGCAAUCUGAUCUUCACAAGGCCUUGGGUGGAUCUGAGGCUGCUCAGGUUUGAGGACCUCAGAGGGCCUUGGACUCCUCUAGGAGACUGAAACAAUGAAAUCACAGGUGCUGGGACCCCAGGCCCCUGGGAAGUGGAUACAAUUCACAGUGCAGCCAGCUUCAGAGCCACUGGAGUAGAGAGGCCAAGUGGGGCUUGAACUUGCCUCUGUCUUGCUCAUCCGUAGACCUCGCCGCCUGGCAGAUUCUGUAGUGUGCAGCCUGCUUCUCCGUGCGUGGGGAGAACGCGGAAGCCGUGCACCUGACUACCCGCAGUGCAGAAGUGGCUAGUGGCCCAGCAAGCAAGGCCCACACGGACCUGGCAUUGUGCCCUCCCGAAAGCCAGUUGGCUCCAGAGUGGGCCUGCCGUCCAGUGCUGUGGCUUCCCGGGAGUUGGCUGCCAGUCUUCGGGGAGAUUUAUUUUCCUCUGAGAGAGAGCCACAGGGAGCCAUCAUGGGCUGAACUGAUGACCCUCUGGUCUUCCUCUGAGCUUGGCUGUGUCGCACUCUGCACCUGUGAGAGCCACGAGGAGCCCACGUGAGCCUGGCAGAAGGUAAGAUGGCAAGAGCCGGUUCCUGAUGGAGCUGCUGAGGGCACGGAGGUCACUCUGCCAGCGGAAAACUUUCCCUCUCCAGGUAGAAACCC